rnacentral:lncRNA from 1 species
UUUUUUUUUUUUUUUUUUUUUGUAAAUAGACCGGAGGGAGUAAAGAAUGGUCCUUAAGGAGGAUAAAAACGGAAUAACAGAAUUUUUAAAGGAAAGGAGGAUAACUUGCUAACGCUGGGUGAAAGGGUAAAACUUCAAUCUUUUUGGUGGUUGAAAUCGAAAUACACUAAUUUUGAUUUUGACUAUCAAGAAUGGCGGCGGAGUCCUCUAACUUGCUUAAACUUUAUUUUCUAGCUAGUUGUUUCUUUGUUUCUGCGCCUUAUUGGCUUGUACAUGAUUGUUUUAUGUUCCCAUUGUGCCUAGGCGUUUUGGCACGCCUUGUGCUUUAGCGUCUAAGUUUGUUUAAUAUAUAUAUAUAUAUAUAUAUAUAUAUUCCAUUUUGGCUUUUUUCUUAAAAAAAAAAAACAAUGGUCCUUAAGCUAUGGCUUCACGAGUGGACCUUAGCCGCCGCCAUGCAAAAGAAGAAGAAUUAGAUUCUUCACUAACCUUUUAUUCUUCUUUCUUCUUCAAUUCAAAAUUGUUCUUCAUUUUGAAAGUUCAUAUAGUUACACCUUCAAAUUCUCAUGCCAUUUACUCUUCACACCCCCACCGAUCACCCUCACCCCAUAUCAUGGAACCUUAUCACACCAAAACAACCAAUACCCACUUCUCAAAAUCUCAUUUUUACAAGACUCAAAGCUUUUUCAUCUCUCAGAACUUCUCUUGACUGUGUCUCUUCUGAUGGAGGAGGAGUUGACAAAAUUUCACAACAAAUUCGGCUACCCUUUGUGGUUAAGAGUCCAAAUAAGGUCACUAGAUUCUUCUGGAAUGGUGGCUGCUUGGAGUUGGUCACUGUUGAUGGUGGUGCUGCUUCUGGUGAUAAUGAUGGUUUGUUGAAGGUGUUUGGUUCUGUUGUAAGGGAUUUUUUCAUUCCUAGAGAAGUUAAUGAGAAUUAUGUUGAUUUUGUGAAGUGGAAGCUGCUUCAUCGUGUUUUUAGCUCUGCUCUUCAAGUUCUUGCUACUCAGGUACUUUGCAGAUUCUUGAUUUUUGUUUCUUUAGAAGCUAGUUUAUUUAGAAUUGACUUGUGUUAUGUUUGGAUAAAUAGUUUUUUAAGUGCUUUAUGGUAUAACUAUAAACACUUAUUAUUUAAGUGCUUAUGUAUAAGUUAUGUUUAUAACAAAAGACUUUAAACUGUCUUCAUAAGCUAUCCCAUAGAGUUUGUGAAAAUAAGUUGCAUGUCAUAGACUAUUUUCAUAGGUGCUUCGAAAUAGUCUCACAAUUGCUUAUGUCAGUAGAUAAGCUUAAAUAAGCAAAUCCAAGCUUAAACAAACUGGUCCUUGUUCAUGAAUCUACUUACAUGCAUGAGGGAGGGGGUUGAAACUUGCUUUAUCAGCAUUUGACAUGUCCUGUGCACAUCAUGAAAGGGGGUUAGGAUUGUUUUGUUUUGUGUUAUGUGAUGGAUUCGUUUGGUUUUGUAAAAUCAUAGUCCCUCCCUAGUGUAUGCAUCAAGUGGAAAGAUUCAAUCUUCAUUAUAAACAUCAGUUGUGCUUGUUUUCAGGAGGGGAGAGAAAGUGAGCAAGCUAAGGCCUAGUUUGGAGAUUAAAUUUUAGCUUAUGAGACAUUCUCAAUGAAAAUAAAUAUGUGGCUUUAACUCAUAAAACAGUCCUUAUAAGCUAUAGAUUUUUUUACUUCUGAAAAAUUGAGAUGCAGCAACUAAUUCGAACUUAUACGAGUAGCUAUUAUUUACAAGUCAUGAUUAUUCUAAGAAGUUUUAAGUAUCUCUUUUUCCAUUAGUGCUUCUUUGAAAUCUAUCCAAACUUGGUCUAAAUAAGAUUUUGUGUAUCCUUAUCAGUUGUCAAUGGAUGCAUGUGUUGAUGCUUUGUAUCCACCAUUUAGCUACAUGAAAGUUCUUUUAGGUCUUGUAGUAUAUGUUUAUCUUGCUUGCAUAAGAACUUACUAUGUUACAAUCAAUUAAUCUCAGGCAAUGUUUACAGCCAUAGGAGUUGGAUACUCCAGUUCCCUUCCGUCAGCUGCUGCCCUUAACUGGGUUUUAAAAGAUGGUCUUGGACGACUAAGCAAAUGCAUAUACACUGCUAGCCUAGCUUCUGCUUUUGAUACUAACUUAAAGGUAUUUUAACUUCCAUUUUCAAAGGAAUCAGUUUUCUUCUGCCGGCACUCAGCAGUUUCUGCAGGUGCCAGCACUAGUUUUGGAAUUUGAUUAAAAAAAGGGGUUAAAUGCACUUUUGCCUCCUGCCAUUUGAGCGAAUUUCAGUUUACCCCACUGUAAUUUUUUUGUUGGGAUUCUAACCUUGUAAUUUUUAGAUUCUUCUCUUUUAGACCUUCGUGGCAUCAAAUUACGGGAUUAAAGGUACUUUCGUCCCCGGUCAUUUGGACGAAUUUUGGUUUACCCCUUGUCACAUCAUCUAUUUUAUGCAGUCAAAUGUCGUGAAGGUCUAAAAGCAAAGAACCUUAAAUUACAAGGUUAGAAUCUAAAAAAAAAGCUACAGGGAGGUAAAAUGGAAUUCAUUCAAAUGGCAGGAGCAAAAAUACAUUUAACCCUUAAAAAAAUUUCAUAUGAACAACCGUGAAGUGCAUGAUGGUAAUUCAAACUUCAUUUGAUAUGCACUAAUUAUAAAUUGAAUCUGAUUACUCUUUCUCUUUCUGUGCAUGUGUGUACCUGCUUUAAAAAGAGAGUCAGGUUCACUACAUCUGUUCUUUUUGUUGGAAGCAUUGGACUUGAAUUACUUACUCCUACAUUUCCUCGAUUCUUCCUGCUGCUUGCGACUAUUGCCAAUAUUGCUAAACAAAUAAGCUUGGCAUGCUACUUAGCAACUCGGGUAAGGAUCAAACCACUAUCGCAUUAAGUUCUCUAUUACGUUUUAUCUUUUCUUUUUCAAAAAAAGCUUUCUUGGUUUGGACUUUGGAGCUACUCACGUGAUGAUAUUACAACACGUAGAUGGUUAAGCAGUUACUUUUAGUUCCCUAAUUUGCUAAUUUACUUUCUUCACGAAAAGAACACACUCAUUCUCUGAGUUCUCUCUAAAUGCCCUCUUACUCUUUCUCUCACUUUCUCACCACAGUUUUAAUUUGUUUCACAUACCAAUGUAUAGUCCCUGUCCAAUUAUGCAUAAAGCAUUUUUGAGUUUUUAACAUCAGGAUAGUUAAUGUAUAAUGCUUUUGCAGAGACUAACACAGUAUACCUCUUAGCAAUUGCCUUUCAAGUUCAAUUAUAUUUUUGCCAUGUUCAUAUUUGUUACUAUCUUUAUUCCUUCUAUUUUCCGACUUGUGCAUUGUCCACCUUUUACUUUUUAUCUGAAGAUUGUAUGCAUAUACUUUUACGCAAUUCUUCAUAUCAUAAGUUUAUCCGUCUUGCAAAAAUUCCCUGCUUUUUCAUCUAUAUAGUAUACUGAUUGAUAUACUUCCUUUUUCGUGAAUUUUGAUAUUUUCUUUUUGUUUACACAGUCGGCUGUUCAUCAAAGUUUUGCAAAAGCAGACAACCUUGGUGAAAUUUCUGCCAAGGCACAGGUUAGCAUAAGUGUUUUUCUUUUUUGUUUACCUUUCUUUAAUCUGUUUAUUCGUGGAUUUUAUUAUGAAUAUUUAAUAUAUUGCAGAUUCAAACAGUCUGCUUUGACAUCCUUGGUCUUAUGCUUGCUGCCCUUGUUAAUAUGUGGAUUGGGAACCAUCAAAGGUUGUUAUUUCAUCCAUAAUAUGAAAUGUUACUGUUUCUGUUUUGCUGUGAAACUGAAAGCUGACUAUAGUGUAUGUACCUUAAGAAAUUGUGACCUUAUCGUUCUAAAUAAAAGAGAGAAAGAAAAAAAAAAACUAACUGUUGUUACAAGGCCACAAUGUAUACUAUAAUGGACUUUUUUUGUCAUGUAUAGGUGUAUGAUAUAUUUUUCAUGUUGUUAUUGCUUAUAUAAUUUGACUCGUUUUCUAACUUUAGUUAUAUCUUGGCUUUCAAGACCACAAGCAGGUCUCCAUUUCUUUGUUUAUCCCCUUUUCGCUUUCAUGGACCUUUUUGGGAUUUAUCAAGGACUAAAACAUGUCCAUCUGAAAACUUUGACUAAGGUAAGUUUUCUGAUGGCUUUAAUUAUGAAGUUGUGUACAGAUUUAAGAUUUUUAAGUUUUAUACUUAAGCGAUUGAAACUGAGUGAUUAUGGAAGAAAUGAAGUGUGGUACCCCUUCAUUGUCUAUUUUGUCAUAAAACAUCUACUAUUUUAUUUUUCCUUUAUUUAACACACAAGUUUUGGUUUUAUAGUGUAGGACUUGUUAAGAGUAUGUAUUUUACUGUCUUGUUGGUGCAUUUUGUUUUAGGAUAGGCUUGAAAUCAUUCUGAAAACUUGGAUUGAGUUUGGAUAUGUGCCUUCCCCGGCAGAUGUGAGCGAGAAAGAAGUAAUCAACUUUAUGGGAGUUAAAGGUGAAAUGCUACGGUCUCUUACAUUCGUGUUUGAUACUUUCAAUGGUGAGGUUAUAGUCAACUAAUAAGAUUUGAUUCAGGUAAAAGCUUAUGGCCAGUUAGAAUAGGGUGCAUAAGUCCCAAGGACCAAAUACCUGAGUGGUCAAUGAAGACGAUACAAAGCAUAACUGAUGAGGAUUAUUACUUUGUAUGCAUGGAGAUCUUCGAAGGAUUAAAAAGAACUGGCCAGGUGAGCAUAAUUAUGAGAUUAUCUUGGUCACCUUCCUAUAAAGUAGUUUUGUAUUCUAAUUGUUUUUUAUUUUGCUUCUUUUUGUCUGUGGCGAUUUUCUAGCUCCGUAUCCUUCUUUCCAUCCGUGAAGGAGCUGAAUCAAAGCAUAUAAUUAUGGGUUUGUUGCAGGUGAUAAGACUAUUCUUCUUAAUGAUUUUUCAACUACUAUUAUCAAUAUUGUUAUUAAUGUUAUUAUUACUGCUAGCUAAUUUGAAUCCUCUCAUGUUCCUUCUGUCAAUGUCAUAUCAUGUCGGAGAAAGACACAAAGUCCCAGGGUUAAACAACUUAAGUGCUAACUGUAUAACUGUAUGUAUAAGCUGUCUGCAUAACAAAAGAUAAAAUAAAAUAAAGUCAAACUGUUUUAAUAUAAGGUAUAAGCGAUCACUCGGGAGAACCUGAAUUUGAAUCAUGUGUGGAACAAUCCUUUGCCAGACUUUGUUUACCUCCCAGCCGGACUUCGGACUAUCACAGCCCUUUUCCUUGAGAACCGGAGGGUAAGACCCAAAAAAAAAAGGAAGAAGCUGUAUGCCGUUUUCUUAAGCUAUCCUAGGAAGCUUAUGGAAAUGAGCUGAAAACGGUUUAUGAAAAUGUCAUGUUGUUUUCAUAAACUUUGUCAAACAGUUUCACAAAUAUUUACUCCAAUAGAUAAGUUCAAAUAAACCAAUUCAACUAGGUCCAAGAUCAGUUAUAAUGGCUAACAAUUAUUUUUAUAGGGUCCAUUAAACUUGACUUUGUAUGUUUCGUUGUAUCCUCCCUUUCCUCUCAUGUGAUAAGAGAGGGGUAUAUUUUUUUUUUUACAUGAAUCAAACAACGUCAUAAUAUCCCAUCAUGAAACAUGUCUAACAUCAGAUAAUUUAACUCUAAAUCAUUCUCAAUUAGUGAAUUAUCUUCCAUUUGAUCUUUAUACUAUGGGAGGGAUAAAACCCUUUGGCCUGAAACCUGAUUUACUUAUUCUAAUGAUAUUUUCAUAUGACAUUUCUUUUUGAAAUGUUUUUUCAAUUUGUAGGCCUGCUACAUCAGAAGGACUCUUCUUAAGUGGAAUAUUAGCAGAGGGGAAAACAAUGCAUCAAACUCAGCACUAGAAGAUUGGUCUGUAAUUGUUGAGGAUGGAAAGAGGUAUGCAGAGAGGGAUGUAACUGAUUUGAUUGAACAAAUGGUGGGAAUGGGUUGGGUGGUGAAGAACAUUUUAUUGUCAAAGCAAGAACAGGCAAGAUACAGUUUUGUGUAUGAUUAAUUAAAGAUGGUUUACAAAAUUUUGUUGGCUCCUUAAUAUUAUGGGAGAGUUUAGGGUUUACUAUUCAUUUAAGAUUAACCUUAAGGGCACAUUGGGUUAACUUUAGUGGAAAAAGUAAGAGAUCCUAAUUGUAUAAAAAAAAGGAGUAAAUGAUUUUAAUGUAUUUUUACAUAUUCAAACCGUUAGAGAAACCAUUAGUAAAGAUUUAGAGGUCAAUGAGUUGGAUCCAAAUUUGGUGUAUGAUAGAACAUUAUGGCGUCAUUUGAUCCAUGUAGCCGACUUCAUUUAGUGGGAUAAGGCUUGGUUGUUGUUGUUUACAUAUUCAAACCGUUAAACUUUACUUUUCUCUCUAAAUGACAUUCUCCAUCCAUGUUCAAGAGUGAUAAAAUCAAAUAUGUGUAGUACAUAAAGUUACUUUAGAUGUUUACUUUAGGCAAGUACAAUCAUAAAUAGUAAAUAAAUAGUGAGUUGGUCAUGUUAAUGACGAAUGCCUUUUUGUAUUUUUAUUCUUUUUGGAAUCUCCGUCCUCAAGAAAUGUGAGGAUGACUUUGACGACGAGACUUUGUCCUCAACAUCGUGAUCCUGUCCUCGACUUAAAAUACUUAAUCUUUACGAAGACCCUGAAUCAUUCUUUCUUUCGCAAAGCUUGUUGAGUGAUUCUUCAACAUUAACCUUUCUUCUUAAGAGGCUUGAUAAUCUUAUUGAACUUUGUGUAAGGAUAAUUGAUUUUUGUGAUUCUUUGAUGUAUCAUGAACAAAACAUGUCUUUAUAAUUUGCCCUCAAAAGCACACAUCAAAUAACACAUGAGAUUGUAAUAUUAAUUAUUUCAAAACACCAAAUAAUAUUUUGGCUCAACAAUGACUUCAACCGGUAACUGUAUAUCAUUACGUUUGAAGAAAAUUCACAUAUUUUAAAAUAUUAAAUGAAGAUUAAAAAAAAGAGUGCUUCAAUAAACAUGAUUUUCUAUAAACACUAAUUUUUCACUAAUCUACUUAAUUUGUUGUUAAAUAUGUGAAACAUCCAUCAUUCUAGAUGGUAUUUACACUUCAUAAUUAAUUAAUAAUCUUAAACUAUUCAAUUUACACAUCAUUUCUUACUUCUCUCUUGAUCAAUUAUUGACUUAAGCUUCAAAGUGUUUAUAGAUGCAUCACCACCUAAUCUCUAUCGUUCUCAACCGCAUUCCCUCACCACGUAAGUCAUAUUCUCAUUGCCGCAUACCCUUACCACGUAAGUCAUAUUCUCAUCGUCGUUCUCAACAGCAUUCCCUCACCAUGUAAGUCAGACUCUCGUCGAGAAUGUUCUUAACUGAACACUUUCACUCUAUAGAAGUUCUAAAUUUUUUAUGUUCAUUCCGGUAAUUUUUACUAUUUUAAAUUUGGAUAAUGCUAACAAGCACCCUAAGGACACUUGUUAAGAAAAUUAAAUCCUUAACAAAUAUCCUUAAAGCACUGAUUAACAUCUUCCUUUAAAUUGAUGAAGCCUUAAACUUAAAGGACAAGGCCAUUCUUUGACCAUAUUAGUAUGACAGUAUUCAUUGGUUUUAUAGAUAACUUUCCUCUAUAGCUCUCACAAGUCUUCCGAUGUGGGACUAUUGGUUUAAACUUUGAAGGCUAAAGCCAUUGGAGUUUGAUACUCCAGUUCCCUUCAAUCAGCUGCUGCCCUUAAUUCGUAGGCCUGCUACAUCAGAAGGUCUCUUCUUAAGUGGAACAAUAGUAUAGGGGAAAGCAAUGCAUCAAACUCAGCACUAGAGAACUGGUCUGUGUUUGUUAAGGAUGGUAAGAGGUAUGCAAAAAGGGAUGUAACCAAUUGAAGCACGAAUAAAUACACGGACUAAUCCAUAGAAAUAUAAUGUUAUAUGUGUUGUUAAGAAGUACUCUCAAAUCUCAAUGUACUUCCGUCCGUUUCAAAUAUAAAAAAGAUUCUUUUUUUUAGAGGUUUAUUAAAUAAUGAUUCUAUCUGAUUUACAAUGAAGAUCAAAUACAUUAAUUGUUCAAUGAACCUAAAAAAGAAUAUUUUCUUAUAUUUGAGAUCGGAGAGUAUAUAUAACAUUGCAAUGCGUUUGGAUGUAUAGUCUUGCUUUUACAUCCAGCUAGUGCAGAGCACAAGUUUGUUGCUAGUUUUGAUGAAAAUUACGUACUAGCGAAAAGAUGGGCACUUACGUGUCCGUCUUUCUACUCUUUUUAUUACGCUAAAGUUUGAAAAUUAUAUGAAAUUUUGAUUUUGAUUAAAAGUAUAAAUAUAAAUAUAAAUGAAUGUUGUUUUCAAAUUAAAACAAAUCAAACUAACAUUGUCUAUCUAUUUCAAUGACACAAACAAUAUAAUCUAAAUUCUUAUCUUUUUAAUGACACCAACAACAAUCAUUUAUACUAUAUAUAAAGAAAACAACUCCUUUCAACACUUUUGAGCUGUCUUCUUUUUAUUAAUUUGUUAUUGUUGGAACACUAGUGUAUAAUGGAAAAAACUUGGAGUAUACUAGUUGGUUUGUGGAGCCUUUGGAAUGUAAACACAAGGAUGGAGAAACUAGUGUAAAGUGUGAAUUGAAAAUUUUAUGUCCCACGUUGGGUAGAUCACACACUCUAGUAGUGUUUAUAUAUGUGGGAUAUCACUUCCAAGGGUGUGCCCUUGGGGUACACACUUUUGUGAAUGGAGUGAGCGCUUGCUAAAAAUUAUAUAUAAGACACACGCGCGCGCGACGACACCGCUCUCCGUCCGAUUUUGGUGCUCAGAAAAAUGAAAAAAAUAAUAUUUUAUUUUUUUGCUCCGAGAUUCCCGCACACGGAGACCAAGUCUCACACGCGCAAGCUUCAGUUCCACGUUUCCACGUCGUGGGUUACCGUUGCUGGGUCGUGGGCUAACGUUGGCGGGUCGCGAACCGGGUCGGUGGAGAAAACGAGGUCAAAUCCCCUCUAUAAAUAGAGAGCUCGGGAUUUGCAUUCUUCACUUCAAAACUGAGAAUCGAAUCCUCUUCUCUGGUUUUCUCCCCUUCUCAUCUUCCUCGGUUUGUGUUGACGAACCGUUCUUUUCUUCCUCCUUCUUUGGUUUCUUAAGUGGUCUACGUACCAUAUUAGAGUGGUUUUUUGAAACCAUAUUGAGGUGUUAUUCUCGAGCGAUUUCUGGCAGUGCAGCCUUUAAUCGUACAGAUAGAAUCUGGGCUGUUUUAUCCUGGAGACGGUGCGGUUGCUAGUCUACCUUGCACACAAUUUAGGUAGUGCCGCGAAACGUCUUAAAGAAAGCGACCUGGUCGUGACUCACCCCGGUAAUAGUUUCAAAGCUCUGUCGUAAUUUUUAAAUUCCAAAACAACAUUUAUUAUAUAUUUAUAUAAUAAAAUGAGAUAAUAAUGUACUACUAUUCAACCUAAAUUGGGAUUAUCCGCUAAGAAUUAAAGCUUCGGGUAGAUCAAGAAAACAACAUUAUCAGCUGCAACAGGAGUAUAUUAUAAUUUCUUUUCUUUCAAAAAUGCCAUCAAUUUUCAAUACAAAUAACACAUGUAACAAAUAGAUAAAAAUAAAUUUAAAUAUUUAAAAAAAUGUAACAAACACGAUAUAAAUAUAUAUAUAUAUAUAUAUAUAUAUAUAUAUAUGUCUGAUUUUUUUUCCUUUAUCAUUUAAAAUUUGUAACAAACUAUAUGAGUAUAUUUAUACUUACUUUUUAUUAUCCUAAUUAUACCCUUAAUUUGGUUUGUUAUAAUUAGAAAGCAACAAACAUUUAUAUUUUUAGUUUUAAUCAAAAUUAAAAUUUCAUAAAAAAAACAUGGUUCAUAAUUUUCAAAUAUUAGCGCAGUAAAAAUAGCGGAAAGAUGGGCACAUGAGUGUUUGUCUUUUCGCUAGUUAUUAUAGAAAAAGUUGUUUUAGGAUAUAAGUGAGAAAAUGAAAAAGUCAAUCCAAAAUAUUAUAUUUUCAUUAUAUAUAGUAUAGAAAUACUCGAUCUAGUUUGUUACACUUUUUAAAGCAUAUGAGAAAUAGUUUGUUACACUUUUUAAAGCGCAUAGGAAAAAAAAUAUAUUUUGAAUUCACUCCCAUCAAUUAUCAUUUUUUUAAAGAAUAAAGGAUAAAGAAAAAAAUUGAUAUAUCAUGGACAAUAAAUAUCGAAUUUGUUACACUUUUUUAAUAUUUGAAUUAACUUUUAUCUAUUUGUUAUGUGCUAUUUGUAUUUAAAGUUGAGGAUAACUUGAGAAAGAGAAAAAAUCAGCCCAAAAAUUAAAAUGGAUUAUUUUUACUUCCAUAGAUAAAUAAUAGAUGUUGUGUACUUUCAUAUUCUGACAAACUAAACUAAUCUUUUUCAAUGAUAUCAACAAUAUAAUAAAUAUUAUAUCUUUCAAAAACUAUAAUAAAUAAUAUUUUAUAAAUUCUUAUCUUUUUUAAUGACACAACAACAAAAUUUGUUUAGAGGUUUUUUUUUCCUAAAAAAACAAAAUUUGUUUAAUGGAGGUAUAAUUAAAAGGAGAAAAAACUAAAAUAUGAUGCAUUCACAUUAGCACAUUUUUCUUGUUAACAUUUUUCACAUUAAGAAAACAUGAAAAAUAGAAGAAACACGUGGAGAUAAAUAAGUGGAUGGUAGAUGAUUCUAGAAGGUGAUAGAUGCAACAGGAAAAGUGAAAAAACAAUUGAUGUCGUAGAAAAUCUAAAUCUCCAAAGCAAUUUGUCUCUAUUUAUUUAACACCGCUUUCCCUUGUUCCGUGCUUUAACAACUAACGUGUUUUGUUUCUACUUUCAUCAUCUCCUUCAUAGUAAUCUCUCUCUCUCUCUCUCUCUCUCUCUCUCUCUCUCAUUUGUGAAUUUCCUCCAAUUUUGGAUUGUUAUUUCGUUUUCAAAGGUAGAUUUUGAAAUAGAUCUGUGAUUUAGAAUUGGGAUUUACGUACUCCAUUCUGGGUAAAACUGCUGUUUUUUUUAAUGGGUUUUAAGUUUUUUAAAAGAAAAUUACCUGGGUUUUAAUGGAUUUGUUUCUAUUUGAAAAGGGUCAUUUUGUUUUAGUUGUUUACUUUUGUUUGAUUAUUGUGUUGUAAUGAUUUUGAUAAUGAUGAAAAUUUUGAGGGUUUGUCUUGUGUAUGAGAAAUUGGAAUUAUUGGCAGAAUGCAUUGAAUUAACAUGUUUUCACUCAAAAUUGUUGUUUUCUUUCUAACGUGUGUUUUAUUCUGUUAGGUUCUAUUGAAGAAUUUACGAUUCUGUUGAAGUGUUUUUGAGUGCUUGACUAAUUUUCAUUCAACUGUACUACAUGGCUGAGGUAUGUGACACAUCAAUGAUACUUGCGGUGUUUUUAUUUAUCAUGAGUCCUGACAUUUAAUUACUUUAAUUGAUUGCAGGAGGGUUACAGGGUUACUCUUAAUGUUUAUGAUCUAAGCCAAGGACUUGCUCGACAGCUUUCAACGUCGUUUUUGGGGAAAGCUAUUGAAGGGAUAUGGUGAGUGUUUUUUCCCCUUUGUUUUAGGUCCAUGGUAUAAUGUUCAUGAUCUAAUGGCUUAAUUAGUUGUUUUAUUUUAGAAUUAUGGAUUAGAUGGUUGUUUUAUGUUUAUGUUGUGUUGAAUGAAUGGAAUUGACUUGGAACAUUUGAACUAUAAGGGACUGACACAGACACAGAGCACAUACACAACACCGACACAUUGGCAUUGAUAGUAACUUGAAUAAUGGAGGAAGUUGAAUGUAACUGCAUGUGUUAGUAUCGUGAACAUUGGCACGUGUCAGACACUGAACCCACCUUUAAUCUGUAGUGUCGGUGCUAGAUAGCUUUUAAUUACUAUAGGUUAAUCAUAGGUUUGUUUCUUUCGUCUGGUAUCUUGAAGGUACAUGCCAAAAUCUUGGUUGUGCUAUUUUUUGUUGGCAUAUUGAACGGUGGUGUCAAUGGAAGAUCGUAGAAGAUAGUGGUAUAUUCACAUUCUACUAAUUAUUUGACAAAAUUUUGUACUAAAUUGAGUAUUGCGGGAGAAUAGCAAUUUGUUUAAUUUCUAUCAAUAUGAUGGUUCUAUAGUGUUAAUACUAUUUGAUAACAAUGAUAUUGAAAGGUUACAUUUUUUUAUAAUUUCUGAUAUUGUUUUUAUGCUUCAGGCACACAGGAAUUGUGGUUUAUGGCAAUGAGUACUUCUUUGGUGGUGGCAUACAACACUUGCCUGCUGGAUCAACACCAUACGGAACUCCACUCAAAGUGGUAGAGUUAGGAGUUACUCAUGUUCCAAAGGACGUGUUUGAAAUGUAUUUGCAGGAAAUCAAUCCGCGGUACUUGCCUGAAACCUAUAGUUUGCUUACUCACAACUGCAACAACUUCAGCAACGAAGUUGCUCAAUUUUUGGUUGGUGCUACGAUUCCUGAUUAUAUUCUUCAGCUCCCUAAUGAAGUUAUGAGCAGCCCAAUGGGUUCUCUUUUCUGUAAGUUAUCAUCUACAACACUUCACUCAAAUCAGAAACUCUUCUUAGCUUGUAGACAGGGUUAUGCUUUAGUAUGUAUAAUAUUUUGAUAUAUUAGUAACAAAAUACAUUCAAUCAAAUCUUUAUGGCAUGUAGAAACUAUUUAACCAAUAACCAUAGACAAUUUAGAAAUACUUUUUAUAGGCAUUUUCAUCUAAAUAUUGUAUGCUUUUGUUUCAAAAUAUAUUUUUUUGUCUAAUUAGAGUUCCGCAUAGUAUGCGACAACUGCUCUAGGACCUCUCGAGCCAUGCUGUAUAUGUCCAAUAUGGCCGUGAGGGGGUAUGUGACGAGUCCUACAUUGAUGACACAUGGCCGGAUAAUGAGUUUUUAAGUAGGAGACAUCUAUAUCUUACAAGUCGUUUUUAUAGUGCUGAAAUUCACCCACCCUUUCAAAUAUCCACUAGUGUCAUCAGACAAGUCUAAAUAAGUCAUUAUUAAUACAUCCUUAGCUUUUCUACUUAACCUUGCAGUUGCAGCAAUUCGCUUGCAUAUUACAAGUAAUUUUCAAACUACAUUUGUUACUGUCUAAAUUGAAUAUUUAAUGUUCAUGAAUGUUUGUUCUGGUUAAUACUGUAAUUAAUUACUUACGUCUAUAUCUUCAAUUUGACAGUGCCAAUGAUUCAGAAUUUAGAGACAACAUUAAAAUCCGGCGGAGUUCCACAAGUACCACAAUUCAGGCCUACCACAGUGAGUCCUGCUUCAAAUUUUGCCUCAGUCACCACCCAAAAGAGUUCAACUGCACCUAACUCAUCCACAGAGAAAAAGGCUAUUCCCAGUAAGGAAGUAGCAAAAGGCAAAGAAGAAGAUAAGAAGACAGAAAAUGCAGUGUCAGCUUCUGAAAAAGCAGCAGCAGCAUCAAAUGGUGUUGUAAAGGAUCCUUUAGGUGAUGCAAGGAGCAAGGUUCAAGAUGAGAUAAUCAAAGAGUUUGCUGCAAUAAUGGCAACUGGGACAAUGCGUGCUAGUGAAGCUGCAGCACUUGCUACUAGAAGAGUUAUGGAAAGACAUGGUCAGAUGUCUGUGUCACAGAGUUAACAACACUUGUUUCUGUCAUUUUUAUUUUAAUUUAGUUAACAAUUUGUUAUGUAUACAAUGUCACUGCAAUUGUUUGUGGUGGAUUUUUAAAUUAAAUUUGAGACACAAUUUAAUCACUCUCUUACUCUUUUGUGUGGAUGUUUACAUUUUGUUACUUUGCUUCUUGAAUUUUAUGGCGGAAAUGGAAUAUAUGCAUUUGAAGUUGGUUAAAUUAUUGUAUUUAUAAUUAUAUCAUUUUUAUAAUAUUAUUAAUUAAUUAAAUAACAUUAAAUAGGAAUAAUUUCAUGAACAAAUAUCAAACACUAAAAUAAAAUUUAUUUUGAUCUUAUUUGUCUAAACCAUUUUUGUCAAAUUUUUUGACUUGAACAUAGUCAACCACAACGAUGAAAGUAUUUAAACAUAUGUAUUAUUUUAUUAUUUUCUCAUUUAACUUUUUCUCAAAUGUGUGAAUGUGUUCAAAUAGAAUGUCCACAUACGGAUAUACUUGUGACACAAGUAUUUUUCAUAGAAUUGAAGUAGAUGGAGGUUGCAGCUUGCAAGUGGGUCGCAGUUCAAAGAUGCAUGACCUCAUGACAUAUGUGGAUGAGUCAAACAAAGUGAGGUUGGAAGAAACAUUCAGCAUGUACUUGUCAAUACGCGUUUUGACGUCAACUUCUUAACGCCUAAGAUACCAAUUAUUGUACUUUGUGGGAAGUGGGAACGUUAUUCAUCAUCAAAAAUAAAACAAGUAAUUGUUCUUUCUUGGUAAUAUACUUUGUUGUUUCUUUGUCAAGUAUAAAAACCGAGGUCCCAUGAACAUAGCUCAGUUGGUAGGACAAUGCAUUAUUAUAUGCAGGGAUCGAAGUUCGAACUCCGGACACCCAACUUAUUCACCUUAUAAGAUGAAUUUUAGCCAUUAGAUUACCUGACAAAAAAAAAAAAACUGAGUAUUAGACCACGGCUCAUGCACAUUGAACUUUUGAGGUUAGAACGUUUACCGCGGCAGCUAAAAUUUUGUGAAGUUGGUCUUGCAAAACUUUGUACCUCUACUCCAAUUCAUUUUUUUUACGAGAAAACAGAUAAUGUAAAAAUUAGAAUGUGAUUUCCUUAGAUAAUAGAUAAUCUCAAAAGUUUAACAUUUUUUGUCAAUUCUAAGGAUUAACUUUUUUAUUAUUUUUUUAAAAGAAAACUUUAAGGAUCAACUUGUUGAUAUAUUUACUUUAGAUAUUUUAUAAUGAUGAUAGUAUUUCUUGUUUACAAGAAAUAUCAUGUUUAGUUCUCUCAAAAAAAAAAAAAUAUAAUGUUUAGUCUUGAGUUAGCAGCAUAUCAAUCAAGCUAUACAGUAAUAAACAUGAAAAUGUGUAUUGAAAAGCACUCAAAAGUGUCACAUACAUAGAGAUGAAGCCUGAAAAAAGAUAUCAUUCUUCUAUUGUAUAUGUUUGUCUUUCAGCUAAAGACUUUCAGAUAAAUGUUCUCCCUGAUUAGAUCCCAUUCAUCAUACUUAUGAUAUUUGAAUUAUAUUUUACUUAGGUUGUUUGUAUUAUUAAUUAAAUUAAAGUAAUACAAAGCUCAGGGCAAUUUACAUGGCUUUCCAAUUAUAAAACUCUUGUACUAUUUCCUCUAGUUCUUAUUCUCCAGUGUUUGUAUAGUAAGUAUUACAUUCUAGUUAUUGCAACAAAAUUGGCAGAACUAAAAAAAUAUUUUACAGUUGAACUAAUAACUAAAAAGAAUGCAAUGUAGCAGCUGAAUCUUGUGUUCUUGGCAAAGCAUGCUCUUCAUCUCUUAUAUUCACAUCUUCAUUUUUCAAUUCCACAGCAGUAGUUUUUGUUGAUUUGCUAAAAAUUUCGGCUGGAAUGUUGAUUCCCGCAAAGCCGAUCAUGACAGCUACUGCUCCGAGGUAAUUCAUGAAGGGAGGAGAAUGUCCGGUGAUGGUAUCAACAAUGGCAGCCAAUGGGACUUGAAUUGUGAGUCCAGCUGUAGCUACUGUGGUUGAUGUUAGAAGAACAGCCUUGGCCCAUAAGUAAUCACUCAACACAUUGUCCAGCAAUCCUAGUUUUGAUAGGAAAUAAAAAAUGUACAGGUUAAAUUAUGUACAACGAGGGAAAAAUCCAUGGAUUAAAGGGUAAAGUUAAAACCAAGAAAAUCUUUGGCAUGUUUGUUUGACAAAAUGUUAUGCGUUAAACUUUAAUCACGAAACUGACACUAUUUUCAGUUUGUUUCCAAUUUUCAAAAAUUUAAACAUCUUGUUUCCAAUGUUUCAUGUAUAAAUAUUUGAAAUCAGAAAUCACGAUGAAAAUAAUGCGACAGUUUUGUAAUCUAAAGCACAAACAGGUAAUGAAAACAGAACAUUUCUCAAAUCAAACAUGCUUUAGUUGUCUUGAAGGCAAACAAAAGUUGUGGACAUUUGUUACAUACAAAGCCAUGAUGGUCAUGUCUAUAAAUAAUUUACAACUCUUUGACAUUCCAAGUGCAAAUGCAGAGUUAUAAAUCUGCAUAUAAAGUCCUUUCGGAAGUAGCAGUGAAGUGUUUGCUCAAUAGAUUUUGCCCAUUUAUCAAUGAAAAAUAGAGUGAUUGCAGUAACAUGCCAAUAAAACAACAAAAUAAUCUUCAUUGUCCGCAAACAAAGAUCCAUACAACAUAGUACGAACAAUGGGAAGAUCAACAAUGAAGCAUAGUGACACAAAUGACCUUCCAGCCUCUCAUCACCACACUAAGAUUGUCAUACAUGAAGUAAUGCAUAGUUUUGUUUUCUAGGUUUGAUAAUUCUUAUGAGUUUAAUGGAGAUGCACCAACAUCCAAUAAGAACUCAUGGUAUUGCCACGUAAGCACACUCUGUAACCACAAUUUAAAAAUAACUCAUAAUACUAGAUUCCCAGAUCAAUACUAUAUGUUUGGGCAAAUUGUGGGUGUCUUGUUCAUGAAGUUAGAAUGUAUUUAGCACAAGAUUUGUUUUAAUUAUGCCAUUGCGUUUUCUUGUUAAUGAAGAAAUGGUCAUAGAUGGGGACCCAUAAGAAGAUAAGAUAAAUAGAUAAUGGUCUAAAGUUUAGAUUUAGAUAGAGAAAAAGAAGUGUUGGCAUAUAACUUGAAAAAGGAAUGAGACUAAAUUGACUGUUCUUUUGCCUCUUUAUUAUUGACAAAUUGCACGAGAGUGGGAAAGAGAAAAGAGAAUAACACAACCUUUGCAACCCAAAUGAGAGUGAUAUCCACCUGACGUGUUUUUCACCCACACUCAUGGAAUACAUCCCAAGAAAGACAACACGAUCAUUAACGAAUUGGAAAAUCAGUUAACGAAUUGUGCUCUUGACCAAUACUUAAGAUGUCUCAAAUAUUUUAGACAUACAAAACACAUUAGAAGUGUUCCAUUGGAAAAUCAGAGAAGGGUUCUAUCAGAAAAUCAAAUCAGGAAUAAGGAAUAAAAAACUAAGCAGGACAAAAAGUUGGCGACUUCUUUUUCCUUAUGGACUAGGCUAGUCCAUAAGGAAACAAUUUCUAAUUUUUUUAAUAUAAAUUGAGAAUCGAUUCUCUCUUUUUUUAUUUGUAAUUCGGAAAUUUGUUUUUUCCUUUAAUUUGGAAAUUAAAGAAUACAAAAUAAUACAGAAAUAAAUGCUUUCUUAGAGAAAGCAUUUAUUUUUUUGAUACAACGAUUUCCAUUGGUAGACUCAAGAAUAUGGAACGAUUUCCAUUGGUACACUCAAGAAUCUGGACAAGUCCCAAGCUUUUUGUAUAACGUUGCGUGGAGUCCUAUCAUAAUAAUCAUCAACAGGAGUCAAAGGAACGGUCCCUUGUUCUCGUGUUUGCAUAUAAAGGACACCACUACUGGGUUCUGGGUUCAGGGGUAGCCUAGUCCACAAGGUUCCAUUCUCGUUGAAAAAGGUAUGGUUGUGCGUAUACAUAUUGACCGUUCCCAGAUCUCAUAACAGAUGGAACCAUUUCUUAAAUUCUAGCAGUAGUCAACCACAAUCAUAGAGUACGGAAGUGUUAAGUUUUUCUUAUAACAGAAAACUAGCAAAGUGAAAUGGUAAGAACCUGAAAUUUAUCUUUAAAAAAGAAUUUAUGAUUUAUAGCAACCUAUACCUAUUCAUACAAAUCUAAAAUUAUGGCAUCAUUUUUAGGGCUUCCUCUUAUUACUAUCAAGCAAGAUUCUUUUUUUUUCCUUCUGUUUCAAUCUAGCAAAGCUUAACAUUUUGAAGGUAAAAACUUUGCACCAGGAACUAUAAUCAAUUUGCUCUCAGAUUAAUUUUCAUUUUAAGUUUAUAAGAACCAAUGUCAACCCUAUGGUGGUUUAUUAUUUAUUAAUAAAGCUGCUACUCACAAACACAUGCAAUUGUACAUAUAUAAAUAACCAAGGUCUAAAUGAGAUUUGUCUCCUAAAGUGGAACUCAUUUUAGAGGAAAAAGUGAUUAGUUAUAAGUUAUGACUAUUGACUGGGAAAUCAAUGUUGGAGGUUAUGAUACAAUGCACACAACAACAAAUUUAUUUAAAUCCACUAUCUUGAUUUUCUCAUCAAUAGUUGUAACUAUCCAGUUAUCUUUCUUAAAAGAACCCUUAAAGGAGCCAAAUGCAUCCUAAAGAAUGCUUAUUGGCAUAGCUAUUUGUAGAAUACAACAUGUAAAGGGCAUGCACAAAGAGCAAAGGGUAGAUAGGAAUGCCAUUCAUAACCAAAGUUUUUACCAGAAUGGGGUCUGAUAGGACUAUGUGUUUGGGCCUUGGCCAACUAAGAGUUAGUUGAGAGACUCACUGAAAUUUAGAAACAUUUAUGUUGUAAAAGAGAGGGAAGGGUAAUGUGUAACUAAUGGAGAAAUAUUGUUAGAGUUGGUUAGAAGAGAUUCCUCUCUGGUUAGGAGCAAUGUGCUCUGGUAGGAGUGUUCACACUCUGGUUUAUCUCUUUCAUUUUAUGUUUUCACCAUUGUAGAGCUCUUCAUCUUUAUCAUUCAAUAAUACACAGUUUCAUUAUCAUGAUUUUACGAGUUCUAUCAGGGUCAGAUGCAUAGAUGAAAUAAUAUCUUAAUUUUAAAUCAUGUUAAUGUUCAACCUUUUAAAUGUAAAUCCAUCUUAAUAGUUUAGCAUAUAAUCAUGACAGUCAUUUAUUUGAUCUACUCUUAAUAGUUUAACAUAUAAUCAUGACAGUCAUUUAUUUGAUCUAAUCUUAAUAGUUUAGCAAAUAACAAUCUCAUUUCUAUAACAAAAUGCAACUUAGCGACCUUAUCAAAUUCCAAAGAAAAUGUAUAAGAUAGUGAAUACAAACCUUUGCCAAUAAUCAGACCAAGCUGCUUCCAAGUAAGCAUAUAAAAAGGUUCAGCCUUGGUGAAAUUGAGUAUGAGGGCAACUGGAAGAAAAAGUAAAACAUUGAAAAGCCCUAAAAAUCCAAGAAACUGAGCCAUACUAGCUUCACCAUUCUUUCCCUCAUCAUCAUUUAAUUUCUUGCGAAUAAGAGUGAUAUACACUGCAUACAAUCCCGCUGAAGAAAGUGCAAAAAUGUCUCCAAGAAGAGGAUUUGAGGCAACUGUUCUUAAACCAGAUUGUGAAUCACCAAGACUUACAAUUAUUGUUCCUCCCAUGCAGAGAAGAACACUAAAGAGCUUUAACCAAGCAAACUUUUCUCCCAAAAGAGCUAGUGAAACCAAGAAGGUAAAGAGACUGGAUGCACUGCUUAAGAUUGUAUUUGACUGCACAUAACAUGAAAAAGUAACUAAUUUAGAGGUGUGUUAUUUUGACACAAAAUGUGACAACACAAUUUGGAUAGUAAAUCCAAAUCAAAUACAUGGUUAUUUACGUUUAGUAAAUGAUUAAUGACUAAAACAAGGUGUCACAACUCAUUGCCCAUUCACAAAACACAAUUAACCAUGAUUUUGACCAAAAUUUUUCGGUGUAUGUUUGAACAGAAAUCGUGGUUAAUAGAUAUCAUAUCAUGUAUAUUUGAAAACUUAAGAAUCAUGUAUAUAUGAACAUAAUUUGGAGGGUAAAAACUUAUAAUGGAUACCUUAUUUAUUUGAAUACCUAGAAAUCACGGUUAAUGACAUUCAAAAUUGUGGUUAAUUGCGUUCAAUGAAUAAUUAAUAAGUUGGAACACCUUGUUAUAUUCAUUAACUACUCAUUGAAAGUAAAUAGCCAUAUACUCGAAUGCCAUUAACUAUCGAAAUUGUUUUCGAUUUCUUUUGUCAGCUUUGUAUGUCAAACCAUAAUUUCUGCUAAUUUAAGCAAAGUAAUGAAGUGAAACAAAACUUAAAAGUAAAGACAAAAAAUUCCGCAUUCACUCACCGUAACUGUAGUAUACUUCAAGGACAAGUUAAAAGUGAGUUGAGCAAAAAACCAGAACGGGCAUAUCAAUAAACUAACUUUAGCGACUCUGCAACGAGUCCAACGCCCUUUCUCAUCCAACCCCUUUUGAUCAACAUUUUCAACCAAACCAACCCGACCAACCAAUCCUCCAACUACAUCAUCCGAAGGCAGCAAUUCAGAACCAUCGUUCCUAUCAACAAUCCCAUCCACCUCAUCAAUAACCAACGACUCCACAACUUCACCGCUUGCCUCAUUAUCUCUAAGAAGUAUCGCCUGCUCCGACUCCCCUAACCUCCCUUUUAAACUCUUAUCACUCUUCCAAAACAAUAAACUUCCAUAAGAAUCCUCCAAAUACCUCCCAAUUUCAACAAUUGGAAUCAACACCACAAACAAUGAAUUGCAUAUGUAAGUAACAAGAAAUGGCGACACACCAGCAUCUACAACAGAUUGCACUACAAAACUAGCAGCUAUCCAUAUUAUUGCAACAGCUAUUAUAUAUAUCAAACCUAAACCCCAUUUCCAAGCUUUACUAUCCAAAUCUUUUGAACCCACCAUUAUCUAUAUAUCACCAAAAACCCUUCUCAAAAUUCAAAAUCUAGCAUACCCAGAAAUCAAAACACGUUCUAAUUGAAAAAUUAUCAAUACCCAUUUUGCAAUUCUAGAAAAUAAUCACCUACAAGCUACAAAAAAGUCGUAAAUUGGAUCAAAGAGUUAAACUUUGAAGGAGAAUAUCAUAAUCUGACACAGUACGAUGUACCUGUCGGAUAAUCAAAAUCGGUGGAAACAGAUUUUCUAUGAUGUUGUUCUGCGAAGCUAAUUCUUCGUAGAAAUUGAAUCCAAAUUAUGGGUUGGAUCUGAAUUUGUGAAUUAUUCAAAUUUUCGUUAUGAAAUCGGUCGAAAAAGUUGCAAACAAAAAUCUAUUGGUAAUUUUUUUUUGAGGGAAAAUCUAUUGGUAAAUGUUAUUCGCACCCCACUUUUUUCCUAAUACAAUCACCUAGGACCUAAUAUAAAAAGAGUUUAAUAGAUUUAUUUUUUAUUUUUUUUAAGGAAGUUUAAUAGAUUUAUUUAAACCGUCCUCCAAAAAACCAAAAAGAAAACACUAUGUUAUUUAAGAAAAAAAUCAAAUGUAUUCCCAUGUAUUAUUUUGUUAUAUAAUCACUUUUUUUAAAAUAACAAUCAAAUGUCAUUUAAGAAAAAAAUAACAAUCAAAUGUUCAACUCUCCCCCUAAAAAAUGUUCAAUUCUUAUUUCAAUUGUUGGUGUAAAACUAGACUAACAAGUAUUUGAGUAAACAAUUCUUAUUGUAAAUUCUAUUUUCGUGAACAAACAAUUAGUUUAGUUUUUUUAUUUUUUUUUAUUUUUAUAUAUAAGGUUGUUGAUGCAAAAGGCAUCAACUAUAAAUUAAAAAAAAGAAACCAAAAAGAAUGGGGACAUAAAGCCUUAACCUUUGAAUCAUUUACAAACCUAUAACAGAGUAAGCUUAACAUAUCUCUAAUGUAAUCAACUCUAACUUAUAAGUAAAUUUCAUUCAUCCAUAAAAUAGAAUUAUACGACAUACCAAUAUAUACACGACACACCAUAAAAUAUAAUUAGUUUAGUUUUUGAAUACGAAAGAGAUUGUUUUCAUAGGGAGUCAAGUAUAAUUGUAAAUAUAUUUUUAUUGUCUUUUUUGUUAGUAAUUUUAUGGAGUAAAUUAACCGAGAAAAAAUAUAUGUGAGAUUUUCAAAGAUUAACAUGACUAAUAAGUUAGAAAAUUUGAAGAUAUAAUUGCAAUUUCAAUAUACAUUUUUUUUAGGAAACAAUUUCAAUAUACAUGAAUACUAUAAUAGAUAGCGAGAAGAUGGGGCACUCCACUCUUUUUAUUACGCUAACGUUUGAAAAUUAUUAAUGGUGUUUUUUUUUAUGAAAAUUUUGAUUUGGAUUAAAACCAAUAAAUAAAUGUUUGUUGCUUUUAAGUUAUAACAAACCAAGAUAAUCAGGAUUAUGUUAUAACAAAUCAAGCUAAUCAUGAUUAUUAAUUUCGACCACAUCAAAAAUAUAACAAAAAAAUAUAAUCUAAUUUUUUUUAAUGACACCAACAAUGAUCUUUAUUAUAGAAAAAGUUGUUUAAUGAUAUAAUUGAAAUAAUGAAAAGUAAGUAUAAAUAUACUCAUAUAGUUUGUUACACUUUUUAAAUAAUAUUGGAAAAAUAAACCAGACAUAUAUUUAUUCAUAUCGUGUUUGUUACAUUUUUUUAAUAUUUAUAUUUAUUCUUGUCUAUUUGUUACAUGUGUUAUUUGUAUUUAAAAUUGAGGGUAUUUUUGGAAAUAAAAAUCCAGCCCAAAAAAAUUAAAAGGGGUUGUUUUCUUUAUAUAUAACUAGCGAAAAAGACGGGCACGGAGCUAACGUUUGAAAAUUAUGUACGAUAUUUUUUUAUGAAAUUUUGGUUUUGAUUGAAAGUAAAAAUAUAAAUGUUUGUGUUUUUUAAUGACACGAACAACAAUCUUUAUUAUAAAAAAAGUUGUUUAAGAGUACAAUUGAAAUAAUGAAAAGGUAAGUACAAAUAUACUCAUAUAAUUUGUUAUACUUUUUAAAUGAUAAAAGAAAAAAAACAGAUAUACAUAUAUUCAUAUCGUGUUUGUUAUAUUUGUUUUAAUAUUUAAAUUUAUUCUUAUCUGUUUGUUACAUGUACUAUUUGUAUUGAAAAUUGAGGGUAUUUUUGGAAAGAAAAAUCCAACCCAAAAGUGCUGAAUUGGGUAGUUUUCUUUAUAUAUAGUAUAAAUAUAGUAUAAAUAUAGAAGUAUAGAUAUAGAUAUCACCUCACACAUUUAGAGAUUAAUUUAUUUAUUUUAGAUUAAAAUGAUUGUUUACUCUUUUUUUAUUUUAUAAAAAUAAUUAUUGUUUACUCUAUUUUAAGUCCUGGUUUCUUACUAUUUUAUUGUGUAAAAACACAUUUUUUUUUUAUUUUUUAACAAAGUAGUUUAAGAAAAAUCGUCAUUUUUGUGUGUUUGGUUUUCGAGGCUUAUAUAUUUUUAGGAAAUGCUAACUAACGAGUGUCGUUAAGGCAUUGUUUAAGAAUAAAAAAAAAAUUACAUUAAAAAUUGUGUAGUUAUGACUUUUAUAUACUUUUGAUUUGUAUUUUUUUAAACAAACCUUCUUUUUAUGGGUUCCUUGAACAAUAUUCUUAGAUCACUUGUCGGCAAGAAUCUAUAUUUUAUUUAUUGUAGAAAAAAAUAUAUGUGGAUAGAGUUGUUUGCAUAUUUAUUAGAGGAUUCAAAUAAUUAGGGUCAAAAGUAUGAGUUGGUUGGUUAACAUUUUCUAAGAUAUAUAUGAAUUGAAGUGUAUUAUUGUUGCAUAUAUGAAUUGAAGUGUAUUAUUGUUGCAUUCAAAAUACUAAAAUAGGAGUUGAAAAAAAAAACACAAAAUAAUAAUUAGCAUUCCUCUUUUUCUUAUAUAUUUACAUUAUAAAAAGCAACCGCAAAUUAGAAGACGAAAAAUUGACAGACAAAAUUAUUGACAAAUUUAAAUUUUUCAUGUAUUCUAGUUAACAAUUUUUUAUUUUUCAUUUUUCAUAAUUGAAAAUCUCACUUCAAGAGCUUACAUUGCAUCCAUGAAUAAUAUGGAUUUCUCGUUUACACUAUUUCUUCUAAUAUUAAUCUUUUCAUUCAAAUCUUCAUCUUCUUUUUUAUCAUCAUUGAGAAAGGGUUCAUCCAUCUCAGUAGAAAAUCCACAAGACAAAAUCAUCUCACAAAAUGGCAGAUUCUCUACUGGAUAGAGUUUUUUUUUCUAUUGACAAGAAUAUGUGGAUAGAGUUGUUUUCAUAUUUAUUAGAAGAUUCAAAUAAGUAGGGUCAAAAGGAAGAGGAUUUAGUUGGCUAACAUUUUCAAAGAUAUUUAUGAAUUAAAGUGUAUUAUUGUUGCAUUCAAAAUAUUAAAAUGGGAAUUUUGUCAAAAAAAUAAUAUUAAAAUGGGAAUUGAAAAAACAAAUACAUAAAUUAAUAAUUGUUCCCCUAAAAAAAAUUGUUAUUCAUUUCUAAUGCAUCUGUCAAAAAAAAAUUCUAAUGCAAUUCCAUAAUAAAAAACAUUAUAUCAUGUUCAUCUAUUGACUCCAUAGUUUUAAAACUCAUCUCGAUAAUUGAUUCGGCGGAGAUGUUGAGUUAUUGAGUCAAUGAUCGAACUGUUGAAUUAUUAACUCAAAUUCUUAAAUUAAUGUUGAAUAGAUAUUUAGAAGAUUCACGGUGAGUAAAACUAAAAUAAUGACACCUUUGAAUUCAAAAGAAAUUAUUGGCAACAAAUCACUUUACUGAAUUAAUACAAAAUUACAAAUCAAUCCCUUGAUCAUAUCAUAACCAUAUCAAACAAAAAAUGAACAGAAUCCCAGAAAUACAGGUAUUACAUGUGCACAUGCAAUAUUUAAAUGCCCUUUUUUCUACACUCGUUGAAAUGUUUUUUUUAGAGGAUUCAUAUGCUAUUUUUUUUUUUUUUCAAGAUUUAAAUGAUUUUCUUAUUAACGUAUAUAUAUGCAUAACUAACGCACUCUCUGUAAGCUUAGUUUGAUAAGGACAAUGAAGGAUAUAUGCAAGGUUUGAGGUUCGAACCUCGGACACCAAUAAAAAACAUAUAUGCAUAACUAACACACCCUCCGAUUAUUAUUAUAAGCAAAAAUUAAUAUUUUAGAUUUAUUCAUUAAAUAAUAUAUGUGAUCUAUAAUAAAUAUCAUAUACAUCAUUAAUUAAAUAAACAAUGAUCGGAGGUUGUACUACAGUUGUUUGAAACAAAUACCAAAAUAAUUAUUGACACAAUCAAAGUCAAUACAAAUCAAUAAUGACAAUAAAUAAAUCAAAACAAGAAAUCAAAGUAAGAAUAUGCAAAGUAAAACUGAAAAAAAAAGAUGUCGUUUUUCUGAUUUAGCAAAAAAAUUAAUAAAAAAAAAUUGUUAGACCGGUCCGAUUCGAAAACCGGUCGGGUCUUUGGUUUUUACCGGUUCUCACCGAUUCUUAUCGGGCCAAUUACAUGGCCGAUCUAAUUGCUUGCUCGACCCGGUCUACUCAUCGGUUCCCGGUCAAACUGGUCCGACUGGCCGAGUCGAUACUUGUUUUAAAACUAUGAUUGACUUUAAAUUUUAUAUAUUACAUUAUAAAAAGUUUAAUUAGUAACAAAAAUUAGAAGACGAAAAAUUGACAGACAAAAUUAUUGACAAAUUUCAGUUUUUCAAUUUCUAACAUUGAUAGCUAAUCUGUAUUCUAGUUAUCUAGUAGUAGUAGAUAAUAGAAAAUCUCACUUCAAGAGCUUGCAUUGCAUCCAUGAAUAAUAUGGAUUUCUCAUUCACACUCUUUCUUCUAGUAUUGGCCUUUUCAUUCAAAUCUUCAUCUUCUUUUUUAUCAUCAUUGAGAAAGGGUUCAUCCAUCUCAGUAGAAAAUCCACAAGACCAAAUCAUCUCACAAAAUGGCAUGUUCUCUGCUGGUUUUACUUCCAUUGGUGAAAAUUCAUAUUCCUUUGCCAUAUGGUUCACAGAACCAACUUCCCUUGACCUCAACAAGACCAUCAUUUGGAUGGCGAAUCGCGACCAACCGGUUAACGGAAAACGAACCAAACUUUCCCUUUUAAACACAGGAAACAUUGUAUUGCUUGAUGUUUCAUUAAACAAUGUUUGGUCUUCAAACACUGCAUCAUUGAAACCAUUAGAAUUGCAUCUCAAAAAUGAUGGAAAUCUUGUGUUGCGUGAGCUUCAAGGAAUCAACAUUUUGUGGCAGAGUUUUGACUCUCCAACAGAUACUCUCCUUCCAGGUCAACCUCUUACAAGAUAUACAAAGCUUGUAUCUUCAAUAAGUGAGAGUAAUCAUUCUUCUGGCUUCUAUAUGUUCUUCUUUGAUGAUGAAAACAUUCUCGGUCUUCAUUACGACGGUCGCGAUGUUUCUAGCUCUUAUUGGCCAAGUCCUUGGCUGCUAAGUUGGGAUGUUGGCAGAUCUAAUUUCAAUAGUAGCAGAAAUGCAGUGUUGGAUUCUUUUGGUAGUUUCCAUUCAUCAGAUAAUUUCACUUUUUCAACUUCUGAUUAUGGAACUGUUCUGCAAAGAAUGAUGAAAUUGGAUUCUGAUGGUGUUGUGAGAGUGUAUAGCAGAACGAAUGUGUCACAGAAUUGGUAUGUUUCAUGGCAAGCCUUUACAGGUACUUGUUUAGUUCAUGGAAUUUGUGGAGCUAAUAGUACAUGUAGUUAUAGUCCUAAGAUUGGAAGAAAAUGCUCUUGUAUUCCAGGGUAUAGAAUGAACAAUCCUAAUGAUUGGUCUUAUGGUUGUGAACCUAUGUUUGAUUUCACUUGCAAUAAAAGUGAGUCAACAUUUUUAGAGAUAAAAAAUGUUGAGUUUUAUGGCUAUGAUUUUCAUUAUAUUGAAAUUUGUAACUAUAGUGCUUGUUUGGAUUUAUGCAUACAAGAUUGUAAUUGCAAAGCAUUUCAACACUCAUAUUGGGAGAAAAAAGGCUUGUAUAGGUGUUUUACAAAAACACAAUUGCAAAAUGGAAGGUUUUAUCCAAGCUUUAAAGGAUCGACGUACUUGAGAUUGCCUAAAGGUAGUACCUUCUCUAAAAGAGAAUCUUCCGAUCCAAGUGACGAUAUUUGUUCAGAAAAACUUCAAAGAGUUUAUGUCAAAGAAAGUGAAAACCAUUUCGUGAAGUUUUUUCUAUGGUUUGCCACCGCGAUUGGAGCUUUAGAAACCGUCUUCAUUUUCUCCGUUUGGUGUUCCUUGUUUAGGUCACGCCAAAAGACUUAUGCAGACCAACACGGCUACCAUCUAGCGGAAUUAGGGUUUAGAAAAUACAGUUACUUAGAGCUAAAGAAAGCAACAAAAGGGUUCAGCCAAGAGAUUGGAAGAGGUGGAGGAGGUGUUGUAUACAAAGGCAUAUUAUCUGAUGGAAGACAUGCUGCAAUAAAGAGACUUUACAAUGCACAACAAGGUGAAGGUGAAUUUCUAGCUGAAGUAGGAAUCAUUGGAAGGCUUAAUCACAUGAAUUUGAUCGAAAUGUGGGGAUAUUGCGCUGAGGGAAAAUAUAGACUAUUGGUUUACGAGUACAUGGAAAAUGGUUCUUUAGCCGAAAACUUAUCGGCUAAUAAACUUGAUUGGAGUAAAAGGUACAAAAUUGCUUUAUCAAUAGGAAGAGUUUUAGCAUAUCUACAUGAAGAAUGUUUGGAAUGGAUUUUACAUUGUGAUAUAAAGCCGCAAAAUAUACUUCUUGAUUCUAACUUCGAACCCAAGUUAGCGGAUUUUGGAUUGUCUAAGCUGCAAAACAGAAACAAUCUCAACAAUUCAAGUGUAUCUAUGAUUAGAGGAACAAGAGGGUAUAUGGCCCCAGAAUGGAUUUUCAAUUUGCCAAUAACAUCUAAAGUAGAUGUUUAUAGCUAUGGAAUAGUUGUAUUGGAAAUGAUAACAGGAAAAAGUCCAACUACAGGUUUCAAGAUUGUUAAUGGAGAAGAGGAAAGUGAUGGGAGGUUGGUUACAUGGGUGAGAGAAAAAAGAGGCGGUAACAUAUCUUGGUUAGAGGAAAUUGUUGACUCUCAAAUUGGAUUAAAUUAUGAUAAAAGUAAAAUGGAGAUUAUGGCUAAAGUUGCUUUGGAUUGUGUUGUGGAUGAUAGAGAUUCAAGGCCUACAAUGAGUAGAGUAGUUGAGAUGCUUCAAUACCAUGGAAGUGAUAUUUAGUUAUGUACUCUCUUCGGUCACUGUCAUGUAAAAAUUGAUUUUUUAGGUUCAUUCAAUAAAUGAUGUAAGUGGUCUAUAUAUAGACUACAUACGUCAUUUAUUGAAUGAAUAUAAAAAGUGAACUUUUACUUAUAAUAGUGACUGGAAGAAGUAUGCUACAAAUACAGUACCUUCUCAUUAUUAUGUUUUAAUGUCAUUCUUAAAAUUUCAUAGCUAGAGAUAUGUGAAGAAUGUAAAUUUUAUUAUUAUUAUUAUUAUUAUUAUAUGUGAAUGUAUUUACCUUUCAAAGAAAAAUAUAUAUGUGUUGUGAAUGAAAAAGAGGUAAUGAUGGUUAAAAGACUUGAGCAUCUUUUACUAUGAGAAAAACGAGUUGGAAUCCUUUUAUUUCUAAAAAAAUGAAGCACUCUUUUUUACUUUCUAAAUAUACACAAAAUAUAGAUAUAUUAUUCACACCAUGUAGCUGGAAAUAUAAAAUUGAUGAACCUCUCAUGUCGUAAAUUUUUGAAAAUAACUUUUUUUUUUCUUUUGGUGGUGGCCGCGGUUUAAACCUCGACCUUAUAUAUAUUAUGCAUUGUCCAUACCAACUGAGCUAAAUUCACGAGGACAAUUUUUAAAAAUAACUUGACUUUGCUCUUGCAGUACCAUAAAUAUUUGAAAAUUAUUUCAUAUUGCUAAGUUGAGAAAAUCAAUGGCUAUUGUUGAACCAAUAAUAAUGAGAAAAUUAUGAUUUUGGUUUCCGCAAAUAUAUAUAAAUUAUGAUUUUGGUUUCUGCAAAUUAAUGGCUAUUGUUGAACCUCGACCUUAUAUAUUCAAUUUUUGUUGCAUAUAUUCAAUUAUUUGCUUUUGUGCUGGCUACAUUUUUAGUUUUUUUUUUUCUUAAUGCAAAUAUUAGUAACUAGUUGUUAUAUUAGUUCUUUUUGUUCGAGUUUGAACUUAUGACUUCUAACUUCUUAUCUCUUUGUUCAAACCAGAUGAGUUAUUUAACCCAUUCGUUUUUAGUCCUUGUAACAUUUGUUAAUGUUUAAAUUAGUUCAUGCAACAAUUGUAAUAUUAAGUUUAGUAAAUAGUGUUAGGAACACCUUAUUUUCAACAUUCUUCUACUAUUCGAUGAAAUUAAUGUGGAUUUCAUCACUUUAUAUGAAAUCAAUUUCUGAAGUAUGAGACUUGCGUUAAUUUCUUUCUUCUCACUUUUGGUAGACAGACAAAAAUAGGAUGAGAGCGUUUGGUAGACUUAGAAUGAGAGCGUUUGUAGCACUCUUCUCACUUUUUUGGUAGACAGACGAAAACGAAAUGACAAUAAUCAUUUGAAAACUCUCACACAUAAGUGAGGAAUUCCAAAUUCAGAACUCGAAUCAUGGUGACCAACCUAACUUUUUUGGUACCACAACAAUUAUUUUGUUAAACUCAGAACCGCAAUAAUGUUGUUAUACAAUGUUAAAAAGAAACACAGGAAAAAAGUAAACCAUAAAAUUAGUCAUUGACUAUGCGAGUCGUUAUCAAAUAAGUUCUUAACUAAUUAUGAAUGUUUCAAGAAGGUCUCUGACUCUUUUAAAUUUUAGUUAUAUUAGUCCUUCAAAAAAUAUGUUAAAAAUUAAAUUGAUAGUAAAUGAAUAAACUUAGGGUCAAAGUGACAUUAAAUUGUUAGAAUAUAGAGACUGAAUUGAUAGCAAAUGGUUAAACGUAGAGAUUAAUUUGAGACUUUGGGAUCUUUUGUCUCCGUGAACUUAGCUUAGUUGACAUGAAUAUUGCAUAAUAUAUGUAGAUACUGAAGUUUAAAUCCCAGACAUCUUAUUUCUUCACAUUUAAAAUGCAAGAGUUAAAAAAAAAAUAAGGUCGGAGACUUGGUUUAGGAAAACAAGGAUAAAAUAUGUCCCCAGAGACUUUUAGUAUGAAACAACGUUUCUUCAUUGUGAUGUCAGCAAAUUUUAUCCCAAAAUUUUUUCUUCUUCAACUAAAGUGGCGUUGAAUUUUUAGAUGAAAUAGAGACGUGACCUAAACGAAGAUUAGGAUUUGCAUAAAUGUGAUAACGAGGGUUAAGUGAAAUUAAGAAAUAGAGUAGUAUAAUCUAACCUCAAAAAGUUGACAUUACACCACUUGUAAUGUUUGAUUUUUGUAGAGCACUUAUGAUGUUUGAUGUGGUAUAUGUUACGAUAUUAUAUUAUUUAAUUAUAUUCCAAUGUGUAUGUUUUAUUUCUUUUCUAAUUUGUUUUUACUAAACCUUAUUUAAGUAGGGUUUUGAGAUGAAUAUCUAUUUUAUUUGUUGGAUAUAUUUAAUUUAAGUCUUUUUAUUCAAUUAUUUUGUGUCUUUUUUAAUUAUAUUAUUCAAAGGUUUUCAUGCUUUCAUUCAAAUUAGUAGGACAUACAUAAGACAACGGUAAAUAAUCAUUCGAAUUAGGAAAGUGACAUACCUAAGAUAACAUUGAAUACUUACUCGAAUUAGGAACUAUCCAAGAUAACAAUGGAUAACAGCCCGAAUUGGAGAAAUUGUUAUAACAACGGUGAAUGAACUUAGAAAUAAGCCGAAGUCCUAAUCUGAAUGUUGCAUAGUAAUUUUACUCUUUCGUCUUUGGUAAGGUAGACAAGAUAUGGUUGUCUGUUGGUAGAACUAUCAAGAGAAAAUAGUAUGCUGGUGUACUUUUAAGACUCAUAGAUGAGGGAUUCUUUAAGAACUAUAAUUUAAGUCUAUGCUUCAAUUACCUCUAAGAGAGUAGGAUCCCACCUAAUACUUCCUACGAAUGUGCACAUUGCCUCUGCAAUUGACCACCGACUUUGACGCACAUAUAACCUUUGUUGAAUCUGGUGCAACUCAAGAGCUGAGAGGAUAAAAUCCCACAAACUCAUCACUUAAAUGGGUACCAUUUAACCAAUUCCUGAAUAACUUGAUUGUUACUUAAUUCCAACAAAUAGAAAGAGGGGAUUCGAAGAAUCCUAUCCACCGCUAACAUUUUGCAAUAAAAAACAGGUUACCCCUAAACUCUCACUCUAAGCAAACAGAUCAAAUUGCACAAACUUCCCCCAUUAUUUUAUUUUAUUGUUUUAUUUAUUUAUUUUCUGUUUUAAAUAAGUAAUGCAAAUUUUCCAAUUGAAACGACAAUCAUUGUGAAUACAAUACUCUACUUAUCACUUUAUUACUUGGUAACGAUUCAAUACACUUAUCUAAAUUGUUCAUCAAUAUUUAAAAAAAAGUAUUUUUAUAAAUGAAAUUUAUUUUUAUAAUUAUUUAAAAUUUAACAACAAAAGUUCGUUACAUUUAUGUUUUUGAUAAUGAAGGAUAUAUUUAUAUACCAGUACUGAAGGAUAUGUUUAUAAAAUAACUCGGAAGGGAGGCAUGUACACAAAGAGCAUAUUUCCUUUUUAGGAAUGCUAAGGAUAAUAUAUUUUAAACGUUCUCUCUAACCUGCACUAUUUUAUUAAAUGAAAUUAAUAUAUGUUCCAUCACUUUAAAUGGAAUUCAAUUUUAAAAUAUGAAACUCACUUUAAUUUAAAUCAAUAAUAAAAAUAAAUAUUUAAAAAAGUGUUGAAAACAGAAUGUUGUUAGCAUUUCUUAUUUAUUUUUCUUCCUUUUUUCAAGGGAUACAACUUACAAGUAGCAUAUUUAAUUCAUAAUCAUAAUAAGUAGAUGCAAGUAGCAUAUUUAAUUCUCUCAACUGUCCUUUGGGCCUCUCUUCUCUCUACUGUUCUCAUGAUGCAGGUAGGGGCAAGAAUUAAGUAGGCUAAUAAAUGCUAUGUCAACCAUAGAAGAAUGGUUAUGAGGGAAUUUUGGUACCUUUCUCAAAGAGAAAUUAUAUUUGAACAACUAUUUUUAAACAAUUUUUGUGACAACUUUCUAUCUUAUACUUACAUUAUUUUUUUACUUUAUCUCUUUAUUGCUUUGAUUUUUAUGCCACUAUCUAAAUUUCUUUGUAUAAGUUAGUUGUCCAACAAGUUAUCACAAGAAAUGGUUGUUCAAAUAUCAUUGUUGUUCUAAAAAAUGUCAUUUUUAUUUUUUUAGUGUAGUAGUAUUAACUACAUCGUCCGGUCACUAUUAUAAGCAAAAAAACCAUUUUUAUGUUCAUUCAUUAAAUGUUGUAUGUAACCUAAAUAUAGACCACAUACAACAUUUAAUGAAUGAACCUAGAAAAUGGUUUUUUGCUUAUAAUAGUGAUCGGAGGGUGUACAUUAGUAUAAAUCCUUAAAAAGUAAACCUACAUUAAUCGUAAAAAGUAUUACCAUAAAAAAAUGACAUUUUUUUAGUUAUGUUGGCACUUCAAAACACCAAUUUUUUUGGACAGAAAAUAACUAUCUCAUUUCAUUAAUAAGAACAUCUUGAAUACAAUCAGGUAAUACAGUGAAAAGGUGGAUACUAGCAUAUAAUGUGACCACCCUAGUAAAUCUAUGAGCAACCUCAUUUGCUUGUCUCCUAAUAAAAUCUACUCUUGAUUUUGUGAAAAAGGAUUAGAAAGUAGUCCUAGAUUCUCUGAUGAUAGCUCCUAAAUCAGAUACAUUAUUUCUAGUGCUAUGAAAACUUCCAGUGCUAUGAAAACUAUCUACUACCCUCUUAGAGUCAAGCUCGGAAAUUACAUUAUUUAAAUUCUGCUCUUUUGCCCAUCAUAAAAGGCCAAUAGCUUCUCCCUUGGUAACAUCUAAGAGUGGCGAUUACCAACUGGUUCUGGCUUUCACUAACCUCCCGCGAUCAUCCCUAAUGCAUAUCCCUAUACCAACCCGGUUGCUUUCUUUGAAGAAAGCAGCAUCUACAUUGCAUCUGAACUGACCUUCAUCUGGCUUGCUCCAACUGUGUUGUCAACACGCUGUUGCUGUACACUAGCUCUAUUGGGGCUAUCUUGCGCGUUUUGCCAACCUGUUAGAAGAUUAAGACCUCUGUCACGAACUGCUGCAGUAGUCAUGACUUCAUUCCUCCAGAUAUAAUCAUUUCCCUGUUUCCAAAUAGACCACAUAACGUAAGCCCAAAUGACUCGUUGGCUCGAUUCUAGCACUUGCAGUAUUUCAAGCAUGGUGACCCCAAAGCUGAGAUUUAAUUGAGCCUUUUGUUGAAUUUUACUCCACAUCCCUAAUUGCUGCCAACACUGCACACUCUUUGUGCAAUAAAAAAAUAGGUGCAUACUAUCUUCAUCCUCAUUCGCGCAUAAAGCACGAGUUUUUGUACAAUUUACCCCUCUGUCUUGAAGUCGGACCCUUUUAGGAAGAGCAUUUCUGCACGAUCUCCAUAGAAAAGUUUUCACUUUAGGAGGCACCUUAAGAUUCCAAAGGAGUGCCCAAUUUCCAUCACACCGGUGAUUACUUAAGUCCACAUGUUGAUUGAGACUGAUGUGAUAUCCACUUGUAACGGAAUAUAUACCAUUUGUCUCUGCCUUCCACACUCUUCUAUCGUAUUAAUUAGGUUCAAAAAUAGGAGUACUAAGGAUGCGAUUAGUAUCUUCGUCGCUAACAAGGUUCCUCAAUAAACCAACAUUCCAGAACCGAGUAUGAGAGAUGAAUAGAUCUGAAACAGUAAGCUCUUUGAAUUCUUCUGGCAGCCAUUUUGGCUUCUGUAAAACACCACCAUCCACUAGCCAUCGUUGGUCCCAUACAAAUAUAUCAGUACCUGAACCAAUGCUCCAUGUGUAUCCUUCGCUAACAACUCUUUUGGCCCCCCAAAUGCUGCGCCAGACGUAGCUUGGAUUGUGACUAAUCUUUGCGUCUAAGAAAUCACACUUGUUAAAGUAUUUUGCUUUGAAUAAUCUAGUGACAAUGUUGUGCGGUUCGGUCAUGAUUUUCCAAGCUUGCGUUCCAAGCAUAGCCUCAUUAAAAGCGUGAAGAUUCUUAAAACAAAGACCUCAUUCCCUUUUGUGAAUGCUAAGCUUUUCCCAUGACAUCCAGUUGAUUCCUUUGGCGUUCCUUUUGUUAUGACCCCACCAGAAUGAAUUCAACAUUUUCUCUAUAUCAACAAUAAUGGAUUUAGGGAUAGCAAAGAUACUCAUGAUAUACGAAGGUAUAGACUGCAAGACCGAUUUGAUCAGUGUUUCUCGUCCAGCUUGUGACAAACAUUUGCUGCUCCAUGAGUUAAUCUUCUUCCACACUCUUUCCUUUACAAAUUUGAAAGUAGAUGUGCGACUUCUUCCAACCAUAGAAGGAACACCAAGGUAUUUGCCUUUUUCCAUAACCUGUUGAACUCCAACGAUUUGAGAGAUAGAGGCCUUGACUGCAUCGUCCACUUCAAAGCACCAUGAUACUAUGUUUUGAAAUUUAGUUAUGGUGGCAAUUUAAAACAGAACGCGUUAAAUGCAUCUCAUUCUAUAUAUUAUUCAUGUGUCUCAUAUCAAGUGUCUCAUUUGAGUUUUAUACGGUUAUUCAAAAAAUAAUUAAUAAUGUUUAUUAUAAUGGUAAGACUGUGAGCUUAGCUCAGUUGGUAUGGAAAAUGCAUAAUAUAUGCAAGGUUCGAGGUUCGAACCCCGACCACCACAAAAAAAAAAAAUAUCAUUUACUUAAACAGAUUUAUUAACUAUAGUUAGUGAAAUAGUUAUAGAUAAUUGAAAUACAAUAAAUAAGAUUAUGUUAAUGAAAAAGAAUAAUAAAUGUUGUACUCAGGGACUGAACCAAAAUCCAACCAAAAAACAAAACUAAGAAAAACUAUAGGUUGGCAUUCCAAACUUAUCUCUACAAAGUCAAACCUAAUAAAAGUCAAACUUAGCAAAUCCUAUAUAUAUAUAUAUAUAUAUAUAUAUAUAUAUAUAUAUAUAUAUAUAUAUAUAUAUAUAUAUAUAUUAUAGUACCUCCUAUGUGAUAAAUUAUAUGCCGUUUUGUUCAUUUCAUAUGUAUUAAAAAAUUAAUUAAUUUUGUAUGAAAAAGAGAUAUUAUGAGUUGUUUUACAAAAAAAUGUCCUUAAUAAAUUGUAUGUAUGGGUAGAUAAAUUAAAGAACUAAAAGAAGAGUGUCUAAUAAAUAGUUAAGAGUACAAUUGAAAAAGUAACAUCAAUGUUUCAUUGAUAUUAUAAAACGACUUAUGAUUUGAGACAAUUUUUUUCCCAACUUAUAAUACGAAACGGAUGGAGUAAUAUUUUUCCUUGGCAACUUAUAAUUAUAAUGAAAAUCAAUCAAUAGUUAACAUGGUUAUUUUGAAAAGUUGGUGCUCUCUUUUUCUCAUUAAUAACUUCUUUCUUAGUUUAUGUGAAAUGACCAACUAUGAGAAUUUUUAUGGAACCAAGGAAAUAUUAUAUAUUUUCUUUCCUUGAUUAAACUGGAGUAAUAUAAAAAUUGCAUCCAUGAAUAAUUUGGGUUUGUCAAUCACAGUGUUUAUUCUAGUAUUGGCCUUUUUAUUUCAAUGUUCAUCUUCUUCUUCAUCAUUGAGAAAGGGUUCCUCCCUCUUAGUGGAAAAUCCAGAAGAUAACAUCAUGUCACAAAAUGGCAUGUUCUCUGCUGGCUUUACUGCUAUUGGUGAGAAUGCAUAUUCCUUUGCCAUAUGGUUCACAGAACCAACUUCCCUCAACCUCAACAAAACCAUUAUUUGGAUGGCAAAUCGCGACCAACCCGUGAAUGGAAAACGAUCCAAACUUACCCUUUUAAACACUGGAAAUAUUGUAUUGUUUGAUGUUUCUUUAAACAAUGUUAGGUCUUCAAACACAGCAUCAUUGAAACCACUAGAGUUGCAUCUCAAAGAUGAUGGAAAUCUUGUGUUGCGUGAGCUUCAAGGAAUCACAAUUUUGUGGCAGAGUUUUGACUCUCCAACAGAUACUCUCCUUCCAGGUCAACCUCUUACAAGAUAUACAAAGCUUGUAGCUUCAAGAAGUGAGAGUAAUCAUUCUACUGGCUUCUACAAGUUCUACUUUGAUGAUGCAAAUGUUCUUGGUCUUCAUUAUGAUGGCCCUGAUAUUUCUAGCUCUUAUUGGCCAAAACCUUGGCUUCUAAUUUCGCAAGUUGGCAGGGCUAAUUUCAAUGGUAGCAGAAUUGCAUUGUUGGACUCUUUUGGUAGUUUCCUUUCAUCGGAUAAUUUGAUUUUCAUAACAUCUGAUUAUGGAACAGUUCUACAAAGAAGAAUGAAAAUGGAUUCUGAUGGUAAUUUAAGGGUGUAUAGUAGAAUUAAUGUGUCACAAAAUUGGUAUGUUUCAUGGCAAGCCAUUUAUGGUGCUUGCAUAGCUCAUGGGAUUUGUGGAGAUAAUAGCACAUGUAGUUAUAAUCCUAAGCAUGGAAGAAAAUGUUCUUGUAUUCCAGGGUAUAGAGUGAAGAACCAUAGUGAUUGGUCUUAUGGUUGUGAGCCUAUGUUUGAUUUUACUUGCAAUAGAAGUGAGUCUACCUUUUUUGAGAUGGUAAAUGUUGAGUUUUAUGGCUAUGACAUUCAUUAUGUUCCUAUGAGUAACUAUAGUUCUUGUGAGAAAUUGUGCUUAGAAGAUUGUAAUUGUAAAGGAUUUCAGUACGGUUUUGGGGUAUUAAAAGGCUUUUAUAAGUGUUAUACAAAAACACAAUUGCGAAAUGGAAGGCAUUCACCAUUCUUUGUAGGAUCAACCUACUUGAGGUUACCUAAAGGUAAUACCUUCUCUAAAGAAGAAUCUUCCACUCCAAGUGACCAUGUUUGUCUUGUGAAACUUCAAAGAAAUUUUGUUAGCGAAAGUGAGAACCAUUAUGUGAAUUUUUUUCUAUGGUUUGCCGCUGCGAUCGGAGCUUUUGAAGCGAUCUGCAUUUUCAUCGUUUGGUGUUCCUUAUUCAGGAACCGAAAGACAAAUGCAGACCAACACGGAUACCACCAGCUCGCAGCAAUAGGGUUUAGAAAAUACAGUUACUUGGAGCUAAAGAAAGCAACAAAAGGGUUCAGUCAAGAGAUUGGAAGAGGUGGAGGGGGUAUCGUGUACAAAGGCCUAUUAUCUGAUCAAAGACAUGUUGCGGUAAAAAGACUUUACAAUGCUCAACAAGGAGAAGGUGAAUUUCUAGCUGAAGUAGGAAUCAUUGGAAGGCUUAAUCACAUGAAUUUGAUCGAAAUGUGGGGAUAUUGCGCUGAGGGAAAAUAUAGACUAUUGGUUUACGAGUACAUGGAAAAUGGUUCUUUAGCCGAAAACUUAUCGGCUAAUAAACUUGAUUGGAGUAAAAGGUACAAAAUUGUUUUAUCAAUAGCAAGAGUUUUAGCAUAUCUACAUGAAGAAUGUUUGGAGUGGAUUUUGCAUUGUGAUAUAAAGCCACAAAACAUACUUCUUGAUUCUAACUUCCAGCCCAAGUUAGCCGAUUUUGGAUUGUCAAAGCUGCAAAACAGGAACAACCUUAAUAAUUCAUGCAUCUCAAUGAUUAGAGGAACAAGAGGGUAUAUGGCACCUGAAUGGAUUUUCAAUUUGCCAAUAACAUCUAAGGUGGAUGUUUAUAGUUAUGGAAUAGUUGUUUUGGAAAUGAUAACAGGAAAAAGUCCAACUACAGGUUUCAAGAUUGUUAGUGGAGAAGAGGAAAGUGAUGGGAGGUUGGUUACAUGGGUGAGAGAAAAAAGAGGCAGUGACAUUUCUUGGUUAGAGGAAAUUGUUGACCCUCAAAUUGCAUUAAAUUAUGAUAGAAGUAAAAUGGAGAUUAUGGCUAAAGUUGCUUUGGAUUGUGUUGUGGAUGAAAGAGAUUCAAGGCCUACCAUGAGUAAAGUAGUUGAGAUGCUUCAAUACCAUGGAAGUGAUGUAUGAUACCUUCACAUUAUUUUUCAAUGUCAUUCUCAAACUUUUAUAGCUAAAGAUAUGUGAAGAAUGUAUAUAUUAUGCAUUUUUUUAUUAUAUGUAAAGCAUAUUGCUAAAAAAAAAAUAUGUAAAGAAUAUAUUAUGCAUUUUUUCACAAGUCUUCAAAUGUUUUGUUUUAUUGAUUUGCAUAAUUUCUUCGUAAAAUAUCCUAUAAUUGCUAUGUUUUGGGAAACGUAUAAUUACAUGAUUCAUAUAGAAAACAUUACAAAAUAUCCCAAAAUUAUAGACAGUUGUUCUAAUACUCCUCUACUCUUAAUGAAAAACUAAGUGAAAAUAACUGAAAAACAUGUGAAGAAUAAUGUGUGAUGAUUUGUCAUCAAAACAUAUGUUUAAGUCAUCUUUUAUCUGAUGUGUGACUCUUUAACACACUCUCUCACGUCCAACACUAUUGAAUUUGGUGCGUGGAUGGUGAGUGCCCCGAUAGCAGAAACCUGAUAAUAGAUGGCUCAAUAGAUCUUGAAGAAGACUUUUAUUCUUUGAUAGAUGGAAGUAUUAGGGAUUCCGAUUCCUAAUUUGUAGAGGAAGCUUCUAGUAACUUAUUCUAACAUGAAACGAAUUAAAUAUGAAUUUUUUAAAACGACAAAAAUUAAAGAUAAAAAGUAACAAAAUCUCGAUGUAGAAAUCAAAUUUUGCUAUAAUUUUUUGCAGAGGAACUUUUAGUAAUGUUCUAAACACGUAUGCAAAAAAUUGUUCAAAAAUUUAAGAGUUUAAGCAUAAAUGAAACAAAUUUGAAUUGAGUAGGGACUAAUACUCAGUGCAGAAAAGAAAAAUUAGGGACUAAAAGAACUAUUAAAAUUAAGUAAGGACUAAACUUAAAAGGUCCCAAUUUUACAAGGACUAAAAACAUAUUUAACCCUUUUUUAUAUUCAUUUAAGUUCAACCAAAAGUAUUUGGAUGAGAUGAUAAAAUAUCUCUUUCACCUUCCUUCAAAAAAUAAAAAAUAUCUCUUUCACCUUAGCCUAAAAUCAUGAGUUUGAAUUUAGCUUAGUGAAUACAACAAUGUUAAUGCUCUUAAAAAAAACUUUAUCAUUCAUUACGCUCACAUCCAACUUAAGGAUUUAGUCUUUGCAGUUGUGGGUAGAGAUACGUUGUUCACAAAAUAAAAAAGUUUCUAUUUUAUAUUCAACAUAAAAAUGUCUUUUGAAAAAAGCUAGUAAUAUUUUCUUACUGUCUUUGGAUUUUUUCCACCUUAUAGACAACAUCCCUUUCUCAACGAUGAUUAAGUAGAUGCAAAUUGGAAAUAGUUAAACAAAGGCAUUAAUUGUAUGUGAAUUGCUUUGCCCUUAAAAAAUGUACACUUAGCUGGAAUUAACCUACUAGUGGGAAUAUGAUUUUGGCACUCCUCCAAUACUCCUACUUUUCUCUUGAGAUAUGCUAACAACAAUAUCAUCUCCUUUUAAGUUAGGUUUUAGAAGUUUGCAUCACAAGUAUUAUUUAAAGCUUAGGAAAAACAUAUAUUUAUUUUUGAGGGGAGGAAAUUUUUUUAUUUUUUCAUCUUUUUGCCUAACCUUUGUAUAUGGUCAAACCAGUAACGGUGACACUGCCAACACCAAGACAUGAAUAUAGAUUUGCAUCAGAAAUUGUACCAAAGUUUUCAACACAUGAACAAGAACUCUCAAUACGUGAAUGUGAGUUAACUACAAAACCUAGACCAUAAAUUGAUUUCUCAUUUGAAUAAUAAUACAAUCAAAAGGCCUUUCAAAUAAAUAAUGACAAAAUCAUCAUUAAAUUCUUGUGUAGAAAUGAAACCUACAAUACAAGAUGAAAUAAGAAUAUUACAAUCAAGAUAAACAGUUUAUAAAUUAUGAUCACAAGAAAAUCAACGAUUACAUAACGUAUGCUAAAAAUGAAAAUUUUAAACGAAAUUAUUUAUGUACAUACGUCCAACAUCUUACGAGAGAAAGAAAUAAAGAAGGUGAUAUGAUAGAUGUGAUAAAUUUGUAAUGGGAUAGGAAGAGAGCUUUAGUGAGAAAAUGAGGGUACUGAUUCAGUUUAGGGAAAUUAAGAGUGUCUCAAUCAUAAAAUGAAGGUGUUGAUGAUACAUAAGAUUAUUUGCACACGAAGGAAUCUAAUUCAACAUCAUGCAUCACUCAUUAAGAGACCUAGGAAUCUAUUUCAUUUCUUUGAAGCUUCUCAACCACCUGACUCAUAGUAGGCCUAAUAUUUUUAUCUACCUCUACACACUCCAAAGCAACUUUCGCCAAAAUUUCCAUCUUACUUGAAUCACAAUUAGUUCCAAUUUUAGGAUCCAUAAUUUCUUCCACCCAACAUCUACUCCUCUUUUUCUCUCUUACCCAAUUUAUCAACCUUCCAUUGUAUGCCACUUCUCCAUCAACUCCUUCCAUAUUCAUCAUUGUUGGACUCUUUCCGGUUAUCAUAUCCAACAAAACAACCCCAUAACUAUAAACAUCCACUUUAGAUGUUAUUGGUGAAUUGGAAAUCCAUUCAGGGGCCAUAUAUCCUCUUGUUCCUCUAAUCAUUGAGAAUUCUGAAUUAUUAUUAAGAUUGUUUCUGCUUUUCAGCUUAGACAAUCCAAAAUCUGCUAACUUGGGCUGAAAGUUAGAAUCAAGAAGUAUAUUUUGAGGCUUUAUAUCACAAUGCAAUAUCCAUUCGAGACAUUCUUCAUGUAGAUAAGCAAGAACUCUAGCUGUUCCUAAAGCAAUAUCAUACCUUUUACUCCAAUCAAGUGUGUUAGUUUUAGAUGAAAGAUUUUCAGCUAAAGAUCCAUUUUCCAUGUACUCAUAUACCAAAAGUCUAUGCUUACCUUCAGCACAAUAUCCCCACAUUUCUAUCAAGUUCAUGUGGUUAAGCCGUCCAAUGAUACUUACUUCGGCAAGAAAUUCUCCUUCUCCUUGUUUAGCUUCAUUUAAUCUCUUUAUUGCUACAUGUCUUUCAUCUGGCAAUGUACCUCUAUAUACAAUCCCUCCUCCACCUCUUCCAAUCUCAUUACUGAAAUUCUUUGUUGCUAUCUUCAACUCGGAGUAACUGUAUCUUCUGAAUCCAAAUAAUGCAUGAUGAUAGUUAUGUCGAUCUCCAUUAGGCUUUUUCUCGGUCUUGAUUAAAAAACAACAAACCACAACAAAGAAAAAGAAUUCCAAGCCACCAACUGUAACUGAAAGCCACAUAAAAAACUUCAACAAAUGACUUGUUUGUUUUCCAACAAAGUCUUUGUGAAGCUGAAGCAAACAAACAUUGUCUGUUACACUUAUAGACUCUUCCUUAGAGAAGUUAUUACCUUUUGGAAGUCUCAAGAAUGUUUUGCCUAUAAAACUUGGGGAAUGCCUCCCAUUUAGCAAUUGUAGCUUUGUAUAACAUUGGAAGAUGUUUUGGUCCUCUUCAUAUGAGUAUUGGAAUCCUGUACAGUUGCAAGCUUGCAAACAUAAACUCUCACAAUUUUCGUAGGUACUAUUUUGAACAAAAUUACUAUCAUAGCCGUAGAACUCAAAACCAUGCAAUUCGAAAAAGGUAGACUCACUUUUAUUGCAAGUAAAAUCAAACGUAGGUUCACAUCCAUAAGACCAAUCAUUAUGGUUCUUCAUUUUAUACCCCGGCAAACAAGAGCAUUUCUUACCUUUUUUAGGAUCAUAGCUACAAGCGCUAUUUGCACCACAAAUUCCAUCUAUGAUGCAGGUGUCAGAUAUGACUUGCCAUGAAACAUACCAAUUUUCUAACAAGUUUUUUCGGCUGUAAACUCGAAUAUUACCAUCAGAAUCCAAGGUUAAUCUUCUUUGCAUAACCAUACCAUAAUCAUAUGUGGAAAAAAAGUAAUUAUCAGAUGAUAUGAACUUUCCAAGAGAAUCCAACAAAGCAAUUCUAGUACUAUUGUAAUUGGUCCUUCCAGCUUGCCAACUUAACAAAAAAGAUGGUGGCCAAUAUGUGCUUGAAAUAUCAGGACCAUCAUAAUCGAGACGAAUAACAUUGUUAUCAUCAAAGAACAACUUAUAAAAGCCAGAAGAAUGAUUACUAUGGCUUCUUGAAGAAACAAGGUUUGUAUAUCUAGUGAGAGGUUGAUUAGGAAGGAGAGUAUUUGUCGGGAAAUCAUAGCUUUGCCACAAGAUGGUAGGUCCUUGAAGCUCACGUAACACAAGAUUCCCAUCUUCUCUAAGAUACAACUCUAAUGGAGCAUCUGAUGCCGUGUUUGAAGACCAAGUGUUAUGUUGACCCGCAUCGAGCAAGAUGAUGUUACCUGUGUUUAAGAGGAAAAGCUUUGAGUUUUUACCUGUCGGAAAUCACAAGGAGAAGAUUAGAAAAUUAGAGGAGAUAAAACUAGAUUCCUAGAAUGAUAAUGUUUUUUUUCUUAUUGGUAUGCCCAUUACCUAAGUGAUUCUCACAAAAAUUCAUUUGUUAGAUUCAUUCAAUAAAUUAUGUAUGUGAUCUAUAAUAUAGAUUACAUCAUUUAUUGAAUAAAUCUAAAAAGCUAAUUUUUUCUUUUAAUAGCGACCGGAUGGUGUAAUUCGCAAGUUUUUCUAUACUCCUAACAAGUAUUAGGUACACUAGGGUAAUAUGUUCUUGGAAACAUUUCUGACAAUUUUUUUUGUUAAGACUGCCAAAAUACGCGACGUUGUACUACCAAUAAUUUUUUUAAUUCGAGUUUCAAAUACUCAGAAAAUGCAUAUCUAGAAAUAAAAAAUACCAGCGGCGAUCAAGGCCUUCUCUGCUAAAAUAACUAAUAUUUCAAACAAAUUUUUUUUUUUGUAAGUAAGCAGCGGUUUAAACAGUUGAAAAUACAACAAAUUUUUUGUUUUACUUUUUGACAACAAAGAGAGGAGUAUUUAGCGGCGGCAUAAGACCGCCACAAAGCAAAAACAAUAUAAAUAAUGGUUAUCGAUAAUGGUCACAAAAAAAUUUCAAACCACCAAAAUUCAACCCCAUAGCACCGCCUCCAACAGCCCAGCAAAGUUGCCACAAAAGACCCCAGACCUACCUCACAAAACAGGCUACACAACACAGCAACUGGUGCUGGACUGUCAUGACAGCAGCGCUGCCAGUGAACAGCCAGCACCGCUAGACCAAAAAACAACAAGAGGAGGCAGCAGCUCCUUAACGUGCUACAUAGACUUCAAUUAGAUAGAUUAGGGUUGACCAAAUAACAUGGAGCAAAAAGAAUUGCUGUGCCGUCGCUCCUAGGGUAGCGCCGCCGCUUCCCUUGUGAGGGAUUUUGCCGUCGUUUGGUGAGAAUUCUUCUCCGCUGGACGUUUUGCCUCUUGCUUUGUGAUAUCUCUUUUGUUAUAAACACUUGACCAAAUUCGGUGCUGAAACAAAACCGUGUUGCUGUUCAGUGUUGAUUUGUCAUCCUUGUACCAGGUUCAAUCGUUCUUUCAUUUAUCUUGCAAAUUAAUAUUGUUAGGUGCAAUUCCAUUUGGUAACUUUCUACAUGGAUUGAUUUUUUUGGCUUUAUUGGAUUUAGUGUUUCAUUACACGACAAUUAUUUUGGCUGUUGGCAUUGAUAGGAAUUGGGUGUUAUCUUCCAUCACAAUUACAAUAACUCUUGUAUCAGCAUCCAAUAUGAAUCAUCUUGUUUGAUGUAACGGGAGGAAAAUGACUAUCAUAGGAUGGAACUGCCGAGGUCUGGGGAACGUGAGCGUAGUUCCAAAAUUAAAAUACCUAGUUCGCUAUUAUAAGCCGGACGCCUUAUUUCUCAGUGAGACUCUAGUCCCUUCUAAUAAAACAGAUGCUUUUCGUUAUAUUCUUGGGUUUGAUAAUUGUUUUGCUAAGUAGUAACGGUCGGAGUGGUGGCUUAGCAUUAUUGUAGCGAAGUUCUUUUAAUUGCAAAUUGUUGAAUUAUUCUGCUAAUCAUAUUAAUGUUGAAGUCAAUGAUCCUAGUCGAGGGCCAUGGCAAUUUACAGGUUUUUAUGGCUUUCCUGAAGGAGGUAGAAGAUGCGACUCCUGGAAUUUUUUGAGGUAUUUAUCUAAUAAUAUUUCUCUGCCUUGGUGUAUAUUAGGUGACUUCAAUGACAUAUUGGAUGCUAAGGAAAAACGAGGAGGGUCAGUACGUGCUCAGUGGUUAAUCAACGGUUUUAGACAAGCUGUUUCUGAUGCCGGGUUAACUGAUAUUUUUAUGGAAGGAUAUCUGUUUACUUGGUUCAAAAGCUUAGGUACACCAAGGGCAGUUGAGGAACGGUUAGACCGUGGUCUCGCUAAUGCAACAUGGUUUGAUUUAUUUCCAAAUGCGAAGGUGGAGAACCUAGUCGCUCCGGCUUCUGACCAUUAUCCGAUUCUUCUUAAUAGGGAGCCUGUUACACGAAUUUGGGUGCCUAAAAGAAAUUUUAAGUUUGAAAAUGUGUGGUGUGUUGAACCAGGUAUCCAUGAUGUUGUUUCCGAUUGUUGGGUUUCUAGUGCAGGUAUGGCGAUCACAGAAAGAUUGGAGCAUUGUGCCUCUGAACUCAACAUAUGGAGCAAAACUACUAAAAUUGGGCUAAAGGACGAAAUUGCAGAAUGCCGUAAAGAAUUGAACAGAUGUCGAGACCAAGGUGCAGCAGCUGACCCUAACAGGUUGACCUCUUUGAGAAAGAAGAUGACUCAACUUAUGAUACAAGAAGAUAAAUAUUGGCGUCAGCGUGCGAAAACUCAUUGGUAUCGUGAUGGUGAUCUAAACACGAAGUUUUUUCAUGCUUCUGCUACCUCUCGUAAAAAGGUAAAUCGUAUCCUCUCUCUUGGAAAUGAUGAUGGAGUUCGAGUUACUGAUGAACAUGGUUUGUGUCAAAUUAGCAAAAGGUUAUUUUGAGGAACUCUUCCUUGAAAAUAAUAGCAAUUGUACACCCGUUAUUGAUGUCGUUGAGAGGGUAGUAACGGAGGAGGACAACGAUUUUCUAACUGCUCCAUUUCAGGUACAAGAGUUCAAAGAUGCUAUGUAUGCUAUGCACCCAGAUAAAUGUUAUGGACCUGAUGGUUUUAAUCCAGGAUUUUUUCAGCAUUUUUGGUCUGUCUGUAAUAAUGAUAUUUUUAAUGAAUGCUGCUCUUGGCUCAAUAAUAACCAGUUUCCCCCUUCUCUUAAUUUCACCAACAUUGCUUUAAUCCCAAAGGGCAAUGAACAAAAGUCUAUGAAGGACUGGAGGCCUAUAGCUUUCUGUAAUGUCUUGUACAAAUUAGUGGCUAAAGUUCUGGCUAAUAGGCUUAAAAGUAUCCUGCAUAAAUGUAUUUCAGAUAAUCAAUCGACGUUUGUUCCAGGACGCUCAAUUUUGGAUAAUGCUAUGAUUGCGAUUGAAGUUGUUCAUUAUAUGAAAAUUAGCAGGCGUAGCAGAGAUAAAAAUGUGGCGCUUAAAUUGGAUAUCAGUAAGGCCUAUGAUCGCAUUGAUUGGCUAUAUCCCAAAGAGGUAAUGAUAAAAAUGGGAUUUGAUAGUCGCUGGGUUAGGUGGAUAAUGAUGUGUGUCGAAACUGUGGACUACUGUGUAAUUUUCAACAAUGAGUCGGUGGAACCUAUUUUCCCUAGGCGGGGCCUCUGUCAGGGUGACCCUCUUUCACCCUACCUCUUUAUCUUAUGUGCGGAAGGGCUUUCAACUCUCAUCCGUAAAGCUGAGCAGCGAGGAUAUAUUCAUGGCAUAUCUAUUUGUAGUAACGCUCCUAUUAUUUCUCAUCUUUUCUUUGGAGAUGACUGUUUUUUUUUUUCCAGAGCCGAGGAAAGAGAAGUGAAUAUGAUAAAAAAUAUUCUUGAAGUGUAUGAGGCGGCCUCCGGACAAUCGAUUAGCCUCCCAAAGUCUGAAGUUUACUAUAGUCGAAGUGUUCCAAUCCCUACUUAGGAGACCAUCACAGAAAUCCUUGGCGUUCAUGCUGUUAUGGGAAUGGGGAAGUAUCUUGGGCUACCUUCUAUGGUUGGUCGAAGCAAAGAAGCUACUUUCGGAUUUAUUAAAGAUCGUAUUUGGCACAAAAUCAAUUCUUGGAGUAGCAAAUGUCUUUCUAAAGAAGGUAGAGAAGUACUAGUUAAAUCGGUACUUCAAUCCAUUCCUUCGUAUGUCAUAAGUAUUUAUCUGUUGCCAAAUAAGUUAGUUGAUGCUAUUGAAAAAAUGAUUAAUGCUUUUUGGUGGGGACCUGGUGGCUCUACUAGAAGAGGUUUGCAUUGGCUUUCCUGGGAAAGAUUAUUUGUUCAUAAAAAUUAUGGUGGAAUGGGGUUUAAAGAUCUCACAUCUUUUAAUGUAGCAAUGCUUGGUAAACAGGGAUGAAAAUUUCAAAUAGAUACAGAUAGCCUUGUUAUACGUCUUUUUAAGACGCGCUAUUUCCCUCAAAAUGAUUUUUUGAACUCACAAAUUGGUUCUAAUCCUAGUUAUGUGUGGCGCAGUAUUUUUAGCGCUAAAAUGGUUGUUCAACAGGGCGCUAGAUGGAGAAUUGGAACGAGUGCUAAUAUUCCUUUGUUUGGUGCCCCGUGGCUCAAAGAUGGGCGUGCUUUCACUACAAAUUGCCCUAUAUAUUCUUCUUUCUCUCAUGUUAAAGUUCAGGAUAUUAUUGAGCCAACGUCGAAGGUUUGGAAUACUAUUCUUAUAUCUUCUCUUUUUGAUCAAAACACUACCCAAAUUAUUUUGAACACUCCUCUUCACCCACUUAUUAAUGAAGACAAAUUAGUGUGGAAGGCAGCGAAAAGUGGAAAUUAUUAUGUUCGUAGUGCAUAUCGUAUAUGUGUAACUGACAUUGCAGAUAAUUCCCAUUUACAUGUUCCCGGGAGAUGGAAUUUGAUUUGGAAGCUAAAAGUUCCUCCUAAGAUAAAAAACUUUGUGUGGCAUGUGUGUAGGGGCUGUUUCCCAACCCGCACACGACUCAGUAGCCGAGGGGUGCAAUGUCCGACAGAUUGUGUUCUUUGUGUUAAUAAUUUCGAAGAUAGUAUUCAUGUGUUAUUAGAAUGCCUAGGCGCACAACAGGCAUGACGUGAAGUUUAGUUAUGGGAUAUAAUAAACAGAACACUUCGAAAAAAUUAUAAUAUGGAUGCUUUGAUUUUUACUCUUCUUGAUCAGCUGUCUUUGGUACAAAAAGAAUUAUUUGUGACAAUUAUGUGGAGUUUAUGGAAGCGCAGGAAUCUCAAGUUAUGGCAACAGCAAAAUGAAACAAUAUUGUAGGUUGUUGAGCGUGUAAAGCGUCUUUUGGAUGAAUGGCGAACAACCCAAAUCAUAAGGUCGUGAAGAGAAGAUGCCCCGUUGACGCAUCAAAGUAACUAUACCGACGUCAACGUGGUUGAAUGGUCGAAACCGGCUCAUGGCAGGUACAAAUGUAAUAUUGACGCCUCUUUCUCCACUUCCACGAAUAUGGUGGGUAUCGGUAUUUGUCUUCGCGAUGACAGGGGCGAAUUUAUCAGUGAUAAAACAGAUUGUUUCUCCCCUCUCUGUGAUGUUUCUGUGGGUGAGGCCGUAUCUUUUCAUACGGCGUUGAAGUGGAUGGUAGAUCUUCACUAUGAUAAUGUUGACUUUGCUUUAGAUUCCAAGAUAGUGGUUGAUCAUUUCCGAUCUUAUGUAGAGGAUGAUAGUGAGCUUGGAUGUAUCAUGCAUGCUUGUAGACAGUUGUUUGACAAUAGUUUUCAGAACUCUCAUGUCGAGUUCAAUAGGAGGCAAGCUAAUGAGGUCACUCAUGGUUAGCUAGGGUAGCACCAUCUAUUGCUAGCUCCAACGUUUAUGAUAAUGUACCGUUAUGUAUUUCUUUUUUGAUUGAUAAUGAAAAGCACUGAAUUUAUCCCUUAAAGAAAAGAUAACGGUCACAAAAUGAUAGGUUUCAAUAUUUCUUUUGGGUCUCUGGUUGCUGCUAUAUAGCAUAAAGCUGUCAAUAACAACUCAAAAAAUAUGAUUAUUUAGGAAGAUGUGGGUUUUGGCUGUCGCAAACAUACAAAAAGUCACCAGAAAUUCGGUCUCUAACGUACAUUUCGCUGAACUCAUAACGAAACAUCAUGUUCCACUAUUUUGUGACAUGUCGUUGUUUUUCUCUUAUAUUAUUAGCUGUUGCACUAACAAAAAUUAUGUUUGAUCCUAAAGUGAUGAUUUCUUGUCCAAAUUUUGAAUAGAAAAGACUACAUUUGAGGAAAAUAAUCUCUACUUACGGGACUAAAAAUUAUCAGUUUUUUUAAGGCGAAAAUUUUGUAUAGGAUCAAAAUGGCAUUAAAAAAUGGAGUAUGUUUAUGAAGAUGAUAAAAUAGAAGGACAAAAAAUACAAUAUUAAAUAUGAGGUUAAAUAUGUUGUUGGUCUCUAUAAUAUACUAACUUUUAGUUUUUGUCCUCUAAAUAUAUAUUUUUUCAAUUAUGGUUGCUCAAUUUUUUUGAUCAUCAUUAUUGAUACCUACUUUUAAAUCAACUUCUGUAUAACCGUCAUAUUUUUAAAUUGAAUUUUUCAAAAAUGUUUAGAACAUUAUAAGAUUCUCUCCCAAACAAAAUUAAAUUUUGUUAACAAAAGAUGAAUUAAAUAUGAUUUUUUUUUUUUUUUUAUGUUUUUUGUGCUUAAAAAUUCAUAUUUUGUUGAAAAAUUAAUUUUUUUAAGAGAUUCUCAUAAUAUUCUAAACCUCCCUUAAAUUUUUCAUUCAAAAUCAUGACAGCUACACAUGGUUUGAUUUGAAAAUAAGGAUCAAAAGUAAUGAUUGAAAAUUUUUGGAAGACUAAAAAUCAAAGAAAAAAUUUACGGGGGGACUAAAGUGAAAAGUUGGGUGGUAUAUCUAUAAAGUCUAAAAACAUAUUUAAUUCUAAAAUAGUACUACCUCCGUCCCUAAUUAUAAGAUCCUUUUGAGAAUUUUUUAUGUUCUUUUUUUAUAAGACUCGUUUGUUAUUUCCAAUUACAUUAAUUAUUUCUUUACAUGCAUGCCCCUAUUUAUUAUACAUUGUUUUCUUCAAUUAGCAAUAAAUAACAUGUUGAAAACAUAAACUAAUUAUCUCUCUUAAAUGAUAAAAUUGUAAAAACAAUAGUAAUUACAAACAUAUUUAAUAUAAAUAUCCACUAUCUUAAUUUCCUUUAUUUUUUCAAAAGGAUCCUGUAAUUAGGGACGGAGGUAGUAUAUUAAUAGAGGGAUAUUUUUGAUAUUAUAAAAUUUACAUGAAUUUUAACAUUACCAUUCACCGGUUGUUCACGGUUUGCCAUCCAAACAAUAUUGACGGGGUUGUGACUUUGAUUCUGCAGCUCGGUGAACCAUAUGGCGAAGGAAAAAGCAUUUUCACCAAUUUGAUAAAAACCAGCAGAGAAAGUGCCAUUUGAAGAGACAAUUACAUCUUCUGUAUGUUUCUCUACAGAGAGAGAAGAUCCCUUGUUCAAAGAUGAUACAGAAGAUGAACAAUAUUGGAAGGGAAAUAGCAACAAGACUAAAAAAAUAUAUGAUAUUGUGAAAGUCAUGUUAGACAAUUGCUGUUACAAUAGAAAUGUAUGUUAAGAGUCCAGGUGUAUAUAUGUUGAAUAUGUAUAAAUGCAUGAUUUAUUUGUUGUAGGUGAUGACGUGAUGUCAAUCUGUGUUUAUUUAAAGAAACAUAUAGUACAAAUAAUAUAUUCCAAGUUUGAAACUUUCAAUGCUUAAGGGGCGAGUCUUUGCACUAAGGACAACAAAUAAGGAGCAUGGUUCAUCUCAAUUGUGAAAAAAAAAAUUGAGAGUUAUGCAAAUGAUUUCACUAUUAAAAUGAAUUGGACUCCACUUAUAAUUUUAAUAAGUUAUAUGGGUGUCAUGUAAUUUGUUUGGUGCUUUAUGUUUAUGUGGUGGCAUCUUUAUUAGGUGCUUUGGUGUUGUAACAGAUAUUAGAGGAUUCAUCACUUUAGCACACCUUGUGCGGGAUGAAUCACACUGCUUUUGAGCAAUAUAUUCCAUUUUGAUUUGUUCAAAAAAAAAAAAAAAAGUUAUAUAGUCUAUUGCAUUUUAAUGGUAAUUUCAUUCAUAUGACAUUUUCAAAACACAAUAUUCACAAUUGAAAGAGUUGAAUUUUGUUGUCCUCUAUAUAGGGAAAAUAUACUAUUUUUAUUAUUAUGUAAGAGAUAGAUGUUUAAAAUUUAUAAUACAUAUUCUUUUCUAUGUGAAAGAAAUAUAAACUUAGUUGCUUUGUCAACGAGUUGCCAUUUUUUUAAUAGCAAUUUUUUUCUUGAAUAGCAAAAUGAUAUAUGUAAAAUCGAAAAAAAAUAAAGUUUCAAAGGACUAACGUACCAGUAGAACCCUAGACACCCCAAAUCUUUUCCUAAUUUUUCUGACAGCCUUCACCCUCUCUACUCGAUUGCAACCCUUCCUCGAACAAUCAUUGCCACCCUUGAUUUCAACUUGUUCAAUGUCAGUUGAUGUCCAGUAUCUAUAAUGCCACCUUCGAUUGCAACUUCCCUCUGGCACCAACCUCUACUUUCACUCACUCAUAUUACAGUAGACCAGACCAUCGACAUGAGGACUUCACCUCAUGCUUAGGAGGUAUACCUCACUUGUUCAUACAAGAACAAUUCUCAUAAUGAGAAUAAUAGAAACAAAUGUAUAAAUCCAAUAAAAUAUCCCAAACGCUAAAAGUAGUGAAAUCGUCUUCUUCACCAUUAAGACCCCAAAUAUUGAUUGAGAUCAAGAAUAGAAAACAAACACGUAAUGAAGAUAGAUUUGAGACGUUUAAAUAGACUUACUAGUUCAGGAAAGUGAGAGCGACUAAGAUUUUGCGACAGGGUCUUGUUGUGGAUUAUGAGAUAGGAUUUUGAGUGUAGUUUUGUUACGUGGUGGUCGUGUGACUCCUCCUUUUCUUGUAGAGAGUGCAAAAGGGUGGUUUUCUUAGAAGUUAACGAUUUUCGUAUCCGAUUUUUUUGACGAGGGAAAUGAUUUUUGAGUUUUUUUUUUUCUGACGGAAGGAUUUUGCAGAGUUUGGUGAGAAAUGAAAAAAUAAAGUGAGAAAGUCAAUAAUAAUGUCAAAAUAAAUUUAGUGGAACAAUAUUAGCAUUCCACUUAAAAAUAAAUAAAUGAAUUUAUCAACGUCCAUUUCACAGACGUAAACUUGUAAAGAAGAAUGAAUUACAAGAAUGAAUUACAAAUAUAAGGUAUUAGCGUUGGAUUAGGUCCCACACUAAAAUUUUGAAGCUAAAUUCCAAACUUUUUUUAUGGAUGUACUGCCAACACAGAUUUGCAAAUAUUUGGAGAUCCAUAAUUGAGAUAUUUAAUUUUGGGUAAUUAAAUGUAUCUCACGCGUCUAUAUCAUUCAUUUAUUUAUAAUUUUUUAACAGCCUCAAAUUCAACAUCUCACACAAUUUUCUUAAAAUGGAACUCAUUAAUUAACUUUAUAUUAUUAUAUUUUAAUUUUUUAAUAUUAAAAAGUGUGAAUAUCACUUAAUACUGGGGUUUUAAGUGAGACUUUUAUCUUAUAAGAACAAAUUUUUUUUUUAUCCUCAAUAGAUAUCUACUAGUUGCAUUAUAAAAUUUGAGUGGGCGUGAUAUAUUGGUAUCAAAGGAGAAUUGAUAAAAUUCGUAUUCAUAGCAUUAUUAGUUGACUUUUUUUAGAGAAGCAAAAUGAUUUUAUUCAGGAGAAUACAGGUAUUCCAAACCCAUUAUUUUUAAAAAUAAUGGUACUCCAAACCCAUUAUUAGUUGACUAAUACGUAUAUAAGAUAUAAUUCUACAUAUAUAGAUAUAAUUAUUUACUAAACGAUGAUGAGAAUAAGAUAGCAACAUUUAACGGUGUCUCUAGUAAAACAACUAUAAAACCAAAAAUCGAUUGCUUACGCAGUAGAAUUUGUAAAUAUUAGUAAUUUGCUAAACGUUGAAUGUGGGAUAAGGACAUAAAUAAUAAACUAAUUGUUUCAUAUGAAGUUUAUUAUUAUUAUUAUUAUUGUUGUUGUUAAAAAACAGUUUUAGAAAGAGAAAAAAGGUUUUCUAUCACUAAAGAAAUUUAUGGGAUGUGUUGCGUAAUAGGUCGCUUUUUCUAAGACUAUUCGUGACACUGUUCAAAUUUGUACAAGCAGACUAACAACAACGUAAUGUCCAGGAUAAAAUAGCUCAGUCUAAACUGUAUGGAUUUCCUACUGUGUAGUAGGAACCGUUCUAGAUAUACACCCUCUAUAUGGAACUUAGACCACCCUCUAAAUAAUGACGAAAUCAUCUUUCAAUACUUAAGUAGAAAUGAAACCUAAGAUAAGAUAAAAUAAUAAUAUUACAAUCAAGAUAAAAGUUUGAAAAAUUAUGGCCACCAGAAAAUCAAUGAUUACAUAAAUUACAUAGCAUGCUAAAAACAAAAAUUCUAAAGGAAAAUGAUUCAAUGCAUACACGCAACACGUUCAGAGAGAAAUAAACACAAAGAUAAAGAGAAAAGGGAACUUAGAGGUGUCUAUGUAUACAACCCCAUAACUAUAAACAUCCACUUUAGAUGUUAUUGGUAAAUUGGAAAUCCAUUCAGGGGCCAUAUAUCCUCUUGUUCCUCUAAUCAUUGAGAAUUCUGAAUUAUUAUUAAGAUUGUUUCUGCUUUUCAGCUUAGACAAUCCAAAAUCUGCUAACUUGGGUUGAAAGUUAGAAUCAAGAAGUAUAUUUUGAGGCUUUAUAUCACAAUGCAAAAUCCACUCCAUACAUUCUUCAUGUAGAUAAGCAAGAACUCUAGCUGUUCCUAAAGCAAUAUCAUACCUUUUACUCCAAUCAAGUGUGUUAGUUUUAGAUGAAAGAUUUUCAGCUAAAGAUCCAUUUUCCAUGUACUCAUAUACCAAAAUUCUAUGCUUCACUCAUAUACUCUUCUUUAGAGAAGUUAUUACCUUUUGGAAGUCUCAAGUAUGUGCUGUUCCUACAAAACUUGGUGAGUGCCUCCCAUUUAACAAUUGUAGCUUUGUAUAACAUUUGAAAAUAUUUUGGCCUUCUUCAUAUUUGUAUUGGAAUCCCAUACAAUUACAAUCUUGUAAACAUAAACUCUCACAAUUUUUGUAGGUACUAUUUUGAACAAAAUAUUUGUCAUAGCCGUAGAGCUCGAAACCAUUCAAUUUUAAAAAGGUAGACUCACUUCUAUUGCAAGUAAAAUCAAACAUGGGUUCACAACCAGAAGAGAAAUCACUAUGGUUCUUCACUUUAUACCCCGGCAAACAAGAGCAUUUCUUACCCUUUUUAGGAUCAUAGCUGCAAGUGCUAUUUGCACCACAAACUCCAUGAAUGAUGCAAGUGUCAGAUAUGACUUGCCAUGAAACAUACCAAUUUUCUGACAUGUUUUUUCGACUAUAAACUCGAACAUUACCAUCAUAAUCCAUGGUUAAUUUUCUUUGCAUAACCAUACCAUAAUCAUAAGUGGAAAAAGUGUAAUUAUCAGAUGAUAUGAACUUUCCAAGAGAAUCCAACAAAGCAAUUAUGGUACUAUUGUAAUUGGAUCUUCCAACUUGCCAACUUAGUAACAAAGAAGGUGGCCAAUAUGUGCUUGAAACAUCAGGGCCAUCAUAAUCGAGACGAAUAACAUUGUUAUCAUCAAAGAAACACUUAUAGAAGCCAGAAGAAUGAUUACUCUGGCUUCUUGAAGAAAUAAGUUUUGUGUAUUAUCUAGUGAGAGGUUGAUUAGGAAGGAGAGAAUUUGUUGGGAAAUCAUAGCUUUCCCCCAAAAUGGUAGUUCUUUGAAGCUCACGUAACACAAGAUUACCAUCUUCUUUGAGAUACAACUCUAAUGGAGCAUCUGAUGCUGUGUUUUACGUCAUAUUUAUAUUACUCCCUCCAGUCAUAUUUAUAUAUAAGAAACAUUUUACUUUUUUGAUUCAUUGCAUAAAUACUUUUUUAAGCUUUUAUUUUUUAAUCAUCACAAUUCCUUUUUCUUUUUUUUAAUCCCCGUAAUAUUUUUCACAAAUAAAUUAAUUUAAUUUAAUUUUAAUAGGGACUAAAACUGUAGACAAAAAUUACGGUAAGAACCACAAGUCGAUUUUUUUCAAGGCCUAAAUAAUAGCCGUAGCUGUUAUUUAAACACUUACAUGACGUUGGAAAUUUCUCUUUAAAAAAAAAAUAAUAUUGGAAAUUUUAUAAUAAUAUGUGUCAACGCCACGCCGUAUACGCCAUUGAUGGUUGGUAUAAAGUUAAGGGAACCCCCUGAAAUUGUAAGUUUCGUCAAUUACUUCUCUGAAAUUAACAAAAUUUUAAUUAUUCCUCUGAAAUUGCACAACGUUAAUCAAUUUACCCUCUCCGUCAACUUUUUCUGUUAGUCAACAUAAUGUUUUGCAAAUACCCCCUGAAAUUUUGCACUUAUCUGCAAAAUGCCCCCCGAACUUUAAAAUUUAUAUAUUUUUUCUUAUCCUUGACUCAAAUGAUAUUAAAGACAAACAAUUAACAAUUAACUUUAUGUCUCCUCUUAAGUUCUUGGAAUAGAAUUAUUGAAUUUUAUCAAUGUCAUGUGUAUCAUCAUUGUGAUUUCACCUUUGACUUAUUGACCUUCCUUUACAAGUUGAUUAUGGUGCCAUUCUCCUCAAACCAUUUGUUUAUUUCCAUUUGUGUUUGUUUACAAUUUCCAUUCAUGAAGCUCAUGAACAUUGUUUGGAUUGGAUAGGGUUUUUGUGUUCCUUUUAUGCACAUAAUAGAUUAUGUUUUUGGAGCAUUUGAGAUCAAUAGUAAACAGCUACUCAUUAUACCAUACAACAAAAAUGGUUAAUGAGUAGUUCAAAAAUUAACAAGAAUUGCUAUCAAAAAAGAAAGAAAACAACAAAUAAAUAGAUUAAACAAAUUAAUUUCGAUUAUGGUGCGGAAUGAUGUGAUCGGAAUUGACCCAACAUAAAGCUAAAUGUUAAUUGCUUGCCUUUAAUAUCUUUUGAGUCAAAUACAAGAAAAAAAAAAAAAUUCAAGUUCAAGGGGCAUUUUGCACAUAAGUGCAAAACUUCAGGGGGGGUAUUUGCAAAACGUCAUGUUGACUAACAGAAAAAUUUGACGGAGGGGGCAAAUUGAUUAACGUCAUGCAAUUUCAGGGGGGUAAUUGACGAAACUUACAAUUUCAGGGGGGUAAUUGCCUAUUUACUCGGGUGGGAACAGGCUAGGCAGCGUGACAGGGAUUUACGGCCUAGCCUAUUUAAAGUCUAAUUCGGCCAGUCAUAUUAAAAAAAAAGAGGCCAGACUCAUGUUUUUUAUAAAGCCUAUUUAAUUAAAUAGGUUAGGCUAAAGCUUAAAAAAAAAACCUAUUAAGCCCGUUAGGCCGGCCUAUUAAACUUUUUAUAUAUAAUAUAUCUUCCACUAUUGAUAUUAUUGAAGUUUUUCAUAAACUGGAGCCUUCACAUGAUUUGGUUAUUUGUAUAAGAUAUAUUGUUUUGAUUAGACAUUCGUAAGAUUUCGUUAUUUAGUAUUAGACAAAUAUUCACGUGUUUUAGGUCUUCAUAAGUUUUGACAUGUUUAGUAGUAGACUUGUAGGUGUUGCUAGACCUUGUAAAAUAGACUUUAAAUAGAUUUUCAGGCUUCAUUGGACCUUUAAAAAGGUCAGACCAGACCUUGAAAAUGGACAUAUGAUGGAUAAUAUGAUAGGUCAGCUCAAUCCUUAAUUUUUGAAGUAAACCAAAUUUAGAUCUUACAAAACCCGACCCGACCUUGCCCAUUUUCACCCUAGUUAGAGUGAACUCUACAAUACACAAUGAUCUUUAAAAAAUAAAAAUAAAAACUCUACCAUACACAAUGUGAAAAACAUAUACUACCUCCAGCUCCAACAAUAUUAGUUGUAAAAAAAGAAAUCUAACUUUCGUUUAUGACAAAAUUUAGUUAGUAAUUGAUUUUGUUGAUUUAUUUAUUUUUUCGACAGAUUUAUUUUACUUAAUCUUAUAUAAAUAAGAGUAUAUUUUUUUUUACAAAUAUAAACAAGUGUAAUGGUCAUUUUCUUUAAAAGUUAAUUAAUUUUUUGCCAUUUUCUUAAAAAGUAAUUGAAAACUCCCUUGUAAAACUCAAGUGUUAGCAACAAAAAAUAUAUUAGUCACUGAUAAGAGUCAAAUGCUCGACUCUUGAUUUAGAGAAAAAUUAAUUGAGAGAGUAAAAUAUAUCUUAUGUGUUCAACGUAUUUUCCAAUUGACGUUAGUAAUGGUUAGACGAGGAUGAAAACUUUAUACCGAUGAUAUGAUAGGAAAAAAGAAAAAGUGUCGGUAGUGCCAUAUACAGAUUGAUGGUUGUUUAGAGUGAACUCUAACAUACAUUAUGUUGGCCACCACAAACGUUAAAACAGCCGUCGAAAAUUUUCUUGAGCUUUUGGCCGCUUGUAAUUUUAGCCGGUAAUAUACCAAGUUUUAUUGUAAAUUGGGGGCCGAGGGGGCUGGGGGCGAUGCCCUCAGAGAUAUAUUCAAUUGUAUUGUUGUAAUACAUCGUAGUAUUUAUAUAAGAUAAGUAACAUUAUAAAAACUAAAUUUUAGUUCACAUAAAUAACACGGAAUGACAAUUGAUAUAUAGCUUGGAACGUAGAUGCUUGACAAAACUUCAUAAUCAAGCAUCAUGUCCUAACAAUUGCGCUAUACUCAUAAGGAUUUUCGUUUCGGUACUCUAUGCAAAUAAUAUCAAAUUGUAAAUUUGCAUAUGAAUUUUAACAUUAUGUAUCGUUCACAGGUUGUUCACGGUUUGCCAUCCAAACAAUAUUGGCUGGGUCGCGACCGUGAUUCUGCAUCUCCGAAAACCAUAUUGCGAAGGAAAAGGUAUUUUCACCAACUUGAUAGAAUCCAGCAGAGAAAGUUCCCUUUGAAGAAACAGUUACAUCUUCUGCAUGUUUCUCUACUGAGAGAGAAGAGCCCUUUUUCAAAGAUGAUAAAUGAGAUGAACAUUGAAAGGGAAAUAGAAAGAAGAUUAGGAAAAUAUGUGAAAUUUUGAAAACCAUGUUAUUAGUUAAUUAUUGUUCUUGCAAUUGCAAUGUAAGCUGUAUAUACAGUGUGUGUGUGAGUUGUAUGCUUUAGUUGUUGAAGGUGAUGUGCAAGUGUAAACAUAGGAACUUUCAUAGUGAGGACCGUGUAAAAUGUCGUGUUUGAAACUUUCAAUGGUUGACGCGAGUCUUUGUGGUGGGAAUUGGAAGUCUUAGCACAAGGACUAAUAAGGAGUAUGGGGUCGUCCAUAUAUAGUAGUAUAUUGGUAUUUUUUAUAUUUUUUGGUAGAUAGGAGUACUAUAUUAAGAUAAUAUUAUAUAAGGUCGUUAUAUUAUGUAUCUAGUAACUAUAUAUUAUUGUUGGUUUAGUUGAUAAAGAUAUGACACAUCCGUAAAGUUGUAGGUUAUUUUGGAAGACUUGAUAGCUUAACUUAAUUAAAUUUGUUUUAUUAAAAUUAUUGUCAUAGUUUAUAAUAUGUUGAAAAUCCUUAUUUAUUAAUUUUGUUAGGUCUGCAGCAGUUUAACCUAAUCUUUUUCCGCUGAUUUGCUUUAUUACGUUUCCAUUUAUUUAACCUAACAAAUUCCUUCAAAAAAAAAUGCAUGACACCAAUUUUAUUCCUAUCCUCUUGCCUUUUUUUCUUUGAAGGAAAUAUUUUCUACACUUAUUUGAUGUUGCACGUUUGUUCUAGAAACCAUGAGCAUAUCAAUGAUCACGUUUGAUGCCUUCUAUUUUAUACUUUGUUUUUGGGAUUUUUUUUUUUUUGACAAUUUUUUGUACACUUUCUUAUUUAAGGAAAUAUUUUGUACACUUAUUUGAUACUAAAAAAAUGGAUCGCACCAAUUUCAUUUCUAUCCUCUUGCAUUUUUCUUUUUGACAAUAUUUUGUACACAAUACCAGAAAAAUUCAUCGCACUAAUUUCAUGCCUUUUUUUUUUUUUACAAUAUUUUGUACACAUUUUUUUGAACCAAUUUGAUGCCUUUAUUUCAUUCCUAUCUUGUUGCCUUUUUUUGACAAUAUUUUCUAUACUUAUUUAAUACGUUUACAAACAGAAUAUCAUAAUUUUCAUGCAAACUCGGCUACCCUAAUUUCCAUGUAAACUUGGUUAUAUAUACCAAACCCUAAACGUGUUUCUCUCAAAAAAAAAAAAAAAAACUAAACUGUGUAAAAAUUUAACACAACACAAAAAUCAUAUAUUUUGAUAUUUAGAACUUUGCAAAUGGAAAGACGCGACCUUACACUUAUUUUUUUCACCGUUACCAAUUAUAUAUUGCAUUUUAUUAUUCGUAUGUCAAUUCCUUUCCAAUAAACCCAAACGGAGCAUAAGUCAAAAAUCUAGUUAUAUUUUAAUAGUGAAUCUUAUGGGAUUCCUUAAAAAAAAGUGAAUCUUAUGGGAUGAGAGUGCGAUUUGUUUUAUUUUAUUUUAUGAAUUUGUGUAAUUUACUCAAUUAUCAUGUAGGAGAUUGAUGUUUAAAAUUUGUAAUAAAUGUUCCUUUUUCUAUAAAAGAAAUAUAAACUUAGUUGCUUGAUUAGUGAGUUAAAUCUCUUACAAGAAAUAUAUUCGAAAUCAAUAAAUAAGAAGACAUAAGAUCGUCCUUGUUUCUCACCUGAUGCCUUCUAAUGUAGCGCUAAAUUGUGUCCAAAUCAUGCACAUGUAUUUAAUAUGUUUUUUGAGUAGGAUUGUCCGCAUCAACAAACAUCUUAGUCGGGGUUGGUCUUAAGAUUUUUGGUACUCAGGGCGAAAGAAAAAAGUUGUACCCUUGUAAUUAUUUUAAUAUUUUUUAUUGCAAAAGAUUAAUUUAUAAUCAAAAUUCUCUAAAAAAAUAUUUUCAAUAGAAUUAAUCAAACCAAAUUAAAAAGAAAUAUAUCUAUUUUGUAGUGACUACUAAAUAAGAAUAAUAAAUUUAGUACCCCUAAAAAAAUGGUGCCUUGAACUUCUGCCCCUCGCGCCCACCCUCACGGCCACCCCUGAUCUUAGUCACCCCAUUUCAACACAACUUGAAUCAUUUUGUCCGCACUGGUAUAAGUGUGUGUGCAGUCCAGCUUGGGCACGUGUAAACAACAUCUUAAAAAUAAUUCUAACCUUGCUAGUAAACAUGUGAAUCAAAUGACCACGCUAGGUGGAUUUUUUUUUAUUGAAUCAAAUGCUCCCAAACCAGUUUAUAAAAAGGAUGUGGAAGUUUUCUCUAUGGUCAAAGGUGUAACGAUGGUAACUCAAAGAGGUAUAAUUAACCCCAUACAUGGCUCCUCUUCUGUAUUCUUUUUAAGUGUUGAAGAAGAAGCAAAGAAUAAAACUUAACAUGUUAAAAAUAUAAAUUUUAAAUUUACUUUCAUCUAAAUUUACAAAGAUAAACCAAUGGGUUCAUCAAUUAUCUAAGUUUUAAAUAUAUUUGUCAAGACCAAGAGACUAAUGAAUAAAUCUCAACAUCAUUCACAGCUUUGAAGCAUCUCAACAACCUGACUCAUAGUAGGCCUAAUAUCCCUAUCUUCUUCAACACAAUCCAAAGCAACUCUAACCAAAAUUUCCAUCUUACUUAAAUCAUAAUUAUUCCCUAUUGCAGGAUCCAAGAUUUGUUCAACCCAACAUGUACUCCUCUUUUUCUCUCUUACCCAAGUUAUCAACCUUCCAUUAUAUGUCCCUUCUCCAUCAACUCCUUCUAUAUUCAUCAUUGUUGGACUCUUUCCGGUUAUCAUCUCUAACACGACAACCCCGUAACUAUAAACAUCCACUUUAGAUGUUAUUGGUAAAUUGAAAAUCCACUCAGGUGCCAUAUAUCCUCGUGUUCCUCUAAUCAUUGAGAAUCCUGAACUAUUAUCGAGAUUGUUUCGAUUUUGUAGCUUAGACAAUCCAAAAUCGGCUAACUUGGGCUGAAAGUUAGAAUCAAGAAGUAUAUUUUGAGGCUUUAUAUCACAAUGCAAAAUCCAUUCCAAACAUUCUUCAUGUAGAUAUGCUAAAACUCUAGCUGUUCCUAAAGCAAUAUCAUACCUUUUAGUCCAAUCAAGUGUGUUGGUUUUGGAUGAAAGAUUUUCCGCUAAAGAACCAUUUUCCAUGUACUCAUAUACCAAAAUUCUAUGCUUACCUUCAACACAAUAUCCCCACAUUUCAAUCAAAUUCAUGUGGUUAAGCUUUUCAAUGAUGCUUACUUCAGCAAGAAACUCUCCUUCUCCUUGUUUAGCUUCAUUCAAUCUCUUUAUUGCUGCAUCUCUUUGAUCCGGCAAUGUACCUCUAUAUACAACUCCUCCUCCACCUCUUCCAAUCUCGUUACUGAAAUUUUUUGUCGCUACCUUCAACUCGGAGUAAGUGUAUCUUCUGAAUCCUAAUAAUGUAAGAUGAUAGCUAUGUUGAUUUGCACUAGAAUUUUUCCUGGUCUUAAUUAAAAAACCACAAACCAUUAAGAAACAAACUAAUUCUAAACCACCAACUACAAUUGUAAGCCACAAGAACAAUCUGAACAAAUGACUUGUUUGUUUUCUAGCAUAGUCUUUGUGAAGAUGGACCAAAGAAACAUGAUCUUUUACACUCAUAGAUUCUUGUUUGUAGAAGUUAUUACCUUUUGGGAGUCUCAAGUAAGUUAUUCCUUGAAAACUUGGUGAAUACCUCCCAUUCAGCAAUUGUAUCUUUGUAAAGCAUUGGAAGAUGCCUUUGUCCUCUGCAUAUGUGUAUUGAAAUCCCUUACAGUUACAAUCUUGUAAACAUGAAGUCUCACAAAUUUUGUAGGUACUGUUUUGAACAAAAUUAUUGUCAUAACCAAAGAGCUCAAAACCUUGCAAUUUUAAAAAAGUAGAUUCACUUCUAUUGCAAGUAAAAUCAAACAGAGGUUCACAACCAUAAGACCAAUCACUAUGGUUCUUCACUUUAUAUCCUGGCAAACAAGAGCAUUUUUUACCCAUAUUAGGAUCAUAGAUGCAAGAGCUGUUUGCGCCACAAAUUCCAUGUAUGGUGCAAGGAUCAUGUACGACUUGCCAUGAAACAUACCAAUUUUUUGACAAGUUUUUUCGACUGUAAACACGAAUAUUACCGUCAGAAUCCAUGCUCAACCUUCUUUGCAUAACCAUGCCAUAAUCAUAUGUGGAAAAAGUGUAAUUAUCAGAUGAAAUGAACUUUCCAAGAGAAUCUAAGAAAGCAAUUCUACUACUAUUGUAAUUGAACCUUCCAGCUUCCCAACUUAACAACCAAGGUGGUGGCCAAUAUGUGCUUGAAACAUCAGGACCAUCAUAAUCGAGACGAAUGAUAUUGUUAUCAUCAAAGAAACACUUAUAGAAGCCAGAAGAAUGAUUACUCUGGCUUCUUGAAGAAACAAGUUUUGUGUAUCUAGUGAGUGGUUGAUUAGGAAGGAGAGUAUUGGUUGGGAAAUCAUAGCUUUGCCACAAAAUGGUACUUCCUUGAAGCUCACGUAACACAAGAUUACCAUCUUCUUUGAGAUACAACUCUAACGGAGCAUCUGAUGCCGUGUUUGAAGACCAAGUGUAGUGUUGACCCGCAUCAAGCAAGAGGAUGUUACCAUUGUUUAAGAGGAAAAGCUUUGAGAGCUUACCUGUUAGAAUUUAUAACGAGACGAAGAAAUUAGAGGAGAUAAAAAUUAGAUAGCUAGAAUGAUAGUAUAUUUAUUAUUGAUAGACACAAUAUCUAGAUUGGAGUAUAAUCAUGAGUCGGAAUUUGCUUCAUUUAUUUAUUUUCUAUUCUCAUAAACAAUCUCACUCUUGUUCAUGAUACUUUUAACCGAGAGAGAACUCGUGUCUUCAAUUCAACGAACUAUCUACAUGAUUGAGGCAAAUCAAUUCGCAAAAGUACCACAAACUGGUAUGCGAAUUAAGGCACCAAUUCGCAGCUGACAAGUGGAUAAAGAUUAUGUGACUAUGGACCAUACAAUGAUUAGUGGUGGAAUAUAGAGUGAACACUACCUCAUCCACCAUGUCAAUAACAUAUGUAUUGUCUAUCUAUAGGUGUUGAAGAUUUCUACUCCAAAGACUCUAAAAUAAUCUAGAAUACUCUAAAAUUUGCAUCAAUUAUCAUUUCUCUAUGCAAGACGGCAUAUAAAUAUUGUAUAAUUUGCAUGAAUUUUAACAUUACCAUUCACAGGUUGUUCACGGUUUGCCAUCCAAACAAUAUUGGCGGGGUUGGGAGUUUGAUUCUGCAUCUCUGUGAACCAUAUGGCGAAUGAAAAGCUGUUAUUGCCAACCUGAUAGAAUCCAGCAGAGAAAGUUCCCUUUGAAGAAACAAUUACAUCUUCUGCAUGUUUCUCUACUGAGAGAGAAGAGCCUUUUUUCAAAGAUGAUAAAUGAGAUGAACAUUGGAAGGGAAAUAGAAAGAAGAUUAGGAAAAUAUGUGAAAUUUUGAAAACCAUGUUAUUAGUUAAUUAUUGUUCUUGCAAUUGCAAUGUGAGUGCCAUUAUAAGAGAUGAUUUACUAGUGGUGCUGGUAGGUGACGUGAUGUGUGUAUUUAUGACAAACAUAUACUAAAAUGUUUUUAGUAGGACCACAAGAAGCUUCGUGGAAAAUAGUAUAAUGUUUAGAUUUUUAUAUAUGAAAUUAUUUUUGUUAAAUUGAAGAUAUCAUAAUGUAACUAUAAAGAUUAAUCUUAUAUAAUUGAAAUUUUGAUCUUUUUAACUAAUAUUUUUUUUCAUGCACACCAAUUUGAGAUCGAACUCUAAACCAAAAAUUUAAAAGACUUUGUUUCCAUAUUUAUGUCACACUACGAGUGUGUUUGGUUGGCAAAAUAGUAAGUACUAUACAUAACAAUACAAGAAAGAACAUCACAACACAAGGCAGAACAACACAGUACAAAUUUUUUAUGACAUUGAGUAAUUUUUUUGUUUUAUACGAUUUUUGGGAGACGAAAUGCUAUUUUGGUAUUUUAGACAAUUUGUAUGUGAGACAAAAAGUUGUGAUGUGGUUUAUUGAGGGAAAAUAAUAUCAGUUUUUGUCUUGUCCCUUGCCUUCAGUUUGUCCUGUACUUGAAACAGUUUUACAAAUUAAACAUUAAAUAACUAGAGUUGUUCUAUCAUUUCCUUCAUUUUUACGCACCCCAUGUCAUACUAUGUUAGUUGAUCCAUGCCUAAAUUUAGGUAGACUUUAAUGCUGAGGCGGCUGUCCGUUCUUAGAGAUGGGGUCUUGGGAACCUUGAACAAAGGGUAAAUGACAUGACAUGUUCUCUUCCACACUACACUACGAGUGGUCCUCAUAGUAAUGACUUACGAAUAUGAUGAUGUUGAAGUAGUGUCAACAAUAGGAUUCUUGAGGAUAUUUUUGCUCUUUUUAUAAGAUUUUUUUCUACUAUUUUGAUUUCAAUAAAUAAUAUGUUAAAAACAAAGUUAACUCACCUAAAAUAAACUUGUAAAAAAAAAAAAAGUGAAUGUACAUGUAUCUUUGAAGUUUGAAUAACUAUGAAAUUAACCAUGAUUCAAUUAUUUAAUGACAUAUUAUAUUUUUGUAUUAAUUUAUAGUCAAACUUGUUCCUCACAACAACAAAAAAAUUGAAUGAAUUUUACUUACAGGAUACCAAUACCCAACUCAACUUUAAGAUACUUAAGAGUGUAUCAAAUCUACCGAUUUAGAUACCGUUUAACCAGGUUUUUUUGGUCUAAAAACUACUUUAAAAUAAAAUUAAAAUAAAGUUUUUUUUUUAAACAAAGGAAGAUGCAGCCAAUAAGCCUACACCCCCAUAACAUAUAUUAAAGAAGAAAGGGAAAACAAAAUUACAAAAGAUUGAGGGGGACAUAACACCAAAAACCCUCAAUAAGAGCUUAUCAAAAUAAAGCUCUUUAAGAAAAAAGUUAAAGUUUUUUGGUUUCUUUAUUUUUUUUUUUAGUUCUAAAGUUAUUUUUAAGUUAAAAGUUGUUUGGCAAAAUAUUGUACAAAACUUUGAUUUUUUUUUUUUUGGCGGUGUCCGGGGUUCAAACCCGCGACCUUGCAUAUAUUUAUGCAUUGUCUAUAUCAACUGAGCUAGGUUAGAGAAUAGUUUGUUUUUUUUUCUUUUUCAAUUAUACUGUAUAACAAAUUUUGUUAUAAGAAUACCAUAUUUUUUGUGUUAUUUAAAAAGAUAAAAAUUUAUAUUAUAUGAUAUUAUAUUUGUUAUAUUGUUGGUUGGUGUCAUUGAAAAAUAUAUGCUUAGUUAUUUUAAUAAGAAAAAGACAUGCAUAGUUUGUUACAAUAUAAAUGUGUAAUAUAUAUAUAUAUAUAUAUAUAUAUAUAUAUAUAUAUAUAUAUAAGUAUAAUUUUUUUAGGCAUCUAUACUUGUACUUUUAAUUAAAAUCAAAAUUAUAUAAAAAUAAUAAUUGUACGCAUUACGCAACACUAAUAAAAUUAUACGCAUUUUAGCGUAACAAAAAAACAGACAUAAAAUAUUACUCUAAACGCUAAUGUGUGUGUGUAUAUAUUUGUGAGGUUGAAGAAAGGGAAUAAAAAUAUUUGGUGUCAUUCAACGACAGCAUGAAUAAAUAUAUUUGUGACGUUGUCAUAAUUAAACGAUAUUAAAAUUAAAUAUAUAAGUGAUAAAAAGAUAAUAAAAUUCCUUCAAAAAUAGAUAAUAAAAAUAAAUUGAUCCUCCUUUAAAAAAAUUAUAUGGACCGUUCAAAAAAAAAAUUAUGGAAAAAAAAUUGAAAUAUAAUAUUAAAAAAUAAAAGAAAAGGUUGCAUGCGUGAGUUAAAGAGAGGUAGUUUUUUGAACUAGCAUUCAACAACUUUUGGUUAAAGCUCAUUCCAUUCAAUUUUAUGCAUUCUAAAAAAAGUAUUACCUCCGUCCCUAAUUAUAAGACCCUUUUUGAGAAAAAAAUUUGUCCCUUUUUAUAAGACCCUUUUAGUAUUUCCAAGUACAUUAAUUUUGCAUCUUUUUCUUCAAUCAACAAUAAAUAUUAUGUUGAAAACAUAAAUUAACUCUCUCUCUUAAGGAUAAAAUUGUAAAAACAAUGGUAAUUACAUACAAAUUUAAUACUACAAUCAACUUGCUUAUUCUCCGUAAUUUUUGCAAAAGGCUCUUAUAAUUACGGACGGAGGUAGUACUUUUUUUUCGAAGGUACUUUAUUGAUAUUGUGUUUGGUCUAGCUUCUCUUUAAAAAUGUAGAGAAGCUGAAAAAAAAGUCGGGCCAAACGGUACCUUAGCCUAGAGAGAGAUCAUAUACUUAGACAUAGAUAUAGUUUUAUAGAAAAAAAUGUAGAUAAAUAAAAUGACAAUAUCAUUGAUGCAAGUAGAUGAGUUGGAGUUCGACCUUGAUUAUGACAUUUAGCCUAACAAUUCAACUCAUACAUUUCUCAGAGAGAGGUGACUUCAACUUACUCUAUAAAUACUUCUCAAUAAAGCAAAGUGUAUAUUUUUACACAAAAAGAGGUAAAAGUGUGUGAUUUACUCUGGUUUUAGCAGGCAAUUCAUAUAUUUUUAUAAGUUGAGCUAUGAUAUGUCAACUCUUUUUUUGUUAUCCGUUGUUAUUACUAAAAAAAAUUCAAUUGUUUCUUUUUGUUAACCAUCUUAAUGGGAUCUUACCUUCCAUCCAAUUUUUUCCAUCCACAAAAUUUGAACUCAUAAUUUUAACCAAGGGUGCGCGAGAGGGUUGGUAGCCCAAGGCACCAUUUUUUAAGGGCACCAAAAUGAUUAUUCUUAGUUAGUAGUUAGUACUGUAUAUAUAUUUUUUUAACUUGCUUUGAUUAAUUAUAUUAAAAUUUUCAUUUUUUUUUUUGUUUAUGAAUGAAUAUUUGACAACAAAUAAUACAAGAAGAAAGAGUUCAAAUAAUUAAAAGAGCAUAACUUUAUUGAUUCGUUCAAGACAUCAAAAAACUUAAAACCGACUUUGAUUUUACCUAAGAGAUCCAAGGCAAAUUCUACUCGAAUCAAAAUAAUGUUGGUAUUGUCUCUUUUAAGAUAUAAAAUUCUGCAAAGCCAAUUACUAUACUUUGCUUUUCGGUUCAACAAUGUUGAAAGAAGGGAAAUGUUUUUAAAGAGAGACUUCAAAAUUUUCUUGAUAGAUUCUUGGGUUGGCAGUUGGCACUAUUCAACAUGGAUUGAAGAAAUGAAGAAGAAUAUAAAUGGAGAGGAUCUUAACUCUUAUACAACAUGCCCUGCUUUUUAGAAUAACUAUAUUAAUCGGUGGUUCGAAAGAUCGUUCAUAUUUUUCUUUUUGUGAAUAAACCAAUGGCCAUUCAUUUAACCAUUAUGUAUUUGUGAUUGGUUGAAAUUUAUUUACCUUCACCCAUUUAGGGUCAUUUUACUUCAACAAAGGAAGAGGGGAGAUAUUUUAUUGGAGGGGAAGAGAGUGUAAUGAAGUUUAAUUAUCUAUACAUAAUUAUGUCUUCGUGAGCUUAACUCAGUUGGUAUGGACAAUGUAUAAUAUAUGCAAGGUUGAGGUUCAAAUCCCGACCACCAUAAAAAAAAUCUAUACAUAAUUAUCUAUAAAUAUCGUUUAAAAGAGAUGGGGAGAUGAGAGGGGAAGAUUUUAAAACUAAUUUACUAUUUUAUGCUCUUAAUCAAAACGGAGAUUAAACCAGUGUGAUCUUCGGAUCAUGGAUCUAUUGGUUCAAUUCAACCGGUUGAACCAAAUAAUUAAUAUAUAAAUAUAUUUCAAUUGUUAUAACAUGCUUGGCGAUGUCACUCUUAUCCUUUCUAUGUUGACAAUUGAGAGUUUCAAAGAAAAUACAAUAUUGGCAAUAGAUAGUUAUAAUACUUACAACUUCGUUUGGUUUUUUUUGUCGUGCCUUCUCUUUCUCAGUCUUUACCUAAGCCUUAUGAUUUAAAUAUACUAUCAAAAAACACUUUCUUUGGCCAAGUGGUCACAUGUUCAAGCACCAUUCCAAAAACUUAAGUUGUGUUAUUUAGAAAUGCAUGAAUGUUUUAUAUCUAACAUAACCUUGCUAGUAUCAGUAUGUUAGUGAAUUUUUCGUAUCACAUAACCUUGCUAGAUUAGAAAAUAAUUAGAGUAAAUGAUGAUUCAAUAAGCAUUUGGCCUAACUGCUUGUGUUAAGGUGGAACUAUAAUCUUUUGGUGGUCUUAAUCUUCUGAUGUCUCUCAUAUACCAGAAAUUGAGGUUCCAUUUGUUUGUGAAGAUGGAACUAAUUUAAAAUUGUAAUUGUUGCUCAUCUAGCAAUGUUGAGAAAUAUUGGAUUUACCUCACUAAUAGAAAAUAAAGGAUUAUCCAGUAAUGAUAAAGGUAGUAGCGAAUCAUAACCUGCAAAUAAAUUAUGAGCAAAUGUCAUAAUAUAUUGGAACAUUUUUUUCUCUCACUUUUGGUAUGAGAAUAAGGGUGAUUGCUCAAUAAGCCCCUCAUAUUUCUCAACAGAUCAAGUUAUAAUUUUCGAUGGACAUUAUGUUUCUGAAAUUAUGAGUAAUUGGAGGGGUUUAUUGAGAAAUUACCGAUAACAAGAUUUAGGCCUAAAGUAUUUCCCUAGAGCCCAACAAUCCUCACAAUCAGAACCCUGAUGGUCCAUAUCAAGCUUUUUUCUUACUUUUUAUUGCUAUUACGGAAUGAAAAUUAAACAUUUCUUUUACUUUAUAUAGACUGGUGAAAAGGAAAAUUUCCAUCAAUUUUUUACAAAGACUUCAUGCAACUAACUAUUUACGAGUAUCCCUUUGAGACAUUUUUCGUGGUAUUUCAAAGCCUAGAAAAAUGAUAUACAAAGUAUGCAAAUUAAAUAUGGAACUAAAUAAAUAUUUUCAGUUCGUUUUUUUCUUCUAAUUUUCUUCUACUGAUUGAACUUUUUUCUAAUAGGUAGAACGAAUCCAUGAUUACCUUGGUUAUAGAGAAAGCCUCAAAUGUAUUGGUACAUUGUUAGAAAAAGAAUUGAUGUUUAUCAUCAUGUAUAUAUAUAUAUCAUUGUUGCAAUGAAUAUUUUACAAAGAUGAAGGUUUAUUUCUAGUAUUUGAACCCCAUUCCAUGGCUUCAUCAACGGCUUUUUGGCGUUCAACGGCACUAUCAUCGUCGAGAAGACUCAAGGUUGCACUACUUUCUUCAUUCUUUUGUGUUGGUGAUGGCAUGUCAAUUGGUGACAAAACUUGUGGAUCUUGAUUCAUUGGAUCUAUUCCAAGGAAACUAAGAGCUGUUACAACAUCACUUAUCAAUGGUCUCACUGAUGGUUCUUCAUUUAGACACAUAGCUGCUACUGCCACUGCUUGAUGUAAUGAUCUCAUUGGAAAGUUUCCUUCAAGUUUUGGAUCUGCUAAUUCUGGAUAUCUUUGUGGGUCCUUGAAUACUGGAUAUGACUGUUUUGUUUUCAAGAAUAUAUUUUAGUAAAUGUUAGUUUCAUAGUUUAAUAAGAUAAAAAUAAAAUGCAUAGAUUAUCAAGCUUCGUAUGUUUCUAGUGUUUAUGUCAUGGUUCUAAUAUGUGGUCGUAAUGGUAGUCGCAGCAACGCUGUGAACCUACAUAUAUUGCGAAAAAUGUGGCCGCAAUUGCAGUUGUGAUCUAUGAAGCACGAACACUCCCUUGAUUAAGCGUGUCCUGGUGUCGGACACGUAUCAUGUCCGACACGACACCGACACAUAUAAUUACAGUAAUUAUGAUUUUCUCAAAUUAUUAACGGUGUUGACAUGUCAGUGUCUGUGUCUGUAUCCGUGCUUCAUAGCUUGUGAUAUUGUUGCUGAGACCGCUAAAAUAUUUAUAUUGCGGUCCAUGAUAUGAUCGUGGACUGCCAUUUAAGUAGAACUAGGGUUUAAGAUCAAAUGGACUAAACUUCAACAAAUAUAUUUAGUAGCAUUUAAUAUGGCAUCAUAGAUAAAGUUAAUAUGAGUAGGCAAACUCACCCAAGAAACAAGAUUUUGCUCCCUUGAUGGUCUUGUGUUAUCAAUGGUUCUCCUUCCAGUAAUCAAUUCAAGCAAAACAACACCAAAACUGUAUAUAUCUGAUUUCACAGUGAGUUGACCUGUUCUUUGAUACUCAGGUGCACAAUAUCCAUAAGUCCCCAUUACUCUUGAAGACACAUGAGACAUAUCCCCUGUAGGUCCCAGCUUUGCUAGUCCAAAAUCAGAGAGUUUUGCAUUGAAAUCUUUGUCCAAUAAGAUGUUGGAAGAUUUUAAGUCACGGUAUAUGACAGGUGGAUUGGCUUUGUCAUGCAAAUAUUCUAGUCCUUUUGCAGCAUCCAAUGCUAUUUUCAUUCUUGUGAACCAAUCUAAUGGCUUUUGUUGUGGUUCAAGAUCUGCAUUACAUUUCAAUAAGAUGUUGAUAAUUAAUAAACCAUUAAAUUUAAUGAUUUUCUAGUCAUUUGAUUCAUUUAACUACCUAAAAAAGGUAGUUUAGUGCACUAAAGCUUCCGCAUACACAGAGUUCGGGAAGGGGUCCCACCAUUUGGUGUACUGUAUCCAACCUUACUCUGUUUUUACACAAGAGAAAGAGACCGUUUCUAAGACUUGAUCCCUAUUUAAUAAAAUAAGGCUUUUAAUUUGAUUGUGGUAUAUAUAUUUUCUAGGUUCAAAUAAAGGAAACAUUUUUUUGCCAAAUUCACAAUUUUUUUUAAAACUAAUUUUGAGAUAGUUGUGUCAUCAAACAUGUUAAUGUUACAUAAGAAUCAAAAUGAAUAAUUACAACACAAGUGAGAUAGGGAAGGAGAAAAUUACCAAGUAGAUGAUCCUCAAGAGAUCCUAAUAACAUGAACUCAUAUACCAAUAGUCUUUGAUCUCCAUCAGCACAAUAUCCAAUUAGAUUAACUAGAUUUUUAUGAUGUAAAAGGCUCAACAUCAACACUUCAACAAGAAACUCUCGGUUUCCUUGCAAUCCAUUCCUGUCAAGUUGCUUCACAGCUACUUCCUACAUUAGUUAAAUCACCAAAGUAUUAAUGCCAAGACUAUCAAAACACUAACAACAUCACUACUAACGCGCAGACAAACACGAACACCAUACACAACACUGGCAUGUAAAUACCAAUAAUAAUAUUUGAAAAUAAAAUUAAUUGAAUAUAAUAACAUGUGUUGGUGUCCGAUACUGACUUGUGUCGGAUAUCGAACACAUUAAUAUGAAGGUUUGGUGCUACCUAUAAAAAGAACAUAAUAAUGAAUGAAAAAGUGGCAUAUUCUUACCUGGUUGGUUUUUUCAAGUCUUCCUUUAUAAACUCUACCAAAUCCACCUUCACCUAUUAGAUUUUCCUGCCUAAAGUUUCUUGUGAUUGCAGCCAAUUCCCUGAAGGUGAACGUUUGAGCAGCAAUGUUGUGACCAUUUUCUUUGUUGGUCUCUUUAUUUAUUUUAGGUUCUGUUGGUGGGUUUGCCUUUGCCUUUUGAUAAUGGUUCUCUGCAUAAAACAAAAUCAUCCAUCAAGUAUUCCCCUCUUGAUAGAUUUUUCCAUCACACAACUCUUAACAAAAUAUAUAUCAUAACACCAUUAAUGACCAAAAGAAAAGAUAAAAAAAUGAGGGCUCUAUUACAAAAUAUAUAUCAAAACACCUAUAUCAUAACACCGACACCGGGACACGCCUAAUCGAAGAAGUGUCCGUGUUAUGAAGCACAAACACUUCUUGGAUUAGACACGACUCCGACACCUAUAAUCACACUGAAUUAUAUGAUUUUCUUAAAUUAUUAGUGGUGUCGACGUGUCGGCGUCCGUGUCGUGUACGGUGUCCGUGUCCGUAUCCGUGCUUCAUUAUCUAUGUAUAAAUGAUUUUACCUGGCUGAGGUUGAGAUGCUUUCUGAGGAGUUAUUUGAGUAGGAUGAUGUUGUAUCCUCUUUCCGUUGUUGUUGUUAUUGUUAUUGUUAGGCCUCUUUGAUAGUUUCUUUUCUUGGGACGAGAAACAUGAAAAGCAACUCAUUUCUCAACCCCAAUUAGAUAUAUAUUUGAAUAAAUCCUAGACACCAACUUUUAACCUAUCAAAAUUCUUUUUCUUUUUUUGAGAGGAGUCUAUCAAAAUCUUCCUCACCAAAAAAAAAGUUACAAAUUCAGAAUGUGUUAGAAUUUCAAUAGGAAUUAAGAUAUGGAGCUUAAUUCCCCUUGCCAAUAAACCAGUGAAAAGAAAAGAAUGAGGGGUCUUAAUACUUGAUGAGAUUUAAUUAAGAAAAUUCUUAGAAAAACUCUAGGGUUCCAAAACUAGAGAAAAAUUGGAACAAAGUUUCAAGGACAAACCAUAAUGAUUUUAAGAUGAAAAUAAACCCACAAAAACCUAACUAACAUUCAACCAACAGGGCCUAACAAACUAAGGAACAGCAUGGAUUUGAGAUCAAGUGUUUGUUAGGUCAGGUCAGUAUGGGAACAAACAUUCAAGAUGUUGACGACAUUUUUUGGUGUUCCCGCAAACAACUGCGACCAAAAAGGUGACAUGUUUGAAAUAUGGUAAGAGAGAGAAAGAGAAACAUGACAACCUAUGACCAAUUUCAUUGUGGGGAGUAGAGUUUAUGAUGCCGUUAUACAUGACAAUUAUAGUCCAUUCUUUUAGAAUGCAAGAAAGUAUAAGAUGGACACAAACUCAGUCCAUUUGUCAUGAAAGAAAAAAAAAUCCAUGUCAUCAAAAAGAGUAGAAGAAAAGACAGAAAAUGACUUUAUGUACAACAAUAUAUUCUCUAUAAUUUUAAAUGUCACUUAAUAUAUUUUUGUAUAAAUUAAAAAAAAAGUUGUAAGUAAAUGAAAUUAAUAUACCAAAUUGAAAAAUUAUCCUUGUUACUUAUUUGAUAUAUGACUCAAUGGGGUGGUUCAACAUUUGUAAUGUUGGGUGAAUUUCUUGUGCUUAUUAAAUUUGUCUUGUCAUCACUUUCAAUUUACAAUUUCUUUCCUUUUUCAAGACUCUCAUAUGUAAAAUUUCUUUCCUUGCAUCUCUUUUUAAUUUUUUAGGGUCAUGCUAACCGGUACUCCUAGGACACUGGUUAAAAAGUUAAAUAUAAUAAUAUUUGCAUUAAAUACUUAAAUAAUCAUCCGAAAAAGGUAAUAUUUACAUUCAAAGUAGUGUGAUCAAUGCAUUAAAUGCUUAAAACAUAUCCUUUUUUAUUUAAAAUUUUCUCUUUUGCCUUCCUUAACCGGUGCCUCAGGAGCAUGGGUUAGUAUUACCCUUUUUUUUAUGGGGGAUGGGGGAAGCUCACAAAAUUUAUUGGUUGCAUUGGGAUAAAGUGUGUUCAGACAGGGAGUUUGGAGAAUUGAAAAUCAUGAGAAUUAAAGAGUUUAAUUUGGUGUCGUUGUGAAAGUGGUGUUGUAGGUUACAUGUUGAAAUGGGAGGGAUUUGGUUUAAAGUUCUCGUAACUAAGUAUGGGGUGGUGGGGAACCAUAUUAAAGGAGAGGGUAAUAGGCCAUCUGGGUGGUGGAAUGAUUUGUGUGGGGUGAGAGAGGGUGUAGGGAUGGCAGUUGAGGGGUGGUUUGAUGAUGGGUUGGCGGUUAGAUAUGGAGAUGUUGAAUAUACCUCUUUCUGGCUUGACAAAUGGCAAGAAGGAGGUAUACAUCGAUUUAGAAUUAAUCAAAUUUUUUUUUUUACCUUUUUUUUACGUAAUAACAUUUCUUUAGUAGAGAUGUUGAGGCUAGGGCGGGUAAUUAAGGGUGAUGUGUGAAGGUGAAGGAGAAGGUUGUUUGCAUGGAAGAAGAAGUAGUGUAAAGAGUGUUGUUUUGCAAGAAAAUCUACCAAACAAAUGGGUUUGGAAAAAUGACCCUAAAAAGGUUAUCAGUCAAAGGAGCUAGUCAAUUAUUAAAUAUUGAAGAUUACAUUUUUUGUGCCAUUGUCGGAUCUCAUUUGAAAUUAAGUGGUUCCUUUAAAAGUCUCUCUUUUUGUUUUUGAGAUCUUUGAAUAUGAGGAUUUCAACCAAAGAUAAUUUGAUCCAUCGAGGGGUUCUUCAUCAUGGUUAUUCGUUGUACACAUGUGGUUGUCGAAAGGAGGAAAUAAUACAUCAUCAUUUCUUGAAAUGUGACUUUUUUGGAGGAAUUUGGUUUUUUAUUUUAAAAUGGUCAAGGAUUUCAAGUGUUCUUCCACUUCAUAUUGGUAUGCACUACACACUUUGUUGGUUCUAUUUUAUUCAAAACGGAAGUUAGACACUGUUUUGAAGUGGUUUCGUUGUCUUGCAUUUGAAUCAUUUGGAAGCAGAGAAAUUCUUGCAUUUCCAUCAACAAAACUUUGUUUCUUGAUAAACUGCUUACUAAGAUCAAGCUUCAUUCAUAGUGGUGGUUGAAAGCAUUUAAACCUAACGCUUUUAUUGACUUUAAUCCUUAGUGGUCUAGUCCAUCCGUUUGUAUGAGUUAUUCCACAACUUAAUGUAAUUUCGUUCUUUGGUUUAAUACUUUUCGCUGUUGUAUUAUUUUGUUGUGUUUCCAUUUUAGGCACAUCUUGUACUGAAAUGGAACUCAUCGUUCAGUAAUAUAUUUUUUCAUUAGCUUCGUAAAAAAUAUUAUUAUCAGGAAGAUGUGUAAUGAUAUAUGGCUCGAUCUUAACACUCUUAGGGAGGUCUUUUUGAGGUUAUUUGCGAUGUCAAUGCAAAGGGACCGUUUUAAUUUAUUUGUAAGAUCAAGCAAAAUGGGGGCGCCAAGGUUGAAUUGUGUUGGGUGAAAACUCAUUUUGAAAGUCUUUUCCAAAAAUAAAAAAAUUUGAAAGAGAAAGUCUUUUCCAAAUCUUUUCUUUUUUGAGGAAAAAUAUAUUUACUAAAAAAUUUGAUAAACAAGUUAAAUGUAAAAAAAAAUGUAGAGAAAUAAGAGGGAGAGAGUUGUUUAUGCUAGUUCAAAAUUAAACGUGGUUGUUGCCUUUAAUUCUCUCACAAGUGGAAGAUUUCACAUUUGUUAACAAAUGACAUAAUUCACAUUUGUGUCUUCUUUCUUGAUUGAUUCUAAUGUGAUAUUCUCAAUAUUCUCCAGCCCAUAAACUUCAAUUGUAAUCAGGGAUGGAAAUAGGUCAAGUUGACCAUAAGUCAUUCAAAAAAUAUCUUAAACAUGCUAGGCCGAUCUAUUUAAGUAAAUAUGAAUAAUAUUAUUUAUUAUUAUAUUAUAUUUUGUACUUUGAGUUAAAAUAUAAACAAAAAUUAUUAGUAUACAUUAAUUUUUUGUAUAUAUGAAUGUAUUAUUAUAAACUAUAAUUGAAAUAUGAUACAAUAUAUAGUCGAAUUCCCUGAAACCUCAUGUUGACUAUCAAAAUAGAGUUUAAUCUAAUUGAUCUAUUAGUUCACUAGUCUAUUUAAACUUAUAUCACAUUAAGUAUUUAAAGAUGUUCAUAUAACAUAUAGACUUUUAAACAUGUUAGCAUGCCGUAUCAAACUUUCAGAAGGUCAAACUCAUGCCUAAAAAGUAGGCCUAUGACAGGCUACGUGUCAGACUUAGACUUGAAAAAAAUUUAGCAGACCAAACUUAGGCCUUGCAAAGCCUAACUCGACCUAUUUUCACCCCUAAUUGUAAUGGAGAAGUUUCUUUUAUAGUUCUCGAGAAUAAAAUCAUUGAUAAAUUGUUGUGUGCCGUAAGAGCCGUUGGAUAGAUCCAUUGUUAAUGUAGGCAAUGUUUGGAGAAAAAAAAACAUAGAUAGAUGAUAAGAUUAUAGACAAUAUUCUCUCAAAAAAAAAAAAAAAAAAAAAAAAAAAAAAAAAGAUUAUAGACAAUACUUUACAUGCUAUCACCGUAAUAUUUUGUGUGACUUAAAUACAAUUUGUAUAGUACUAUUGACUUUCCUGCUUAAACUUUGUACCACUUCAAUGCGCUUUUGAGGAAUAUUCAUUUUGGUGAUAAAUUAAUGCAAACAAUUUUGCUGCAUUAAAGAAAACUAGAUCAAGAGUUGAUCAGAUGCAAGCUUCAUUAUGUGUAAGACACCAUUGUAUUAGAUUAUGAGGUCAUUUGUAUAUCACAAUAUUUUUUGCUUCUCUUUAUGUCAAAAGAUGGAGAGCACGUUUUGUGCUAUACUUAAUGACAUAAGAUAAUAAGAAACAGGAAGUCACUGAUCUUUGGUAGAUACAAUUUGUGUUUUACUUUAUGCCCCAAUUUGUUUUUGCUUAACGAGUGCAUAUGUAAAGGCUUCCAACUAGGCUUAACCUCAUAUGGAGGGAGGGUGAUUAUUGGAGAUAUUCCCACUACGGAGGAGUGACAAAUUCAAACGACACGUUAGGUAAAUUUCACCUCCCUUUCACUUAAUUUUUUUAUUUCGUUUCAUGUAUAAAAGUUCUUCUAAUUCAGUUAAUGAAGCUUAACUGCACAAAAAAAAUGCAUUUUUAUUUUCAUGGGGGCCUAUGUUAAAAAGAGAUGGUUCAGAUAAGAGGAAUGCGUUAAUCGAUCGAGACGGUGGUGAUUGGAGAGUCGGUGGUGGUCGAUGCAAGCUACGACGACGGUGACAGGGAUCAGGAGUAAGAGAGUUUUGUUUUUUUCGACAAUUGUAAGGGAGUUUUGUUGUCGUGUUGUGUGUGUAUUUCAGAGAGAUUUUUUUUUUUUAAGAGAAUGGGUUUUUUUUAACGAAAAGGAUAUUUUACAUAUAUUUAUUGAAAUGUACAAAAAAUCAAAAUAAAACUAAUUAGUCAAAUGAUAGCUAAUUAUGUUGAUAUUCACUCCCAUUAAAUUUUCUAGCACACUCAUGGUAGAAAAUCUUAAAUUUUUUUGUUGUGUGUUCCUAUUUAAAAGUCACAACCAUCUCCUUUCAAAAACAAAAAUGUCGCAAAUUAAUAUAAUUAUUUUGCAUACUCAAAAAAUAAAAAACAACGGGUAGAAAUCUUAAUUAAUAUAAUUAGGGUCUAUUUGGUUCGAGAGUUUUAGAGGGAAAGAGAGAGGAGGAAAUAUUUUUAAUUUGAAGUGUUUGAUUCAAUUUUUAGAAAGGGAGGGGAGGGGAGAGGAGGGGAGCAAUUUUUAUUGCACCGCCAAAAUUAUACUUAGAUUAAUUUAAAAUUUAAAUAUUAUCCUUAUAACAACAUUUAUCAUUAUUAGGUUAUAUUAUCUUGAAACAACUUUUAUUCCAUAUUAUUAUCGACUUUUAUUACUACUUGUAACAAACCUAUUAUUAAUUAAUUCAUGAUUUCAUCGUCUACUUCGUGUUGUUAUCGAUUACAUCGUUAUUGUUUUGUUACUUUAUUAUUCUUAUUCAAUUAAGUUUAAGGAUAAAAUAGUAAAAUAAUUUUAAAAUUCAUCCCCUCCCCUUGUGAACCAAACACAUAUUUAAUUAAAAUAUUUCCCUCCCCUCCUCUCCGUUAAAAUCCCUCCCCUCUCCUCCUAAUUCUCGAUCCAACGUUAAAAUUCAAGGUGCAUAGGUGUGCACCUGUACAUGAGAGUGGGUCUACUCAUAUGCUUAAGGCCAACUCGGGUAAUUGUCUUGUAUAUGAAUGAUAUGUGUUAAUCAAUUAGAUUGUAUGGUUGGGUAGUUGCGUCAAAUAUAUAUCUUUUUUGUUUAGCUGUUUGGGUUUUCUCCUUUUAUAGUGUCACACAAUUAACAUAUGUAUGUAUUAGGUACAGUCCUCGACAUAGACAUGUCUCAAGAGUGUUUUAUAUCUAGCCUCAUGAAGUAACAUCUUCAUGUGCAUCAAGCCACUAAUAUUGACAUAGAGCAACAAAUUAUUGACAAUUCUUCCAUUAUUCCAUUGUUAUAAUUAAUUACAUUCCCAUUUAUAUUUUGUAGUAUUGAUAUAGUUGUUUGAAGGCCUUAUUAAUGUAUAAGGUAUUUUUUUUUAUUGUUUUUUUAAAAAGGCAACAGUAUAUAGUAUAAGGGAAUGAUAGAUAUACUGACAAACUUUAUAAAAAAAAAAUUAAGAUAGUGUAUUUGUUAACACAUUUUUCUUAUCUUUUGAAGUAAAAAAUGAGUGUGUCUCUCUUUGAGAUGUAUAUUCUCUCUAAGGUUAUGCGUCAUAUUUUGAAGAAUUAUUUGGUUGCUUAUAAAUGUGACGAAUAAAGUAUGGACAUAACACAUACUUAUGUAUUCAACCAAAAUCUAAGGUAUAUAGUGUUCAAAUCUUGUUAUUGAAAAGAGAAAUUAAUGGAUAAAUAAAAAUUUGUUUUUACCUUCAUUUUUCAAAAUCAAUGUCUCUAACACGUGAGAGGUGAAAUGAAAUCACAUAGUAUUCUCCUAUAAUUGUUUCUUCUUAUUACUAUUUACUACUACGACUAUGAUGGAAGGACAACCCAAAAAAUUGACCCAUGCACGUUCCAUUCAUAAAUGCUCAAGACAAUAAAAAUUUCUUCAAGAUAUUUCAUCUUUCUAAGACUUCUAAUUAAGCAAAACUUAAUAAUGCAAUUAGCUUCCAUGUGGGUCCCAUGGUUUGGAGCAGUUUGCUUGUCAAAUCAGUGAUUGCCCAUUAAAAACAUCUUAAGAUUUUGCUUAUCUAGCUUUUGCCAUAAUUACGCUACAGAAAAUUUACUAAACCCCACGGUAGGGAUUAUGUAUUAGAAAACGACAGAAUUAAGUCAAAAGAUACACCUUUACAAAAAGGCAAAUUCAUUUGAAUGCAAACCAUCCUUUCAUUUUUGAAUUAUUACUUUCUUCUUUUCUUUAUAUAGGAAAAGAAAUCCACUAAUCUCGUGUUAUUUUAUAUAAUCUAUAUUAUUCCAUUUGUGUUCAUACUAUUCCUUGGCUUGCAAGGACUAUAACACACUAUGGACUUUUUGAAUUGGUUUAUUUGAGUGUAUUUACUGACAUAAAUAUUUGUGAGAGUGUGUGAGAGAACUAAAGAAAACAGUUAAUUAAUGUUUACGGAUAAGUUGUUUGCAGUUUAUUUUCAUAAAAUAACUUAUUAUUUAAACAAAAACAAUUCAAUUGUUAUAAAAAAAAAACAUAUAUAAGUAAUUAUUGUGAUAAACACUUAUUUUAUAAGCAAUAUAUUAAGCAACUUAUCUAAAUAAAGCAUAUAACGCUUUGGUUAUGCGAGUAAUUAGACGGUGGUAAUUUGAAAUUCGGUUGAAAAGAAAGUAAAGACUGACAUAAAUUUGUGUAGAGUAAAUAAUCAUUAUUAGUUUUGUAAAUUGUAAAGAUCAUUAAAUUUAGUUCCUCAAAUUUGCAAAAUUAAAAUUUUAUCUUUUAAAUAGAGAAAUGUUAAGUUGUGCUUUUAAGACACAUGUUAAGAAUUCCACUAAUAAAAAUUAUGUAUUGAAAAUUGUAUUAAUUUAUUACUCAAAAUGUUUAAUAUUAAUUUUUUCAUUAAAUUCUUACCAUUAAUAAAAUAAAGUUAAUGUUUAACAUGUGCCCUUAGGGCACAAAUUAACAUGACCCUUUAAAUUAAAAAAAUAUCAAUCUAUGUAGUCAUCCGACCAAAUUUCUUCUUUAAUAAAUGUUGGUCAAAGCUAAUAAAAGGCAUGUGUUGACUUAAAUAGUGUUUUCUUGAAUCAAAACAAACAUAAAACCUUUAAAAUUGUGAUAAAGAAAUUGAUAAAAUGACUAAAUUGAUUGAUAUUUUGCAACUAAGGAAAUAAAAUGUGUUUAUUUCUUAAAUUUAAGAGAUUAAAUUAAUUGACAUUUACAAUCUCAACUACUAAAAUGAUUAAUAACUCAAAUUGUUGUCUGCAUGUUUAUAUGGAAUGAAUUUUUGAAAGAAAAGAAAAAAUGUGCAAGAGAGAGAGUACGUCCAAUUAAUGAUGAAGUAUAUGAUUGGAAAACAAAGAUAGUGAUUGAUGAAUAAGAAAAAUGAUAGAGUUAUAAUUAUCAAAUCAUGGGCUCACUCAAUACCUAAAUGGUUGGUAUCAGCUUUAUUGAGAAAUGUGUUUGAGAAGACAAAAGAAAAAGUCCAAAGUCAGAUGAAAUAAUUUUGCUAAGGCAACAAAAACAAAAGGUACCAAGUCCUCUCACUAUUUUUGUGUCACGGAUCUGACACCACCUUGUUUUUCUGCAUCAGAUUCCGUUCUUAUCUCUCAACAUUUUUCUUUCUUCCAAUUGAAUUCAGUGUUUAAGUUCAUGCAAAUUAAACCCUAAACACAUUACCACCACUGCUACUUCUUUUUUGUUCUUUUUAUAGGCUCAUUCUUUAACCUAAAUAUAAUAUAAUUUAAACCCUGCACAUAAUUAUAUUUGGUUGCUAGCAUUAUUUCUAGUAAAAUAAAUCAUUUUCCAUAAGAAACAAAACAUUUUAUUUCAUGUCAUCAUAAAUUACUAUUGAAUAGCAAGCAAUACAGCCAAAUGGCUCAAUAGUUGUGGAUCAUUAUAGAAAUGAAAAUCAAAUCAAAGUGAAAACCAAUUUUUAAUCAAUUUUUUGUUAUAAAUAGAAAUUUAAUUGAUUAAAAUCCAGAUAUCAAGGAAAAAGAAAAAGGGAAGCAAGAUCUAAAGAUAAGCCGAAAGAUAAAGUAUAGAUAUAUUAUAUACAUAUAUCUCAAACAACUCAAUCACAUGAAUUUGAACCCUUUUUUUGCAUUGUAUAGAAGUAUGAUAUAAAGCCAAAGAAAUGAAAAUAAACCAAAGAUAAAGCACAUAAAUCCACAAGUUUAUCAAAAAAACUAUAUCAUUAUUCCACUAAUUAACACAAAAGUACCAUUUCACCACCAUCUAUGAUGUGAUUAAGAAAGAAAUAGAGAUCCGUACAUACAAACAUAAAGAAAAAUAGUGUCUCUUGCUAUACAUUUCCAGCCCAAAAAAAAAAGGAAAAGAAAAUUAAUACGAUGAUGACAAUGAUGAACAAGAGUAACAAACCUCUCAUCGAGGAUAAUAGCAAUAUUAAUUGUUGAAGAAAUAAAAUAAGAAGUAUGAAGAUGACAAUUUAAGUACACACCUAUGAAGCUCCAUCUCCUUUUCAUCUUCAAUAUUAGCUAUAUAGGGUUUCAUGAGGUAUAUACCUCAUAAUUUCUUAUACUUACCGAUUCGAAAUAGGGUUUGGACCACUUGGAACUUCAUGAGCAUCAACUCCAAAUUCUUUUCCAGCUCCAUCCUUUUGUGUUUUGUGUGGGUGCAAGUUUGUCGUAGACGUCGAUGUCGAGGUUGAUUUAGAUUCAGUUGAUUUGGUAGAAGUCAUAGAAGAAGGGUUUGUAGGGUUUGUGGUUGUUGUUGGUUGGUGAGAUAGAUUGAUGAUGAGGAGAAGGAUGAAAAAAAGUGUGAGGAAGUGAAAGAAAUUGAGUGGUUUUGAGAUAGGUUGUGAGGUAUUAGGUUCAGCCAUGCAAAUAGAAAGAAAAAUCCACCCCCCAAUAGCCCACAAGGGUUCAAUAUCCAUCAACCAGCUGCACCAAGGCUAAGAAGGGAGGUGGAAGAGAAAAAAAUGGUAGAUAGGGAAAUCAAAUUUGGUUAGAGAGAGAGAGAGAGGGGAAAAAGAAGAGAAGCUUCAACAAAAGUGAUUUGAUUGGAGGUAUUGAAAUUCGAUGCACAAUUGUCCAAUAACCAAUAUUAACCUAAUAUGAAGUUUUAAUAUGAAAGGUGUUGGCCAUUCAUGGCUGAAUUUACCAAAAUAACCAUGCUAUAUACUGUAUUAUAACUAUGGCCAACCCUAAUGACUGUUUAUUUAGUGAAAAAAAUAACCCUAAUUUAUAAUGAAACGAAUUGUUUGGAAAUAUAUAGUAAUAUGAUAUAUAUGCCCAACAUUAUGGAAUUAAUGAAUUAUUUUCCUAUCACUACUAAAAAAGUACAUUAUAAAAAAGAUAUAAAAUGUGUCUCUAAUUAUUUCUUAGUUAAUUAACUACUUAAAGAGUUACAUUGUAUGACAUGUGGCAUGAACAUGUUUUUAUAAGUAGAAGACACCCCAAAUUAUUAUUUUUUAACUUGAUAUUCGGCUCAAGGACUGACUAAGUCGAAUGGGUUAGGAUUCUCUCCAUUUAUGUGUUUCUCCAUUUCUUCAAUUUGGAGAGAUAAAGACACAUAAAAUCUUGAAAAAAGUAAAAUAUAAUUAAUGAUGGUGGGACCCACUUAGUGGUAGGAUCCUCCAUCUAUUUCUUGUGUCUAUCUCUCUCCAACUUGCAAAACUCCAUUUAUUUUGCCAAAUGGAGAGGAUCUUCACCCAAUUCGAAUGGUCCAAUCACGCAAUCCACUUGCAAGGGGUCCAUUUAAAGCUAGAGCAAAACUCUAUAUGGAUUCUCCCACCAAAAUUGACACUAGGGGAAAUUAAAUUGGAGACCUUGAGAGAAGCACAUCUUGUGCCACCUGUAAUCAAGUCUCCACACUUAGGUUACAUUCAAGAUGUUCCAGUCUUGUGCAUGAGGGAUGUGUGUUAAGAGUGACACAUCAGAUGAGAUAAAACAUGAACUUGACUUUAAAACUAUAGGUCAUCCUCUUCUUACAAGUCGACUUUGUAAAAAAGAAGAUCCUAUAGAAAACUUCAAAUAGCAUCAAAGUUUAUCAAGUAUUUCUUAGGUUACCCGCUAUCAUAUAACGGUUAUGUUAGAUGAGAAAAUGUAUUUUUAAAUAGUUAUAACCUUAAAAGUUGAUUUUGUAAAAUGAAUAUAAAAAACAUUGAUGGACUUUUUCCUUUUAUCUCUAUUUUAAGUUACUCAUCUAUAUAUGCUUUUAAUAGCGUUUACAUUGCACUCUUUGAGCUUAGUGAGAAUUGAAUUGUAAUUAGCCUUAUGAAUAAAUUACAAUUUAUUCCUCAAAAACAAACAUUUUUUCAACCAUUGACUUUGACAUUUGUGAAUAAUAUUAUGACUUUACAAUGAGGUCAUAUUGCAAUAUAUAUUAGGUCACAUUUGCUUUAUGAAAACAUUGUUCGUAUUAAGCUUUUAGAAUAUAUUUAUUUUAACUUGUUGAUAAUACUAGAGACUUUUGUAAUGAGUCGUAUAGCGAUGAAUAUAAUGUAAAAUGCUAAUAACUAAUAAGAGAUAAUAAAUUUUUGGGAAUAAAAAAAAUAGUAAUUUUAUCAUUUUUCAUUGGUUCUGAAAAUGCAAUAUGUUCACUUCAAGAAUUUAUUUUCUUCUUAUUUUGACAAGUAAAACUAACACAAAAUUUUAAAAAUAAAUAAUAUUUUCCUGAUAUAAACAGAUUCUUUAUGUACAUUUUCAUAAGGGGACAAACAUAAAAUGAAAAUGAUAUAGUAAAAGAAUUUGGAAAGAUUGGCACAAGAUGGAAAAAAAGAGCAGAAGGUGGUAAAGGAAGUUUGCUUGCUUUUUCUUGCUUUGGCUGCUUGCUCAAGAAAUCUUUCUUUGACUUGUAGAACCAUAAGAAAAAGAAAAAUAUACAGAUUAUAUUCUCAAAUGCUUCUCCUUUUUCCCAUGCAACACAAGGUUUCAAAACCUUCCUUUUUGGCGCGUGUGAGUCACAAGAUAUAUAAUAUUUCACAUAGUUUAUUUUAAUAGUAUGUACCAUUAAUUCUUAUACCAUUUCCUCAAAGAAAAUAACAUAAUCUUGCUUUUCAAAUAGUCAAAAAAGAAACUUAUGUUGGUUGCCUUAUUGGUUAUUAAUUAGUAGUAUUUUUUAAACAAAAAAAUUAGAAAAGAAAAGGAAGAAAAGGAAUCUCCAGAAAGCAUAUUAGACACGCAAUAUUUGCACAAAGUCACAAACAACAAAUGGUUUGAAAACAUUGAUCAGAAAUAAAGGAGUGUUCCACGGAAUUGGAAAAGGAAUAGUAUUGUUGUGUUUAAGAUUCGAAGAACCUAGAUGUUUCCAAAACUAAAAUUAAUAUCACCCUUGUUCUUUUUGUUCUUUUCACAUGAAGAAGGAAAGGCAUUGUUUUCACAUUUCCUAAAAUACCAAAAGUAUAUGAAAAUGAGGUCUUGUUCAAAUUAGUGCACUUGAGAGAGGCGAAACAAGGAAAUGAUUCAAUUUAUGUAAGUAAUUAAAAUAAGGUGAAAUGAUAUUUGUACAAUCAUUUUCUAAUAAUUUUUUGACAACUUUCUUCCUCAUACUCACAUUAUUUUUUUAUUCUUUCUUUUCAUUUUUUUCUCUCUCUAUUAUUUUUGACCAAUCAAAAGAGAGAAAAUCAAAGUUGUCAUGAAAGUUGUACCAAAAAGUUGUACAUAUAUCACUACUCUAAAAUAACUCACACUUAAGUGCCCAUACCCGCACUUUAACCAUAAAAAGACAAUAAAAAACACCACAAUUGAAAUAAAACUGAACCAAAAAAUUUCAAAUCAACUCGUAAAAUAGUAUGAAUUGUAGUAUUUAGCCAAAUAAAAAAACAUCCAAAAUAUCCCUAGAAAGAAAGAAAAUAUAGAUACCUUACAUCAAUUAUACGUUAAAAAGUUGCAGUUGCAUGUUAAAGUCAUAAUAAAUUGUUACUUUAGGUUUAGGGUUAGGCUAAAUAGUUUAAUUAAUUAAUUAAUUGUACACCAACAAUAAAUAAAUUAUUUAUCAUAUUAUAUAAAUACAUAUAUAUGCGGGUUGCGGGGUUGGGUAGUACAGUGCUCAUACCUAAGCUCAUAGUCAUUCAUAUUUGCGGGUAAUUACCCAUACCCAAACCCGGACCUAGUAAAGAGGGAUUUUAUCCUAGAUUUCUGCUCUUCCCCCUGCACUUUUUGCUCGCGCCCAACAUGAUUUUCUUUUAUACCCCUGCGUGAGUUAAGUCACGCACCACUGGCAUGUGCGUGAGUUAACUCACGCACGUCGGCCGGUGGUCGGAGCUGAAGAACAGACGUUUUUUGGUCUUUGCUCAGUUUUUCCACAUUCAGUCUACACGUUUUUUACCCAUUAUACACGUUUUUUUUUUACCACAUUAAUUGUGUUUAUAACCUAUACUACCAUUCCCGCCUAUAAAUACCCCUCCAUACUUCCCUAUUUCCUCACACCAUAUCACUUUCCCUCCCUUCUCACUCUGUGCAUCUAUUUCUCUCUCUUUUUUUUGUCAAUAGUCUCUUUUGGGACAAAAGUGAUCAAACUUCUUCAGGGGUAAAAUAGUGAGUAGCCGACUUGGGGAAGUGAUCAACCUUUGGGAUAAGUUUAAAUCUGCUUUUUUUUACCCCAAAAACUUUUUAUCAUAGGUAAAAAGAUUCUUCUUGGGGUAUAAAAAAAACCAUAUUUAAAUUUAGCCCAUGGGUUGAUGAUGUAUUUUCCCCAAGAAGACUACUCACCAUUUUACCCCAAGAUGAUUGGUCACUUUUUACCCCAAGAAGGAGAAAAUAAGUAGAUUUAGUGAAUUCGAAUCAAUUAUUGUAUUGUAUGAAUUCUAUUAAUAAAAUAAGAUAUUGUUAUAUGCCUCAAUUUUGUUCAUUCCUUUUUAUUUUAUAUUUGCUUUUAUUUUCUAAUUUUGUAUUUAAUGAAUAAAUAUUAAUUUAGUUCAUUUUCUUUUAUUUAUAUUUAUAUUUAUUUAAUGAAUAAUAUCGAAUCAAUAUUUAUUUUAUGUUCAUAAAUAAAUUAGAAUAAAGUGAAUACGUAAAUAAAUUAAUUUUAAUAAAGUAAAUAAAUUAGAAUAAAGUGAACAAAUAAUUUAUCAAAAUAAAUAAAUUAGAAUAAAGUGAACAAAUAAAUUAGGAAAUAAAUAAAUUAGAAUAAACUGAAAAAAUAAAUUAGAAUAAAGCAAAUAAAAUAAAUUAGAAUAAAGUAAAUAAAAUAAUUUGAAUAUAGUAAAUAAAUUUAAAAAAGUAAGUUAAGUCACUAUGCAUGACUUAUGUCACGCAACGUAACUUAACUGCCGCAAUUUUUAACCAUUGCGUUUGUUAACUAAUGCAUGGGUAGUUUGUGUAUUUCAGUUGAGUGCGAGUGAAACUUGCAGGGGGAGGAGCUGAAAUCUUUAUCCUAUCCAUAGCGGGUAUUUUUUGCGGGUGCCUAUUGAAUUUGAGUCCAAUUGCCAUCCCUACUACAUGUAAUACACAUAGAGCUUAAAAGUUUGUACAAAAGAAUUAAAACAAAAACGAUUUUUUCGACCAUAAAUUAAGAUUUUUUUUUUUUUGGUUACAAUUGUGAAUAAAUAUGGGUAAAAAUGUGUACGAAGAAAGCUUAACAGUAUAUAUGAUGAAUGUAGAACGAAAAAAAAAUGACUUUUUUUAAAGGUUAUUCAAACAUAUUAUUAAAUGAAUAAUUACAAUACCUUAGUUUUGAUUAAUUUUGACUUUUCUAAUAAAAUAGAAAAAAUAAUUUAUGAUUUUUGGUGUGAAGGGGGAAAAACAUGAUUGGGUUGCUGGGGAAGAAGAAAAACAUGAGGGGAAGAGUAAAUGAAUUUUUGGGUGUAAAUGAAUUUAUUGGUGAAGAGUAAACUAGAUUGUGGACAGUUUUUUAGGACAUUUGUGAUAAGGAUAUAUCCAUCACGAAGGUCCUUGAAAAUAUUCUGCACAAAAGACAGAAUAGUCAAGAUGAUGUGAUAUUUGGCAUGGUCACAUGCUUGACGAUGACAGGGUCAUACCUAGAUUUAAUCCCUCGCAAAUUUAUCCACAAAAGACAUAAUAGUCACAUUUUUCUGCAAACAUAUCUCGUCAAUCUAAGAUAGCAGAAUUUGGAGAUAAAACUCUCACUUUACCCUCACAAAUUUCUGGGGUUUUGAAUUUAAAAAUAUUAUGUUUCCCUCCUUAAAUAUUGUGAUGGACUUCGACAGGGGUUGCUCCUGACAUAUGCAAUCUUUUUAGAAAGGAUUUUUACGAGGGUUUGCCAUGACCUUGCUACUGGUAAAUUUGUGAGGGUUUUUUUCCCUAGAAAUAUCCUGACAAAUCAACAGUUCUUCUUAUAGUGCUAAGGCGGGGAAUGCAGACGGAAAUGGGAAGCACUUUGUCUGACUGAGACAAAGAGCAGGCGAGUACUUCUCACUCUUUGGCCCGUUGACAUUCUUAUACAUUUUAUUUGAUGGUUUUAAAUAUUUUUAAAUUAUUUGUUGCGAUUAAUCUAAUGAUAUCAUAAAAAAUUAUUGAUUUUAGUCAUUUAAUAACUUUUUGCUUUUAGUUUAUGCAUUGGUCUUCGAUCGAUGAUUUUAUUGAUAAAUUAUUCAAUAUAUUGUAUUAUAUGUUAGAGAGAGGAUCUAUCGACAUCGAGUCAAACUUUAGUUUGUCAUCUUUUAAGAAAAAAAAUUAGUUUAACACCAAAUUUCAACCGUUUAUUUAAUUUAAUCAAAGAUUCAUAUUUAUUCACUUGAAAUCUCACAUAAUCAUUACUUUCCGCAUUUUCUCUAAUCUUUGUUAUCUCUCUAGUUUUUCGUAUCAUUAUUAUGAUGAUUGCUCAGAUUUCUCCAUCUGAACCAUUAGACUCUUAUUCCAAAUGAAAAUUACAGCUUUUUUUUUUUUUUUGAACAAUCAAAAAUGGAACAGCUUCUUCUUCAUUUCAAUUUAUUUUACAAGUUCAAAUACUAAGAGAGAAUUGUGAUUUAUUAGACUAAAAUCUAUUUCAAAAUUAUAAUUGAUCAACAAGCUAGAUUAUUUAAGAAACUCAAUUGCAAAACCUAAAAUUUCACAAAUAAAAUGAAACUCAUCAAAAAUACAUUUUUGGAAUCUUGAAUUUACUACUUUCUUCUCCAAUUGCUAUAGUUUUCAUAAAUCUUGCAUAAAUUGUCUUCAUGGCCUGGAAUCCAUGUGGAACUAACCAUGAGGGGAUAGAGACACAUACAAUUAUUGUUAAUGGUUUACCAACUAAUGUUUUCAAUUCAUUAUAAGCAAUAAUAUCUUGGAAGUAUUUUAAUUAUUCAGUUAUGGAGCAUUUUAAUUUUGAAAACAAUAGAAUAAGGAGGGUCAUGAUCCGAUCAUGUUUUCAAUUUGGGUUUUGUAAUCAUUGAAAACAAUAAUGGUGUGUGAUUGAAAGAAAGGAUACACCGUAAAUAAAAAUGUGGCACUAUAAUUAGCAUUGAUAAAAUAAAAUGUUGAAAUUUGGUGUCAAUGAAUCUGUUGACAUCUGGUGUCAACGGAUCUGACUCUAUAUUAUAUUUUUCUGAGAUUGAUAAAUGGAUUUUAUGUUUUCUUUAAUAGAUUUUUGAUUAAUUAUAAGCGUUGCAUGUAAGGACUAGGGAAUACAUUACAGUAUGAGUUAAAUAGGUGAGUAUCAAAUGCAACAUUGAAGCAUAAUUUGUUUGCCUGCCAAAGCUAAAUUUACAAAUCAAAACACGUUUAUUUUCAAAGGAAUACAAGUUUGAAUGCAAUGUGACCAAAUGAUGUCUGAAACCAUGCUUUGAAAGAUCGCCACACCAUCAUUAUUGAAGAAAAAUGAAGAAAAUUCCUUAAUGAAAAUGCAAUAUGAUGGUAAAAUUGUUGACAUGUCACCAAUAGGAGCAAUUGAAGCACUUGAAACAAAAUCCGCAUUUAAGUGAAGAAUAUGUAGAUAAUAUGAUGAGCCAUGCUUUACACGAUGAUAAUAGUCUAACAAAGGUUGUUAAAAUUGGAAUUUUACUUCAGAUCAAAAGGGAAUAGCAAAAUCGUAAAAUCUCAAUCAAAAUUGAAGGAUUUUAUUCAACUACUUUUGUAGAAUCUAUAUAGGAUGGUAAACAAAAUCAAUGGAUUCUACCAAAACAAAAGUAAUGCUAAAUAUAUGUUAUAAAUGGUAUAUAAUCGUAAAUGACUCGUUUAAAGUCUACAAAAUACUUAUACAUAAAUGACUCAAAAACUGGACAAAAUUCUUCAAAAUCCUUUAAAAUUCUGCGAUUUUGUAUGAAUUUCACGGUUUUGUGCAAUUUUUAAGCGAUUUUACUACGAUUUUUCUUGUUUUAGGAUUUUGCUAUGGAUUUGAGUCGUUGUAAGUGAGUAAAGUCGCAAAACCCUGAAUUUUAAGAUUUAAGUCAGAAUUUCGACAACAAUGAAUCCAACACCACGUUUAUCGACAUCAACCCACACUCCUGCUCAUCAAAAGGUAUAAAUUCAUUGCACCAACAUUAGGUAAAAGCUGGCUUUUUGUAAUGUUUCCUGAAAGUAGGUAACCUAGUCAACAUUGUUCUUUUGUUUAUUUGGGUUGGAUUGCAUAUUUAUUUAUUUUUUUGGAUAAAAAGUGGACUGCAUAUUAGGUAUAAAUUUUGGUUGUAUUGCAUAUUAAACCAGUUGUUUAGAUUUUAUGUAUUACGAUUGUGUAUGGUUCAGAUUUCUGUAUGUGUUUUUAUUUUACGAUGAUGUUUCCUGGAUUUACUUCAUACACUGAAUCUUUACGGUGCUAACAUAUAGAACUGAAUCUUUAGUGGUAGUGUCUUGAUAUUUCUUAUGUUCACAUGAAGGAAAGGUUACAUGUGAAAGAAAGAUAAUAACAACUUUAUCAAAUUAAAAUUAUGAAAUGUUGGUCUAUUCAUCAUUACUAUAGAUAAAAUGAAAAUAAUUAGCUUAGGAGUAUUUCAACCUCUAACUCUCUAAGAUAGCCACGCUUGAUCAACCAAUACGAUGAGCCGAUCAAUCCGAGGGCAUUCUUAAUCUUUGCAUGAGCACCCGAAAACCCUAGGGUCUCCUUCAAUCUUGAGUAUUAAACAUUUUAUUCUCCUUUGAUUUUGGACGAGCUGUCAAAUAAUCUUGAGAUGUUCAACGAAGAAAAACGCUCAAUUCCCUAAAGAAAGUGAAAGGUCGCAAUGUUUCCUUAGGUUUUCAAUUUCCAAAAUUGAAAAGCCUAGAAUAUCACAAUCUGACAUAAAAAAAAAUCUCUAUUUAAGUAACUCACAAUUUCUCAACUUCACAAUUAAUAUCUAAGUUUUGAAAGAGUAGGAAGAAGAGGGUUUGAGAUAAGAGAUUGUCAAGUGACACGAUUCACUAAAGUUCCGUAUAUGAGUGGAACGAUUAAUACACAAAUGAAGCGAUUCACUUUAAAAACCAACAAAUUAUUUUCUUCAAAAAUGAGUGAAACGAUUCACUCAUAGAAGUGAAACGAUUCACAAGUUUUCACAAACUAUGUGAAACGAUUCACAAGUUUAAAAUAUACAAUUUUCACAAACCAAAACAAGUAAACGAAUGCUAGGUUUUAACCUGGCAACCAAGACAUGAUUGUGAAGAUAAAAUCAUAAAAGCUAACUAAAUACACAAAUUCUUUUUAGAAAUCUUUGCAUCUAAUCAAAACCAUCAUUAAAUCUAAUUACAUAAAAUCAAACCAAUGGUCAAAUGCACUGUAACAGUUUCUUCCUUCUCUUCUGCCACUUUGACAUUGAUAUAAUAAACUAAGUCAAUGACCCACAACUUAAACCCCACAAAAAUAUAAUGUGCAAACGCUUAAAAGGAGAGUGGGAAUGGAAGUACUAUUAUAGUUUUGCUUUUUGGAAAUAAAUUAGAAUAGGUAAAGGCACACAAAAAUAAAGCAUAAUAAAAUCUAUGAAAUAUAUUAGCAAUUGCCCUCACACGUUAAGUGAAAGAAGCCAAAGAAGGCAGACACAUAUAUGUCUCCCAUGAAGGGUGUGAUAUGGUCCCUACAACCUAUCCUUGUUACAGAGAUAUGGAGAGUGAUAGUACCUUAAGGUUUGUUUAGGAAUUUCAUCAUUCAACCACCACUUUACGUUUAUUGCUUUAAUGUGUUUGUUGUUGCUCUUAAGCUUUAGGCCUUUUCCCACAAAAUUUAUUUCAAUUGAGGUGGAGAAAGAUGAGAAAUGGAACAUAGAAGGAAAAAGUGGAAAAUAUAUGUCUGCGACCAUUUUCUUUUGGACGAAAGAAUCUUUUUUUAAUAAGCCAAAAAAUCUAUUAAGAAAAUUAUUCUAGCACAAUACGUGCCCAAAAUACAGCAUGAAAACAAAUGUAACAUUACAAGAAUCAAGAAAAACUACCUAAACACAAAAAUUAUCUAAUGUUUCUGUUCCACCCUCAAGUAUGUCACACCGUGUUUUGAGGUAUUGUCUGCUUUGGAUCGCUCAAGAAGUCUUCGCAAUUUUGUCAUUUAUAGAAGAUGUUUCGAUGGUUGAAAAGUGUGGGUGUUGUAUAUAAAUUGUCUUAAGCCUUGAUUCUCAGGCAAUAUAAGACUAUAUAGUGUACGAAACAGUUUCCCCGUAGUCGAAGUUAAGGGAGAGUUUGUAGGCUCACUCUCGAAUAAAUGACGUACUUGGUGGUGAAACAAAACACCAAGAAACCGUGUACUAACUUAAUUAGUGGGUCAAUGAUUUUGUGACAUUGUUGCUCUUUGUUACCAAAUAGCCCAUUAUUUCAAUUCCUUCCAAAAAAACUCAAGCACAAAUUCACCAAAUAGCUUGAAAACAAUCACGUGACUCCUUACUAGAGAAAUGAAGGCCACAAAACUGGUACACACGUUUUUGUAAGCCCCCCCUAUAAUUUGGGUAUAAAGUCAAAAGGGUGGAAGCACAAAACUUUGUAUUAGUUGUAGAUUGGUUACCCACUUUAAAGGGUGAUGUCUUACUCUAUUAAUGUGUUAAUGCAUCUUUUUCUCUCAAAUCACGUACACUUAUUUGUCAAAAAUAAAAAAAGUAAGUGAAUUGAGUUUACAAUUCACCUUAUUUGUAGAGUUUUCCUUAUUUAGAGGUGAAAUAUAUUAAUGGGGAGCGACUGUGAUCCACGGUCUUAUGAUUCUAUUUUGGUUUACGAGGUGAACCAAAACUCACUCAAAUGAUAUGGAUGAUUAACUUUAAUUUUUUUAAGAAAAACUAAAAAUAAACUAAAAUAACACUAACCAUCUUUUUGUGCAUGACUCUUGAAAUGAUCAAUUUUAGAAGUUUGUUGAAUACUUGAGAACAUUUGAAGCUUAAUGUAAAGAGUAGUUGAUUAGACAUCAAAAAUCUCAAUUUUUUGAUGGGGUUGUUGAGAUGAAUAAUAGAACAUUGAUUGAAAGAGUUAAAUAGUCAAAUGUUUGUUGUGUAGGCAGACCUUUGAGAGCCGUUUUGGGGUGAGACAUUGAGCACAAUUGUGCAUGUUAUCUUUCACCAUGUGUAUCCUUGCAAUAUCAAGUUUGGUAAGAAUUUUUCGAAUGAUCACUUAUGUGUUUUUUCAGAUUUGAAGAAUUUGUAAAGAGUCAGCGGUGUUUUAUGAGUUAUCGCCUAAAUGGAGCUCGAUAUAGGUUUGAUAAUCUUGACACAAAUAAGCUUAUUAGAUGUUUUGAUGAUGAGUUCUUAGAAGACCUAUAAUUAAAAGACAUGCAUUGAUCUGUCCAGUGAGGAUGGAUGAGAGGCAAUGUUGGCAGAAUAUGCUCUGGAACGGGGAAGAUGAGUCUUCGCGGUGGAACGAAAGUGUCUGCAGGCACGUUAGCACUCCAACGCUCAAGUCAGUAAUGGAGCUAAGAAAGUGUGUGUAGAAAGUGUUGUGAAAAGUGAAUCAUACACUUUGAGGGUGACUUUGAGGGUGAAGCAAAGUCACCCUUACAUAGGCGCUCGUGAAGAUAACUGUUUCCAAGUUUUGCAGCGUGUGAUGUGAUUAGGGAGCGGUUGGAGGACACGUGAAGGGUGAUCCUAACGCGGAGGCGUGCUUGAAUGCGGUGCAAUAAAGCUGGCGUAUUCCAUCAGACACGGAACCUUAAGGCGGUGCAAGUAUGAGCCACGUGUCAACAUGGGAUUCGUCUAUUGAUCGAUCAGAACAAUCAAAAAUUAAACUUGUUACAUAAAGAAAAACCACCUGCGUAAGAAAACACAUCUAGGUGGAAAUCAUAAAUUGAAAUAUAUGUUAUAUGAAUAUGCCCUUUGGCCAUUCAACAAGUCAAAGGUAUAGCAAACUUCGACAUGCCAGGGAUCAACAUUCUUUUUCAAAGGAUGAUUUUGGAAGCUUCAGAGUGUAAAAAAACAUUGAUUGAUUUGGUCCAUUUCAGAAUUCCAUAAAAUUUCAGUCUACUUUUCUCAAUUCCAAUUUGGUCAAUAUUUUACCUUUUAAAGCAUAAGGCAUUGUUUUUUUAACCUUCGCAAAUAGACAAAUUGUCCCUAACAAUAGGCACAAACAGACACCAAGCAACCAUAUAUGUUUUUUCAUACACAUAUACAUUUUCUUUUAAAAUACUAUUUAUACAUAUACAUAUUUCUAUGUUUUCAUUGUGUAAAAAAAAGUUAAUUAUGAAUUUAAUCAGAUCAUACUAAAUAAAUAUUUGUUACGAUAUUUUAAUAACUUACUUUUUUUUUUUUUUUUGAAUAAAUAACUUACUUAAAAAGUGAGAUCAUUGGAUGCAUGUAUAAAUAAGUUUUAUUCUGACGACAUAUAUAAUAUAGGAUCUACAUUUAACAAUAUAUAAAGCUUAACUCGUGCGUAGAUAGUUUAUUCUAAUAUUUUGUGACUUUAAAGUUUUAAUCAUAUGACCUAUUUUGGUCUAUUUGAUGAUGUUGAUUUGAGAUUUUAGUAUUUGCUAAUCUUAAGGUCUCAAAUUCGAUUUUCCUUUAUAUUAAUUUCGAUAGGAUUAUUUAGCUUCUUAAAAAAGUUUUAAUCAUAUGACCAAAGAAUUUUGUGCAAUGGAAUGGAAAUUCUAUAUUUAUUUUGUACUCUUUGUGUUUUAUGAAAUGCUUCAGAGAAUGAUUAAUUGAAAUUUUCAAUUGGUUGUUGUAUUGAUAUGGCUGACGACGUUGGUAGGCUGAGACUCGGCAAGCCAGCCCAACACAGGUCUGUAUAUAGAUUAUGUGUUGCAACUAAUCCUCAUCCUAAAACAGGUCCGAAGUAGGCAGACUCAGAAUGACGAUGAAUCUAACUUCUCACAAGUUGUCAACCUUACAGUACUACAGGCGCAUUAGCAGCUGUACGAGCAACAGUGUGAGAAGUCGUAUGAGCAGUAUAAUGAGUUGCCAUAGAAGCCAACACCACCACCACCACGAGGAGAUCCUACGACAUGGUGGCGUGAGUCCUUGUUGUCUUUAUUGCCUAAUUUCGCUUGUCACAUUGCAACCAAGAUGCGAGUGGGAGAAGUAAGAACAUCAAUUUUGACCAUAGAAGUAAGAACAUCAUAUAGUUCAAAAGAAUCACAGCUAAAAUCAAGCUAAAACACCCUAAGAAUUUCCAUAUGUCGAAAAUCAAGCUAAAAUCUUAUUAUGCAACUUUAAUGUUUGCAGAAAGUUUUUCAACCAUCAAUAUGAUCUCACUACAAACCUUAAACAAAUCCUAAUCAAUGCUCAUGCCUUAAUCAAACCCUGGUGUAAUCUUAAUUCUACCAACACAUUCUUCACUUACAUUUUCCAUAAGUCAAAAUUAAUUCUUCUAUUAAUUUUUCUUUUUUAAAUAAACUUCAUAGAGGAACUUGAGAUUGUUGUUGUGUCCAUAUCAUAAACGUGCAUCAAAGAGUUUUCCCCGAAAUAGUGGUGAUAUUACAUUUUACCCUUUGGUAGUGGUGGAUAAAAGGCAAAGAAAAUGCUCUUUGUCCCUUAUAUUUUACAAUAUUAUUUUAUUCUCUUUCAACUUUUGAUGAACAUUUCCCUCUAACCACUUGGGAUAUAUAUAUCAAAUGAUGAACAAGUAAGCACGUCAAAUAAAGAAACCGAAAAUUACAUAUGAAAUUAUUGUUAUUUUUGACAGAAAGUAUAAAACCAUUUAUCACGUGACAAAUUAUCAAACAAAAGCAGUUAUAUUUAUUAAGAAAAUUUCUUGGUAGCUAAAUUCUUUUUAAAAUGGAUUUUUUUAAUCCAUUUUAAAAUUCUUUAUUUAUCUCUCUUUAUGUAUCUGUAAUAAGUAUAUAUAGUUCCGAAAUCACUUAUGUACAAUUUCGGUUUUUCUUUUAAAUUCUUUUGUGAAAGGUUUUUCUUUUAAAUUAAUAUAAUAGUAAAUAUAAUAAAGUAUAAAAAGGUUUUAUAUAUAACCAAAUAAGGAAAAGAAGGAAGAUCUACUUUCAAAAUUCUUAUGUCGUUUGUUUCUACGGCACAUUUGAUUUCAUUGCCAAACUAUAGUGCCAUCAGAUACAACCAUGCAAUAAAGAUAGUAAUUCUUGUGGUCCAUAAAAAUCACAAUAAUUUCUCCGACAUAAGAUGUUGAUGUUGCAUUGGAAAAUAAUGGGGGAUGAAAAGCGUUACUAAUGAUGAUGAGACCCAAAAAGAUAAACAUUUCAUUAACAUCAAAUUAUUGGUUGGUAUCUUCGUUAUUUGUUUUGGUUCGGAAGUUUGGAUAGUGAUGCUUUAUCAACCCCUUAAUCAUGCCUCUCAUAUAAAACAUUCAACAGUUUUUAUUACAAAUAAAAUAAUAAUAAUCAUCAAUUACGUGCACUAUUAAAUAAUAAAAGUUCCCCUAAAAAAAUAUUACAUAAUAAAGGUGAAAUGGUUUAUAAUUAAACCUUUUUUUUUUUUUUUAUAAUUUAACAGCAAAAGUUUAAACACUGGAAGUCUUUUUUAUAAAUGAAGAUUGGAACCUUAAGUUACGGAUUAAUUUGGUGUAAAUUAUUUUGCAUAAUUAUUUGUGGGAAGUGUUUACUAAACAAAUAUUACAGCACAUCAUCAUGAUGAAAUAUGAAUAUAUUUUUUUGGUAAAACAUGAAAUAUGAAUAUUAGAUGGCGGUCUUAAAAAAAUUUAUAGGAUCGGUGCAAAGCUAUUAAACUUUAAUGUUAUAUAGAACAUUUGAAACAGUUUAAAUUUUUACUCAUUUCAAAUACCAUCAUAGUCAAGAUUUACCCCUCUCAAGUUUUAUAUAUUAGUAGAAUGUUAAGAGUGUCUUAGGGGUAUUGGUUAAACAAUCAAAAUUGAUAGGUCUUUAUAAAAAGGUAGUAGACAGUAGUGUAAUUAUUACUUCAUCAAAAAUAAAAACUUGCAUUUUCAAGUCAAAAUUUCUAUUUAAAGAUUUCUUUUUUUGGUGGUGGUCAGAGUUUAAACCUCAAACCUUAUAUAUAUUAUGCAUUAUCCAUACCAACUGAGUUAAGCUCACGAGAGCUAUUUAAAUAUUUCUUAGUUAGUGCACUAGUUAACAAAAUCCUAUAUAUUAAGUGUACAAAUAGUAUUUACCGAUUAUUUGUGAGUUGUGACACUGAAUCAAGUCCAUUUGUUUAAAUUUGGCAUAAAGAUGUUUUGUUCUCUCAAAAUACAACAAUUCAUUUGGUGCCCUAUUUGUUAUUUAAAAUUAGUUUUUUAAUUUAAAAAAAUGCAAUGUAGUCCAUUAAUUUUUUUUUUUUUUGAGGGAAUGUAGUCCAUUAAUUUGUUCUUUAUUUCAUAUUUAUCUUUUAAUGCACGGAUACGUGACAUACUAUAUGGAAACUUUAUCCUAAUUGUUUGACAAAGGACAUUACAUUGUUGAAACUUAGCAUUUCCCUAAACAUAUAUAUAUAUAUAUAUAUAUAUAUGAGUCAGGAUCCAUUAAUACCAAAUAUCAACGGAUUCGUUAACAUCAAAUCUCAACCGUACAUUAUAUUUAAUCAUUUGAUGAUAUAUUACGGAUCCUGUCUCUAAUAACAUAUCUUUAUUUUUUUUUAAUUUGUCUUUUAGGGGAACAUAUCUUGCUUGUUAAUUGUUGGAUGCUCUAGCUUUGAUUAACUUAGGAGCACAUUCAACAAGAUACACAAAUCGGUGUUUGUGUUGACUACAUAUUACAUCUUGCUUAAGUGACAAUGCCAACAAUCUUCUCCCAAAUGUGUCUUCUUUUUGAAAAUUUCAAAUGUAGUAGAAGGACCUACAUUUGAAAACUUCAUCUCCCACGAGUUCAGAUUUAACUUCCUUACGAGAUCCCAUAUGGUAUUAGUAGUAACCAUAUGGGAUCUCAUUUUCAGCCCUUUAUUUACUAUAAAAUCUCCCUCGUUCCUAAAAGUGUUUGGAAACGGCAUAAGUUGUUCAGAAGUGUACUUUCCAACAAUACAAAAUUACUACUAUUUUUUUAUAUGUGUACACAGUACACCUUAACUUAUGUUGGUAUGGAGAAAGUUUUACCCUAUAUUUACUUGAGUUAUGAAGGAAUUCGCUAGAUUAGUUGCAAACUGUGAAUUUAAAUCUCUUACAUGCUCAAUGAAUUCCACGUAAAAGGAGUGUUAGCAACAAACUCUCUAACACACAUUUCAACACAACUUCUAUUGAUUGAUAUUCUUAUAGAUCCAUAUAACUUGAUGAAAGGCAAAUAAAUUUCAACCAAUAGAAAAGUAUGUUGGAUUGUAUAUAGUUUGGACCCACUAUUAUUGAGAUUUGAGACUCUAAAAAUUUACGAAAUAAAAUUUUGUAUUUUUUAUUUUGCAAUUGAAUUAGUAACACAUACACUAGCGAGACUCGACAUAACAUGUCAUCACAACCAAAUCCACUUUUUAUCAGUGAGACUGAAAAUUUAUGAAAUAAAAAACUGUAUUCGAAAGUGAGAAAAAAUUACUACAUAUUGCAAUUUGAAGAUGUUGCUCUUUGCAAUUUUACUCAAGUGUUGAAUGAAUCCAAAUCAAGUAAUACUAAUUUCGAAGCUAAAAUUGGCUUGAUCUCAAUAUCAAUAUGGAUGUGCUUUUCAUGUAUGACAAUUGCUUUUCUGACUUCAAUACUUCCUAAAAACACAAGUAAAAUACUAAAAUACCCCCAGCGGUAGUUAACUGCCGCUGGGUUGUUUGGUCAUUUACUUGUGUUUCUAAGAUACAUUGAAUGUCAGAACAGCAAUUGUUUUCAUGUAUAUGUAAUAAACAGUGAAAAGCCUCAAACGACCAACUGAAAGCAAUGCUAUAUUUCGAAUUUGAUUUAAUCUAAACUAGAAUUGUGACAUAAAUGAGGGGGGAAACAACUGUACUGCAAAAAACUGUACUAAGCUCACUUCCAUUUGAGGGACUGCCUAAUGCCUGUAUAAAUGAGUCCUAAAGACCUGCCAAUCAAGCUAACCAAAAAGAAUGAGAUAGCUUCACUUGCUUUAUUAAUAACUGUUCUAACAAUCGGCAUGGUGAUGUCAGAUAGCUCAAGAAGAAGGCUGAAGUAAUACCUCCUGCAAUACAUUAGCACUAACAGCAAUUAGAUUUAUCGAGGGAAAAACUCUUCAAAAGUUGGUUUGCCUUUAAAGUGAGCGAGUAAAGGUGCAUGGAGAUCUAAUGCUUAAACCACUGUAAUAAAAGUGAAUAAUUUUUUGUUGCUGAAAAAUAGCUCUCUUCCACUAAUAGAAGAUUAGAUCAAAUAUUAGUAAAGCAUAUUUUCAUAGAAGAUUGCAUCAAGAACAGGAUGGAAAAGUAAGGAACUCUAGAAAAAAUAGACAAGCAAUGACCAAAUGAACAAAACAUAAAAUGCAGGGACCAGACUUAAUUAUGCCUAAAUAGAUAGGGCAAAGAGAACAUACCAUCCUGUAAGGGCUCUUAAUUCCUUUGUCCGUUUUAUGGGCAUUGAGAAAUGGUUUAUCGCAAUACAAUAUAACUCAUGUGACAUGGUUUUUGAACGUUGCUGGGUAAGAUUCUUCCACCAACUUUGUUUGUCAGUCUGACUGCUGUCCGGUAAAUCAAUGGGUUGGCUCUCAAGUGUACACAAGUCAAAGCGAUCCUCAUACAUUGACACAACUGUGUCCAUGUUGUGGUACAACCACUGGUUCAAAGCCACCUGAAAGGAAAGUAUAGAUGAAAGUCUCGGCAAAAUUUUAUCCAAAUUUUAAAUAGUGGAAAAAAAAUUUAACAAUGUACAUCUGAUUAAGUGUAUAUAAAAAAUAAAAAUAAUAAUAAUUUGCAUUUGACCGUCUCCUUUCCUGGGGUGCCAAAAUAGAACCCAAAAUACUCUCAAUUUACCUGACACAGAAUUUAAAGACAAGGUUGGAAUAAUUGAGAUAUUCUAUUUCUCCUUUAUUGUAACUGGAAACUGAUUAUGUACAGUUUUUAUUCUCUUGUAUCUCAUUAAUUACAAUACCUUCACUAGCCUAUAAGAAAGUUGGUGCCGGAGCUCCCCGUCUUGGAAGACUCUGCGUCUGCUCCAAAAACACUUGCCACUUUCAUUGCAGAAAAACCCCAAUUACCUUUGUUGUGGAGAAAGAAACUUAGCGGACUUCACUGUGAAACAGCGGACCCUUUUUCACUUCCUUCAUUGCAGCUAUUGGCACCUUAAGGGUGCCCUUAGCAAUGCAGAACAUUGUGGGUCGCAUCGCCUUCCACCAUCAAUUUGAUCAGAGACCCACCAAACGAAGCACAUCCUUAACACCGAUCAACCCCAGCGGGGCUAAAUAAAGAUGGUACUUCCACGUGUUGCCAUAUAGGACUCGUGCACUUAGAAAGCCCUAACUCCUCAAGACAAAGUUUCUAUUCCGUGCAACUCUCCAAGAAAGAUUGUGAAUUUUCACCAAGUCUGAAGAAAAACCAGCUUCCCUCAGUCUCUCUGUCCCAAUCUCAUUGUGUUGUUGCAUGGCUAAAACUACCUUGGUGGGUGAAACUACCUAUAGUUGACCGGUUCAUACCACUCUUGAAGGGCAUAAGAAACUCAACCACGUCAAAGGUCUGCUUCAGCCAAAAAAAGUGUUCAUUUCUUGUUAUUGGACAAGUUUAGAGUCUAUUCCUUAAUGGUGUCUCGAAUAUGGCUUCGUCAUAGGUGUCUUGGUCAUCUUUUACUCAGUAUUCUUGAGCCUUUGUUUCCUCAUUUGUUCACAAAAGAAUUAAUUGAGUAUUUCCAUUGUGAUGUUUUUCAAUUAGCAAAACACCAUCCUGAAUCUUUUUUUCCCAGUAAAGAUAAAGGUAUUGACUCUAAUUCAAAUAUAUGGUGCUAAGUGGUUUCUAGCCUUUAUUCAUAAUUCUACUAGUAUCACAUGACUUUUUCUCAAAAAACAUGAAAUAUGGUUUCAAUUCGUAAAAUCUAUUGAAAGGCUAUGUUCUAAUAAAGGCAAAGUGUACGUAGAUCAAAAUCUUUCCCAAUAUCUCGAAGAAAAUGGUGUUAGUCAAGAACUAAAGUGUGUUAAUUCCCCACAACAAAAUGGGGUUUCAGAGUUCUUAUCUUCCAAAUAUUUGUUCCAAAAUUCUGAUCCUAUUUCCUAUGACCCACCAAUUACCUUAUAAAAGCAAAAUGUAAACGUGCCCAAUUAUUCUAAAUCUCAAUUGUGUCAACUAAACAGCUUCCAUGUGGCACCAAUAUUUUAUUACAGCCAUUAAUUAGUUGGAAUCCCUAAAUCAAUACGAGUAGCAUCAAUGGACGAAAAUUGGGUUUGAGUCGGGAAUAAGAGAUAAAUGUAUUGGAAAGAAAUAAGACCUGGGAGAAUGUUGAUAAGUUGAAAUACAAGAUAAUCGUUGGUUGCGAGUGGAUAUAUAGAGUGAAAUAUCGAUUUGAUGGUACCUGAAUCAAUUAUAAGGCAAGGCCAAUUGCAAAGAAAUAUACCCAGACAAUCAGACGUAUGUGUUCGACAAUGAGGAGGCAUUUGCCUCAUUUGCAAACAUAAAUGCUGUCAAAAUUGUUUUAUCCUUGGCAUCUCACUUUUGGUGGGAGUAAACAAUUACAUGUUAAAAAUGCAUUCUUGCAUAGAGACCUCGAGGAGGUGCAUGGAGAUUCCAACAGGACACCAAUGGAGAGAACAAGGUAUGCUGAUUGAGGAUGGCCUUUUAUGGGCUUAAAUAAUGAAUUUUUUAAAAUUAGAUGUCAAGAAUGGAUUUUUUAGAGUUAAUAAUUAUAUUUUGUAGAGAAGAAUGUCACUUUGAAGAACCGCCAUAGAAAUGUUCACUAAAAAGAAUCACAUUCAGUUCUCACAGCUCCAAGACAGAGUAAAAAAGACCAAUAUGUGUAAACAACAUAAUCAAAAUCCAUAAGCAUGAAAUUUGUACCUCAUUACGUAAUUUUUGGAGUUCUCUGGUGGACAAAGCACAGAAUGACACCUCCAAGCUAUUUGUUUUACUUGACACAUCACUAUCAACAGAAAUAAACUCCAGAUAGAGGCUUGCAACCCCAUCUGCCAGAGCCAUAACUAAAUCUUCUAAAAUGGAAACACCAUGGGUAGCAAAUAUACGGGAAUCAUAACAGCAAUCAUCCCUGACAAAAUAAUGAUGACUGGUGAGUGUCCUAAAUCAAAAGACUGUAUUGAAAAAUGAAUUUAUAAGUUAUAGUAGAUCAAAAGAAAAAUAUGAGAUGGCAUUUUGACUCAAUAAUAGGCUAAAAACAAAUAAAAGGGCUAACUACUCCAAUGUAGACAGAUAUUAUUAAUCCAAGACGUGUUUGCCUUUGUAAGCUAGGCAACAACGUGACUGUAAACCCAUGCUUUCAGAAACUAUGGAGCGGUUCAUAUAUGGGAUAUUCCUGCUAAUAAAUAGCACUCUUCCUUAUUUUUUGGCCAACAAAACAUAUUUUCAGUACAAGGAAAGAUAACAAAAGUCUUUUUAUUUUGGUUAUGUUUCCAACGAGAAAAAAUGGAAAGGUUUAAGACAUAUCCCUCAUGACAAAAGGAAUGGUUUGCUUGUCAGAAAACUAACCUACAAGUUUUGCGCCCACUAGUAACUCAACAAAACGAGCUACUGUUUUACUUUUGUUUAAAAGCAUUCAGCCGUAGACCAAAUACCCGAGAAAAGAUGCGUAGAAUUUAAAGAUAAUGAAAAAAUAUCUAAAUACCAAAGGACAGUCAGUAUGAAUGUUACACAAGUAUUCUCACAUUGUUUGAAAUAUUCAUGCUUAGUUAAAUAACGUUACAUUAAAUGGAACCAGAAAAAGUAAAAAUAAAAAGUGUAAGUGAAAAAAAUUACCUGACCAAACCAUAAGUAAGAUACCAAAGUAAUUCUGAAUACAGAUCUUUCUUGCCAGACCUUGUAAUGUUCUGUACAAUAACAUUAUCCCCUUUCACUCCUUCAAGCAUCAUAGAAACAAAUUCCUAAGAACAAUGUCAAAGAACUAAAAUCAGAUAAUUUAAUAAAACAUGUGGAUUAUUGGAUAUGUACUCAAUAGUUUUCUUUUCAAUUUUCUUUAUCAAUGGCAGUCAAGAAUUCUAAUGAGCCUACACUACUCAAAGGCACUGCAAUCCAUAAAAAAACACAAAGUUUUGCUACAUUGUUUGUUUUGCUGCUAAAUGAGAGAGCCUGUUGGCUCCUAUUUAGGCAUCUUUGCUUUUUUGGAACUUAGCUCUUCCAAAGUCAAGAUGCUCCUUAAGAUUUUACAGAGAAAAGUACAAAUUUAUAAUAUGUUGUCUCAUAUAUAUCAAUUUUAGAAUGUUCUUUUGUCUCAAAUUCUUAGUCACUUUAUAACAAUAGUUUAUUUUUUUCACUAAUACCCUUAUUUAUUGAUAUAUCCGCCUACAAGACUAUAAUUAAUCCUUCGUAUCAAUCCAAGUAUCUAACAACAACAAUAAAGCAUUUUAGUCAAGAGAACAUAUUUUAUCGUCGCAAUUAGUACAAUAAAUGAUUUUCUUAAUGUGUGUAUUACCUUAAAUGACAAGUAAUAUGAGACAGGGGAUAGGGAGUAUUUGUUUGGAAAGUCAAGAAACUGAAAUCAUAGUAACAUUUAUUAUAUAAUUUAGGCUUAAUACAUGCUUUGGUCCCUUAACUUAUUUUUGAAUUUCAAUUUGGUCCCCUAACUUUAAAUUGUCUCAAUUUGGUCCCCUAAGUAUACCUCAGUUUAUCCAACUGGUCCUUUCUAUUAGUUUUUGUCAAAAAAACGUUAACUUUGUCCAUGUUGGCUACAGGGACAAAGUUAACGUUUUUUGAAAAAUACUAACAUAAAGGACCACUUGGGUAAACGGAGGUAUACUUAGGGGACCAAAUUGAGACAAUUUAAAGUUAGGGGACCAAAUUGAAAUCCAAAAAUAAGUUAAGGGACCAAAGCAUGUAUUAAACCUAUAAUUUAAGUUAUCUCAUAUCCAGUAGAUUUUGCAAUCAAUGUUAUAACUUUAGAAAUCAACCCCUCACAAAUGAAUGGCAAGGGACUGCUUAUAAUAGACCUAUAAUGAGUUUGACCUUCUACUAGAUCACAUCACAGCAGGAGAUUUAUAAGGUAGCCCAUUUUUAGUAAAAUUCCAUAAUUUUUUUUUUUAAGUCCAUAAUUUUUUCUUCAAAGUGAAUUCGCCACUUUUGAGAACCCAAACAAGCUAACUUGAUACAUCUCAUGGAAUUUUCUUGAAAACCUGAUAUCAGAGUAUUAUGAAAAUGGUCUAUCUCAUGAUUUAAUAACUUGAAAUUUACAAGUUUUAUAUAAAUGAGAUAUCAUCCCAUACGCAUACCCUGGUUCUUAGAAAUUUAAAAGGGCAACCCGGUGCACUAGAGCUCCCGCAUAUGCAGGGUCCGGGAAGGGGUCCCACCAUUUGGUGUAUUGUACGCAGCCUUACCCUGUUUUACACAAGAGGCUGUUUCCAGGACUUGAACCCGUGACCUUUCAGUUACAUGACAACAACUUUACCAGUUGCGCCAAGGUUACCCCUCUGGUUCUUAGAAAUUUAUUGUACACAAAUCUAUCCAACCUAGAUCAGUAAUUUACUCAAAUGUACCUAAUGGUACUGGUAGAAAGGCCAAACAUUUAUUGAUAAAUGUACUUUCUAAAAUUACCUGGUGAGUGUUGCCUUUUACAAGGAAAAACUCCUUCUCCAGCCAUGUAGCACAGAUAGAAUGACAUGAUCUUUGUAUUACUUCAGAAAAAACUUUGACUGGAUCAUCCAUACCAACAGAACUCGAAACGCUUGACAUAUUAUUAACCUUUAAAAAACUUAAUUAAAUACAGUACAGAAUAAUUGUAAAAAUAGCUUACACCAACUUAAUCACAUUUGCAAUGGCAUGCAUAUUUUAGUUUGGAAAUGAAUUAUGAAAAAGGCAAUGAAAUGUACAGAGAAUCGAGUAGUUAAAUUCAAGAAAAUAUAUUAAUUUCAAAGUAUAGUAGUUAAAUUCAAAAUUGCUGAUCCAUUGGUAUUCUAGAAGGAAGAAACUAAUGCAGUAAAUGAGUGUCUGGGAUAUUACAAAAAGAAAGUAAGAUAGUAUUCUUUAAGAUUUGUUUUGAAUAAAUUUUGUAAAGAGACAUAUAUCCCACUUCAGACUAUCACAAUCUUAAGUUUUCGCUCAAGAUAUGAUAUCUAAGACAUAACAAACCAGAAGUCAUUUGAAACAUUUAUUGCAUUCCAAGUUACAACUUGUCAAAAUUCCAAAUCAUACCAAAAUAACAUAACAUGUGCAGAUGAAAAACAAUGAAAAAACAAAUUACAAUCCCUACCUCUUCCUCAACUUGUAGAAAAGCAGCCCAAAGUAACCUUAACUUUGGACCCUCGGCAACAGCUUUUAAACUCAAGGGUCUUUUUGCAGAUUGAAGGAUGAUGUCCCCCGCAUAAGCCUCUUUCUCUAAUGCAUUUAGAGAAUUCAAAAGUUUUUCUCUCACCACAUCUAAUACAUAAUUUGACUCAACUUGAUCCUUUUGCUGCACUGCACUGCAAAAGAGACAAAAGUUAUCAAGCAAUUAGAGACGUAACCAUCAUAUGUCAAAAAUAAAAACAAUUCAACCAUGAUAUCUUUGACUUUCUUACCCUUACCUACCAGAAAUGUCUGAGCUGUCACGUAAUGCAUUUUUUACAGAAUUGUUCUUUUGAUCACGGGUAUAAGAUUUGUCAACAGGAAUUACUCCAGCCAUAUAAGUGAGCAAUAUACUUCCCAUCAAAAGAACCUGAUUAGCAACUGGCACCAAAUUAGAUGCUGUUCCACCAUCAGAGUCAACCAAAGCUCCUAUGCCAAUGCAAUUUAAAGGGAAUGCCCGAAGACGGUGAGUAAUUUUUAAAUCUGCAACCCCAAAUACACUCGGCUUGAAUUUUUGCAGUGUAAGGAAAUGAAAAAAUUCACAUUCAUUUCUGAAAUACUUUCUGCAGCAAAAGGAAAAUAUUGAAAGGUCAGAGUCAGACAACCAAAUUCAUGAUACCAGGCAAGAGAAGCAACAAAGAUUCCACUGGUUGUACAGAAACAGGAAAGCCAUACUUACUACCUAUCAAAACUAUGUAUUGAGAAAACAGGGUGAAGUAGCAGAAUAAUCAAUAUUGAAUAUACUCUUAAAAUCCCAGUAAUGGCAAUAAACAGUUCGUUGUUGAUUGUGGAUCGUGGAAAAUAGCGGAUUGUUCAAAUUCCACUAUGCAACUGUGUUAUAAUGCCGUUAUAUCCGCUAUUUCACAAUAUUUUGUACUAAAUAUUAUCACAGGACAGUAGUGGUUUGUUCAAAUUCCAUAAUGCAAUAGUGCUAUAGCGCCGCUAUGACAGCUAUUUAACAACACAAACAUGAAAUCUUGAUUUACUAAAAUACGAUAAUAUGCAAUAUAAAUAUGCUAAUAGUAAUAAGUAAGCAGAUUCCAAUUUUCAGCCUUCACUUUUAAAUAGCCAAGAAUUACCAAGUUAACAACAACAUAUAAUGGUUUAUUUAUUUAUCAACCAGUUAAACACUUUGCAUCUUCCACUCUCAAUCUUUUUUUCUCUUCAUUUAUGUUGCUUUGUUAACUGAUCAAUGAUAAAUAAAUCCAUGAUAUAUACAGUGUUGAAUUCGAAGAUCUUGUAUCCAACAUUCUAAAUAAUUUAUACAGUCGUAAUUUAAUAACUAAUAAUCAGUGUUGUUAAAUAGCAGCGCUGUCUCGUGAGCUUAGCUCAGUUGGUAGGGACAAUGAAUACUAUAUGAAAGUUCCGGGGUUCAAACCCCGGCCACCACCAAAAAAAAAAAAAAAAAUAGCAGCACUAUAACGCAAAAUUAACAGCGCAAUAGUGCUGUUGUGUAGCGGAAUUUGAACAAAUGUUAUUUUCCGCGGUCUGCAAUUGACAAUAUUGCUAAAAAAAUACACAUUUACUUAUAAUUUUAAUAUCUUAUCAUACAUUAACAUACAGUGUUACGAUGAAAUAUCAAAUAUUUUUCAAACGAGAACUUUCAUUUCAUCUACUAGAUUAGUUAAUUUCAACAUCUAAAUUGAAGGCAAAAGCGUGUUAAGUUUGACAUCAGAUAUCAAUGUAUUACUGACACUUCCGAUAGAAGGUGUGUCCAAUGUAUUACACUAACGUACGUGAUUACAUUCAAUUAAUUCAUUUUAUAAAAAUCUACGGGUGUUGACGUGUGAGUGUCUGUCUAGUGUCUGCUUCAGUGCUUCAUAGCAUGUAAAAAUCUACCAGUGUCAGUGUCAUGUCUAGAGUCCGCAUCAGUGCUUCAUAGCAGAUAUCAAUGUAAUCUAAUCUAAUAAUAAUAAUAAAAAAUAAAAAAUAAAAAAAUAAAAAUAAAAAAUUGACUAAUCAAUAAUGAUGGUGAAACCUUCGAAUAGUCUUGAAAUUGGUAGUUUGGUGAGGGAAGGGUGAAUGUGUAAAAGGCCUUUUCUGCUGCAUAUGCAGCUUAACACAGAAUGGGGAAGUUACACAUUCCGCCAUUGAUAAAAACUUGUGCAACUACAUGCGUAUUUCACCGCCUGCAACACAAUUCAGAAACUAGAAACAUGAAUUAUCAAAAUGUAUGAACACGAGAUCCAAAAAGCUAACCUAAAUUAAUAUAAUCAGAAUGAGAAACUAAAUGGGAAAAAAUGAAACGAUAAUCUGAAGGGAAAAGGGAUGAGAAAUUAGGGUUGAUAGCAACGUACCAGUGGAGAGAUGGAGUUAGUGGGAGAGUGAAGUUGGCGGGGAAAGCAAGAGGAGUGAUGUGAUGAGGAUGAGGAUUGGAUUGGAAUUGUGCGUACCUCUUCGUUUCUUCAAAAUCCACUUUCCUUAACUCUUAACUGACCAAUCAGGGUUUUUAAUUCAUUCAUGUGAAAAAUGUGACAUAUCCUCCGGUAUAUUAUUAUAAGCAUAAAUUUAUAUUCUACAUUCGUUUAAAUAACGAUAUACGUGAUUUUUACUAUAUAUUGUUUAUAUUAUUUAUUGAAUUAAUCUAAAAUAUUCACUUUUGCUUAUAAUGUUGACAAGAGAAUGUAUGUUUUCAGUGUUAAUCUUUCGAUUUUAGGGUAAAAGAGUGAAAGAACUUUGGUAAUAUCAAGUUUGAUCAGAAGGAUCUUUUUAAGUAAAGAGUUGAAUUCAAAUUUUCCUUAAACUAUUUUUUUUUAAUAGAGUUUAUUAAUCAUAUGAGUUUAAUUGUUUGGUUUGUUGUUAUUAUUAUGUGAUGUGAGAAUUAUUUUUUUAAAAAUGUUAUGUGAAAAUUGGAACAUUUAAUUUUUGUCAAACUUGAUAGGAUAACACUUUUUUUUUUUGAGGAUAACACUUUUUUUAGGAGUAAAUAGUCAAUUUCCCCCUUAAAAUUGUAAGUUUCAUCAAUUACCUCCCUGAAAUUAACAAAACUUCAAUUACCCCCUGAAAUUUCACAACGUUAGUCAAUUUACCCCCUCCGUCAAAUUUUUCUGUUAGUGAACAUGACGUUUUGCAAAUACCCCCUGAAGUUUUGCACUUAUGUGUAAAAUGCCCCCCAAACUUAAAAAUUUAUAUUUUUUUUCUUAAAAACAAACAAUUAAUAGUUAAAUAUUAAAACUAACUAUUAAUUUUGGAAUUUGGAAAAACUACAUGCAUAUAUACAUCAAACUAGGCUCCAAAAUGGGAAAAAAUAUGUAUUUUUUAAAGUGACAAUAAUGGGAUGAUUUGUGGAUUAAUAUUGGGGGUUGUGUAGUUUAAAUGGUUUGAGCAAAUUGUUGAAGGAGUUGGAGGAGUUAAAAGACUAAGAUGGUGAAGGAGAAAAUAUAAAUUUAAAUAUGAUUAUUAAUUUUUUUAUAAACCUCUAAAAAUAAAAUUUGUCUAUUAGAAAUAACCAUUAUUGUCACUUUAAAAAUACACAUUUUUCCUUAUUUUGAUGUAUAUAUGUAUGUAGUUUUUCCAAACUCCAAAAUUAAUAGUUAGCUUUAAUAUUUAACUAUUAAUUGUUUGUUUUUAAGAAAAAAAAUAAUAUAAAUUUUUAAGUUUGGGGGACAUUUUGCACAUAAGUGCAAAACUUCAGGGGGUAUUUGUAAAACGUCAUGUUCACUAACAGAAAAAUUUGACGGAGGGGGUAAAUUGACUAACGUUGUGAAAUUUCAGGGGGGUAAUUGAAGUUUUGUUAAUUUUAUGGAAAUAAUUGAUGAAACUUACAAUUUCAGAGGGAAAAUUGACUAUUUACUCCUUUUUUUAGUUGUUCAUGGGUUCAUUCCACAUGAUCUACUAUAUUCAAGAUGUGUUGAAUAUUAAAUUUAAAUAUCUCUUUUAGUUUGGAUUUGAAUUUUAGUUUGUGAUAUGGUUGAGUAACACUUUAUUCUUUAGGAGUUUUACCAUGGUAGGGUAAAAAUUAUGUUAUUUUAAAAUCACAGGGUAUCUUAAGGAGUUUACAAAGGGAGAGGAUUAUCUCCCUUUUUAAAUACAUUUUCUCACCCCUUUAAUAAAGGGAUUCACACGUGAGAAAAAUAAAGAUUGGAGAAAAGAUAUUAGGGAAAAGUGAAAUUGGGGUAACCUACUUAGUGACGUAUCUUUGAUUUUUGGUGUUUUCGUACCCUUGUAACAUAUUCCCUCCGUCCCAAAUUUUAUGUCGCUUUGGAAAAAAAAUUUGUUCCAAAUUAUAUGUCGCUUUACAAUACCAAUGAAAUAUUAAUGUUACUUUUCCUAUUAUAUCCUUAACUAUUAAUUACUCUAUCUUCUUUCAAUUAUUUCAUUUAUCUUUUCCAUACCAUUUAUUAAGGAUAAUUUUGUAAAACAACUAAUAAUUUCUCUUCCCCACACAAUAUUAAUUACAUUUCUUAAUACGUGUGAAAUGGCCAAAACGUCAUACAAUUUGGGACGGAGGGAGUACUUUUGAUUCUUGUUUUUUCUUUGUGUACUUUUUAUGCUAGAAAUAGACUUUCGUUUAGUAUAUAUAAUAUUACUUUGGCUUAUUUUUUCAGUUAAGUAGUAUAGUGGAUAGAGUUCACACAUUUUAAUAUGGAGAAGUGGAGUGUUUGAGGUUCGAACUUCGAUCCCGUAUAUAAUAUGCAAUAUCCCUAUCAAUUGAGUUAAGCUCACAAAUAUUUACUUUGACUUCUUUAGAAGAACUACAAAUGUAUUUCCAUUUGAUUUGGUUUUCUCUCACUUGUCUUCCUAUAUCUAGGGAUAUCUUUGCUUAUCGUAGAAGCUUUAUAUUUUCGAAAUAUUUUUUGUUAACCCUUUAGAUUUAUUAACUAGGAUUAUUAUGAUGACAAAACGCUUCAAAACGAAAUUUUUUAAUCUCUAAAAAUAAUUUAAUUCAUGUUUUGUAAUUAAUUUGAAAUUUAAAUGGAUCUUACUAAAUUCUUGUUAAGAAGAAAAAAAAUUAAUUGUGUUUUUUCUUUUAACGUGUGGGUUGCUAAAAGACACCUUGAUACAAAACUAAAGGGUAUCUUCUAACAAAUCACACACACACACACAUAUAUAUAUAUUAAAGGCUAAAGUACAUUUUUGACCUCCCAAGUUUCAUAAACUUACGAUUUUGACCCCCCAUGUUUAAAAAUAGCAUUUUUGCCCCCUUAAGUUUCAUCCCCUUUGAAAAAUCAUAGUCCCCCUUGAUUUUGAUUCGGUCAAAACUGACGUGGAUGUCACAUGCUGACUGUGUAAUUUUUUUAAUUUUAAAAUAAAAUAAAAGUCACGUAAAUUGGAAAUGAAAUAAAAUUAUUGAAAAAUAAAAAGAAAUCUCAGAAAUCAUCAUUUUAAACCCAUAAACACAUAUUCAAACUAAAAAUAUCAAUUACAAAACAAAAUACAAGCAACUUCAAAUCUAAAUCCUUAAAAACAAACUCAAACCUAGAAAAUUCCUAAUUAAAUUCACAUAGCUCACAAAUUAUUCUUGUUCCUCUUCCCUUUAACUUUCAUUUUUGAUAAAUUAGCAAAACCUAAACUCAAAAAAGAAUAUGAAAAUUAACAUCGGUACCAACAAGCUAAACCUAUAAUUGGUUCAUAUUCCCUUCCAUUUCCCUUGUUCUGCAUGCUCAUCGAACAUCAAUACGAUAAAGAAACUUUCAAAUCUCUCUCGCGUAAAGAGUAGCUUUAACUGAGUCAAAAUCAAGGGGGACCAUGAUUUUAUAAAGGGGGUGAAACUUAAGAAGAAAAAGUGCUAUUUUCUUUCAAACGUGGGAGGCUAAAAUUGCAAGUUUGUGAAACUUUGGACAAUGUGCAUUUAGCCUAUAAUAUAUUUUCUCUUUAGCAAGUGGUCAUUUAUUUUGUAAUGAUGACCUUUAUUAUUUUAUGUUUACUUUUUUAGGGGUUAGUACUAUUUUAUGUUUAUGAUGAUGGCAACGAAAAUUUAAAGGCCAUUUCAUUCGUUCUAAUGCCAAGUUGUUGAUUUCUUUAAAAGAAGCUAUGUCUUCUCGCCACUUUUCAGCUACCUAUGAUGUCCCAUUCGAGAUGGUUGACAUCUUCCACAUUCCAAAUUGCCAUUACCAGAAAAGUCUAACAAAAGCUAACUCAAGUAAAUUUAUGUAGCUGCGUCAAUUAAGUAAAAAACAAAGUAAUUGUGGUCAUGGUAGAAGGUAGUUGAAACCAAACUAUCUAUAGUCCAUACCGUAUAGAAUGUUUUUUGAAGAAGUUCAUACAUACCGUAGAGUAUAAGUAUAGUUGACAGCAAUAUGAAUUGAUGGAUGAAUUAUUUGAUCAUAUAUAUACGCCUAUAAUCCUUUGAGUAUUAUUAAUUAAUUAAUGUUAUUCAUGCAUAACAAUAGAGCCAAACCAAUCAUAGUUCAUAACCAAUAAAAUAUCUAAGAAGGGGGUGUUAGAAGCGCUUUAUCUUCAACAUUCAUUCUCUUAUUGAUCGAAAUUCACGUUGACUAAAUUUGAAUACAUAAUAUAAAAGCUUUAAUAACCUCAUAUUUUAAAAAAUUGAUUAUUAGAAAACAUAGUGGAGACAGAGAGAAUUACCCUUGUUGUUAAAGCUUCAUUCAGGUAACAACAUUCAUAAUAAAGAUAUUUAUUUUUGGGUAUUUAAAUGACUCUCACAUGCACACAUCAUUUAGCAAACACUUAUCCCCCUAGCUAAGCAUUUCAUACACUUUCUUAAACGAGAUAAAUUAAACAUCUAUCAAUAACUUUAUCAUUACAUUUUUUUUAAAAACUUUAUCAAUACAUUUUUUUUUUGUAAUAUUAAUGAAAGAUGUGUGAGACCCGUGGGUGGAAGAAGUGCUUACUUGAGACCCUCUACCCCUUUGAAGCUCCGAUACUUCAAAAUGGAUGAUGUAUCGUAUCCUGCACCGACAUCUAUCUGAUAUGUAUCAGGAGAGUAUCCGAAGAUUAAAUUUUAUUUUAAAAAAUAAUAAUUAUCCGAUACUUCCCGAUACGUAUCAGGAGAGUAUCUGAUAAUUAUCAUGCAUCAAUACCUGCCCCAAUAUUUCCCAGCUAAUGAUAACUAAAAUAACUUAACUCUUGAGUACUGAUGUGUUCUUUUUUGGAUAUAGUGCUUAUUUUUUGGAUCGAUAAGCACUAACAGAUAUAGUAUAACACUGAUGAUGUUCUUUUUGGGAUAUAUUGUAUAUCUAAUUGACUAAUCAUCACUCUCUUAAUCGUCAAUAUUAUUUAUAUUUAUGUUGAUGUGCUACAAGCCUAUGACUGAUUUCUUUUGUUUGUUAAUAUAUUUACAUAUUAAAAAAAAUGGUUAUAAUUAUAUUGUACAUUUAAUUAUAUAAUUUUUUUAUUAACGUUUCUCAGCCGUAUCGUAUCUUAAAUUUUGAAAGUUUUCCGUAUCAGCGUAUCGAUGCAGUAUCGUAUCCGUAUCAUAUCUCGUAUCCGUGCUUCAGUCUUCUUUUAAGUACUCAAAAAUUUAUCUCCGAUGGUGGUACCUAAUAGGUACCAAUGCUUAUGGACUUAAGUACCACCGUUAUUGAAGGUUUUGCUUAUAAUAUACUACUAAUCUAAGAUGUAACCAAUCACACCAAACCAAAUCACCAACUAAAAAAACUUAUGGAUGACAUUGAUCACAUUUUAUAUUCCCUUUCACGGUUGCACACGUGACCACUUAUAGACUUACAUUUCUCUAGUUCUGUCUUGAAGAAAAUUGCUUCAAUUGAAUCUGGGCUAUACAUUCCAUGCAAACUAUCCACUUAAUAGUAAUAGUAACAUUAAAAUGACACCAAUAUCUAUAUAUCUCUGAAGUGACACAUACACAUUAGAUAGAACUCUCUUACUUUGGCAACAAGAACAUUGGUUGAAAGAGUUACAUCAAUUCCUAUUAGAUGCAUUCUUGAAUACACAACAUUAUAUAAAACAAACAACAAAUGAUAACUAGCUAGCAGCUUAAUCAAUCAUAGCAAAUAAGCAAUUGAAUUUUGUUAAUGACUUUGACUUAGACAAGAAGGAGAUAAAACUAAAUUGGAUGUCUUUGACACUACUCUAAAGUUGUUCUAACUACUAGUCUUGUUCAAUGACAGUAAUGUUUAGUUCUGCUUCUCUUUGAAUCAUAUAAUAUUUUUAUCAAUCAAAUCAAACAACCACUUUCUUUCAUUCUUCUAUAUAUACAUUAACAUUUUUGUCACAUUCCAUCAACACACAGUUCAAACUCAAAAUAAAAGCUAGAACAACUUAUAAGAGCAAUCUUACUCAUUCAGAGAGAAAAAAUGGCUGUUACCAUUUUUUCAUCGCUUAAAAUCGCAACGUUGUUUUUGUCAUUGAUUAAUUUUUGCGCAUUUGAGUUUGCACUGGCCGGCACUACCAGACACUACCAAUUUGAUGUACUGACUUGAAAUAUUUGUUACACUUUUCGAUUGUAUAAAAAGCUGUGUUUGUUUCUUUUAUUACUUUGCUUGUAACAUAUGAGGUUAUUUAUGCAGAUAGGGUACCAAAAUGUGACAAGAUUGUGCCACAACAAGAGGAUGGUGACAGUGAACGGUCAGUUUCCAGGACCUCGCAUUAUGGCUAGAGAAGGAGACCGUCUUGUUAUCAAAGUUGUUAACAAUGUGCAAAACAACAUCUCGAUUCACUGGUAAAGAACAAUCUUUUCCUAAGAAGAAUAAUUGUAUCGAAUUUGUUUAUCUUAGCAUAAAAGUAAUAUGUGAAAAACUUGGCUAUCUUUUUAAUAGGCACGGCAUUCGACAACUUCAAUCAGGAUGGGCUGAUGGACCGGCAUAUGUGACUCAAUGCCCCAUCCAAACAGGUCAAAGCUAUGUUUACAAUUACACAAUUAAAGGCCAAAGAGGAACACUCUUUUGGCAUGCUCAUAUAUCUUGGUUAAGAUCAACACUCUAUGGUCCUCUCAUCAUUCUUCCCAAGAAAAAUGUUCCAUAUCCUUUUGCAAAACCCCACAAGGAAGUUCCUAUGAUAUUUGGUAAUGAAGUUACAAAAAAGAUGAACCUAAGUCUACCUAUUUUUAUAUUUACAUAAGCUAAUUAUACUCUUUAAUUUUGGUUUUAGGAGAAUGGUUCAAUGCAGAUACUGAGGCCAUCAUAGCACAAGCCCUGCAAACUGGGGGAGGACCAAAUGUUUCUGAAGCCUACACAAUCAAUGGACUUCCAGGGCCAUUGUAUAACUGCUCUAAAAAAGGUAUCAAGUGCAGAUAAAUAUAUCUUAUUGAAAUAAUCCCCAAUUAUUAAAAGAAUGAAGCAAAUAAUUCCUAAAAUUGAAAAUAUGAAGCCUUAAACGUAACUACUCAUAAUAUAAUAGUUGUGUUAUUUGAACAUCAACGUGCAAACACCGUGUGUGAAACUGUACGUGUUUAUCUCUAUCUCUUACUUUUUAUUUUCUACAACUUAAACACAUUUAAAAAAUACACAAAAAUCAAAGCAUGCUGUAUUCGACAUCCAAGUUUUAUAUCAAAAUUCAUUUUUCUAAUACAGUAUUCCACUUUAUCACAAAAGCAAAUACUAAAACAGGCACUCAACAAGUGGACAUUCACUAGAUUAGACACCAAUUUCUACAAAAGCAUAUAGAAUUCUUUAUGAAACGGUAUCAGCAAUAUGGUUUUAAUCAUUUUAACUCUUUACAGAUACAUUCAAGCUAAAGGUGAAGCCUGGAAAGACUUACCUUCUACGUUUGAUCAAUGCUGCACUAAAUGAUGAGUUAUUCUUCAGCGUUGCAAAUCACACCCUCAAAGUUGUUGAAGCCGACGCUAUUUACGUGAAACCUUUUGAGACUAACACCAUCCUUAUUGCCCCUGGCCAAACCACUAAUGUUCUUCUCAAGACCAAGUCUCACUAUCCCAAUGCAGCCUUCUUAAUGAGUGCUAGACCAUAUGCUACCGGCCAGGGAACUUUUGACAACACCACUGUUGCCGGUAUCUUGGAAUAUGAAAUCCCAUCCAAUACUCAUCAUUCAGCUUCUUCACUAAAAAAGAUUCCACUUUUCAAACCUACUCUCCCUGCACUUAAUGACACUUCUUUUGCAACAAAGUUUUCCAAGAAACUCCGCAGCCUUGCCAGUCCCCAGUUUCCGGCUAACGUUCCACAGAAAGUUGAUAAACACUUUUUCUUCACAGUAGGCCUUGGUACGAACCCUUGUCAAAGCAACCAAACAUGUCAGGGACCCAAUGGAACAAUGUUUGCAGCAUCAGUGAACAAUGUAUCUUUCACAAUGCCAACCACUGCACUUCUUCAAUCCCACUUCACUGGACAAUCCAGAGGGGUCUACGCCCCUUAUUUUCCAAGCAGUCCCUUGCAUCCAUUCAAUUACACUGGCACCCCACCAAACAACACCAUGGUGAGCAACGGAACAAAGGUUACGGUUCUUCCUUUCAACACAAGUGUGGAGCUUGUGAUGCAAGACACUAGCAUUCUUGGUGCAGAAAGUCAUCCUCUCCAUUUGCAUGGCUUUAACUUCUUUGUUGUUGGACAAGGAUUUGGUAACUACGAUUCAAAUAAGGACCCCAAAAACUUUAAUCUUGUUGAUCCUGUCGAGAGAAACACAAUUGGUGUCCCAUCUGGUGGAUGGGUUGCUAUCAGAUUCCUUGCAGAUAAUCCUGGUUGGUUCCUAGAUUAUUCGUCAAACUAUCAAAAGUCAUUUUGGUUUCAAAGAAUGUUUUAGUUCACUUUCAUAAAUUAACAAAAAUGUCUAAUUGUGUGUGCAGGGGUAUGGUUCAUGCAUUGUCACUUGGAAGUACAUACAAGUUGGGGUCUUAAGAUGGCAUGGAUUGUGUUGGAUGGAAAACUUCCAAAUCAAAAGUUACUUCCACCACCAGCUGAUCUUCCCAAGUGUUAACUUCAAUAUAAAAUUGCUUCUUUUUUUAUAUAUUUUUUUAUUUUUACAUUUUGGCCCUUUUUGUUAUCCAACUGGGCAGUUGUUUUUCACUAUUUGCUUUAGUUUCUUUUCUGUAAUAGUUUCUUAAGGCUUGACGUGUGGUUGAAGUUACAACUUUUUCUUUCUUUGGAAGAGAGAUUUAUUUAUACAAUAUGCCUUGACUAUACAAUUGUAUUUCAUUGAUUUGAGUGAAAACUCCUUAUUGAAAAUCUAUUAUUAUAAUAAUUUGUUAAUUUUAUUUGUUUAUGAUACAAAUAAUGUCUAAAAUUUCAAAUGUUAACAUCACUUUGAAAGGAAUAUGAGAAUAACUUGUAAAAUGCUAAAUAACUUCGAAGUUAGAAACAGUUUUUGAUCUUAGGUCGUUUACGAGCCUCUCUCUUCAUCUUUCAGCUAUAAACAAGAAUACAUAGCACUAUUGGUUUGCAACUGCGCAUCUCUGACAAUGAAAAGUCAGAAUUUUCAACAUGAUAAGGUGUUUUCAUUGUUCUCUACUUGUAGGGACUAUUACUAUCUUUUUUGUGAGUUUAUGCAUCAAAGUGUUACUAUGGUGAGAACUUUACCACUUAAAAAUGAUGGGUUAAUGGCUAUUGCAGUGAUGGAUUAUGUCUGACAACACUAUAAAUGUUAUAUUUUGCAAUCAGUUCUUUCCAGUAGUUUUAGGCAGCAAUUGUGUAAGCAAAGUUGGAGAAAAGAACAUUCCUAUCCAUGACUCAAUCACAGAUUAUGUAAACAAGUCCAGGCAUUUGACUCGCUGCUUAAUAUUGAUCAGGAUUUGUGUCCCUUAAUGACCAACUGAUCAAAAUGCAAAAGUUGCAAGUUUUUCAAUGUAGUUGAUGGAUAGUAAGACUCUCUUUGAAUAAACAACUUAAUAUUAAGUGCUUAAAGCCGCCAAGGGUUGACCCUGGUGGUGAAGGUUUGUGACCUAGUAGUGUGCUCCUCUCUAGGUCUCACUAUCAAGUUUGAAUUCCCUAUGUGCCAACAAUUUUUGUGUUUGAUCAAUCCAUACAGAGCUUUUCAUUGGCUUCAAUCAGCCACCCACGAGUGGACGAUGGAUUGGUCUCCAGGAUUAGUAGGUCCUUGGGCCGGAGAACGAGUUUUCAAAGAAAAAUAAAAAUAUUAAGUGCGUAUAUCAUAACUGUUUAUCAUAUAAAUGCUUGUCUGUAAGCUAUUCCCAUUUCUAUGACAAAAAAUAAAUUAAAUUUAGACUGUUUUCAUAUAAUCUAUAAGCUGUUUCCAUAAGAUAUUUGAAGAGCUUAUUGAAAUAAGCUGAAAAACGUGUCAUUAGGUGCUUCACUAAGCUCUUUUAAAUAGUCUAAUAAGCGCUUAUGUCAAAUGUCAAUAGAUAAUCUCAAAUGAAUCAAUUUGAACAGGUUCUAAGUACUACAUACUUAAAAUCUUCUUCUUCUUCAGCUUUGCAUUGUAUGCUUCUUUAACUCCUUCCGAACCUGAAAGAGAUAAUAAAAAAUGAAAAUGUGAGUGAAACAAACUCCAACUCCGUAAUUAAAUUCUUCAAUUUCUAUGAAUAUUUUGUAUCAUGAGCUAACACCUUUUUGUCUCAAUUACCUUCAAUGCACUCACGAGUCACGUCAACACGCACCACAAUCGUGGUAGUUUUCUUUCAUCAUUGACAAUCGUGUGUUUAGUGGCGCCAAACUCUGACAUAGGAGACAUAGGCACGUUAUGUUGAGAAUUGUUGUUGACACAUUGCAUAAUGAUGAGACACAUAAGUAAAAUACGAUUUUGCCUCCUCGGCAGUUAACUGCCGAAGAAUUCAAUAACCGGCUGUAGUUAACUGCCGAAGAAUUCAAGAACCGGCUGCAUCCUGGGCAAUUAACUGCCGAAAAUUGGUUAUAAGAACAGAACACACAUAAGAUUUUUCAAAACUCCAUUGUUGCGGUUUUCAUUCUCUUAGGUGCGAUUAUCUGCCAUUUCAAGCCAAUUUCAAUCACAAAAACAAAUAAGUUUUUUGAAUCCUAUUGCAUUGUUAUUUUGUGGUCGAAUUGUUUGUUUUUUUUUUGUUAAAUUUCGAUUAUAUAAAUUUUAUUGAUUUUAUGAUAUGUUAGGAUAGUUUAGGUUAGAAUGGUUAGAAUUGUUAGAGAACUUUUAUUGAAUUGUUAGGUUUAGGUUUUGAUGAAUCGUUGUAGAAUUGUUAAGGUUUAGGUGUAGGUUUUGAUGAUAGUUUAGGUUUAGGUUUAGUUUUUGAUUUUACGAUUUUAUGGCAUUGUUGUUUAGUUAGGUUUUGAUCGCCAUUUUUUUUUAAUGUAGAUAUGUCUCAGAAUCAGAAUCAGGGUAACGUUCAGGGUGAUGAGAAGAACAAAGAAAAAUUGCAUAUGACAUGACACAGAAUUGUUUGUGAUGGUUCUGAAAGAAAGAAAAAAAAAGGGUUCGAAGGUGCCGGUAUACAAUCAAUCCAGGUUGAGGAGGAGCGGGAGGACAUGUUAUUUUGGUCCUCAACCAAAACAAGGUGCCCUAGGGACUGUAGCGGGCAACUCGAUUGACUUGUGUGACGAGGAAGAAUGAAUGUAAUGACAUUUAAUGCCUAAUUGUUUUGAAUUUUUUUAUGUUUUAUUUUCGUGUCGCGCACAUUUUGUUUGACAUUAUAGUACUUAGAAUAAAAUCGCAUUUGGAAUAAUUUCGAUUAAAGUCACGUUUUGAAUAAUUGCGUAUUCGAAUAAAAACUAAUUAAAUCUAACGUGAAUUCAACUAAUUAAAAUUGCGUAAUGAAUAAAUAAAUUCGAAAAAUGAAUAAAUAAGAAAAUUAUUGUUCCAUUCAAAACAAAAUGUAUUAUGCAUAUUCAACUAUAUAUGUUCAUAGUACAUUGCAUUACAUUACAUUCCGGAAUGUACCUUCCAACUCAGCAACAAUUAUCUUACCAAUGAAUGGGACAAAUUCAAACUUGCUAAGCAGCAGGACUCCAACAUCCGAUCAGCAUCUUGAAUGAUGGUAUUCAAGUGUCAAAAGAAUGAGGUUCAUUCCUUGACACUUGAAUACCAGCAUUCAAGAGGCUCAUCGAAUGCUGGAUUCCUGCCGUUUAACAAGUUUGAAUUACCCCAUUCAAAGGAAGAUAAUUGUUGCAGUUAGACGUUUGUAACUUCCAACUACAACAAUUGUCUUACCUUUGAAUGGGGUAAAUUCAAACUUCCCAAGCAGCAGGACUCCAAUAUUCGACCGGCAUUCCCAAUGAUCCAUUCAAAAGAUUAAAUUCUUGUUAGGCUGAGAUUAAAUGAUGGUAUUCAAAUGUCAAAAGAAUGAGGUCCAUUCCUUGACACUUCAAUACAUUCAUUUAAACCAGCCUAACAAGAAUUUAAUCUUUUGACGGGAACAAUGGGAAUGCCGGUCGAAUAUUUGAGACCUGCCGUUUGACAAGUUUGAAUUACCUCAUUCAAAGGAAGACAAUUAUUGUAGCUGAAAGGUGCAUUCAUUCAGUACCUAAUGACGAUCUUCUGACGGAAUCAAACUUUUGAUGAUAUCUUCAGUUGAUCUCAGCAACGUCACCCGCAUAUCGAUCCACUAGAACAUGUUGUGCUCCCAAAACAUGCUCGUCACGUUUUCGUCAAUCGUUAAUUCUACCCAAGUGAAUGAUACUCUCCCCUCGUCGAGCGUUGGACGUUUAUACCGAACGUGUUUCACCCUCCUUGUGUCUCUGGGGUUGACUCCUUGGUUGAAUUCAGUCAGUUCAUCCUUGAGACCUAACGUUACACCAAGGCACUGAACCUUCAACCUCUGAGGUUCUCCGCCGUUGGAUUGUGCAUGAACGUCGAUCCACCCGGCCAUUGUUUCAAAUCUACACAAUAAGAAAUUAAAAACAAUACUCAUUCAAACAUUUCAUCAAACACUUGAUGUGCAAAUUAUACAUAGACUCUAAAAAUCAUACAAAUAACCCUAAAAUUAUAAAUCAUAUACUCUUACUAAAAUAAAAAAAAUUAAUCAUAUACUAUAACAUAAAUCAUUCAACUUAUGUUUAACAUAAUUUUUUUUGUUAUAACGUAAAAUAUAACAAAAUUAUUCAACUUAUAUUUACUCUUAAAAUAAAUCAUAUACUCUUACUAAAAUAAAAAAAUAAAUAUAAAACACCAAAUUAAAAUAUAACCCUAAAAUUUUAAACUAUAACAUAAUCAUCAUGCAACCAUUUUAACUAAAUUAAUCAACUAACAUCUAAUCUAAAAAUGAUUUAUAACAUGUAAAUCUAAUUAAAAACUAAAAUAAAAAAAUAAAUAUAAAACACCAAAAUAAUAAUAAAUAACACUAAAAUUCUAAAUUAUAACAUAAACAUCGUGCAAAUAUUUUAACAACAUUAAUCAACUAACAUCUACUCUAAAAAUUAAUUAUAACAUGUAAAUCUACUCAAAAACUAAAAAAUAAUAAAUCUACUCAAAAACUAACAAAUAAAAACAUUUAUAACAACAAAAAUGUAAGUUAAUAGCAUUAUAAUUACUUACUUACUUGUGAUUUUGUUGAAUAAAUUUGGUUGGGUUUUUUAGAUUUGGUAAAAAAAAAUUGGAAAAUGAGAUGAAUAAUGGAUGAGAGAGCUUCUGCCAGAUUUGUAGCAGAAGAUCCUCGGCAGUUAACUGCAGCCGGUUUUUGAAUUCCUCGGCAGUUAACUGUAACGCCCUCUUUAAUUAUUUGAUUAUUUUAAUGAGUUUAGAAUAUACUUAUAUGAUUUGUGUGAUUUAUAUGAUUUAUUUUGAUGAGUGAUAUUUUAUUAUGUUAUAUGUUGGUAUUUAUUAGUAUAAUAUAUAUGCUAUUUGGUUUAGAAAUAUAUAUGUUAUAGAAAUAUAUUUGUUAUAGAGAUAUAUUUGUUAUUUGUUAUAGAAAUAUAUUAUAUUAUAUUUUAUAUAUAUUAUAUAUAUUAGAAUAGAAUAUUGAGUUUAGGGGUUGUUAUGAGAUUUUAGAGAGUUUUAGGGGAGAAAGAGAAAUAAGAUAAAAUAGAAAAGAAAAGUUAUAAAUAGAUGAGACUUAGUUUAGAAAAACAUAACGUACGAUCAAUUUUGGAGAAAAGGGAGAAAAAAAGUCAAGAGAAGGGAGAGAGACCUAGGAAGCUGCGAUUUUUAUAUUCCAAGGUAAGGGUGGGACUAACAUUUAAUAAUCUUGAGUCUAUGAUUCUGAAAAUUGUAUUUAACAUGUUGUAGGUUUAGUUUUUUAGAAUUUGAGAAUUAGGGUUAAGAUUGAUGAUUGUGAUGAUUUUGAAUGAAAGUGAAGUUGAAUAAUAUAGGUUGCUUUUUCUUUUCAUCUCUGCCCCGAAUUUGAAAUGAAAUCUGGUAUUGAUAGGUCAACAAUUGGUCUUAGGUGUAAACACGAAAGUUGUAGGUAUGGAUAUUAGCUUUUUAAUGCCGUUGGUCUGACGUCAAAACAAUUUAUAGAACUUGAGUUAUGGUCAAAUUACUGCACGUAGGUCAGAGUGAAUUUUUAUGAAUUUCCGCACAACUUUGUCCAAAUUUGAAAUGAAAACUGGUAUUUAUUGGUACAGAGUUGGUCUUAGGUGUAAACAAGAAAGUUGUAGGUAUGAAUGUUAGCUUUUUAAUGCCGUUGGUUUGACUUCAAAAGGAUUUAUAGAACUUGAGUUAUAGUCAAAUUACUGCACGUAGGUCACAGUGAAUAAUUGAAUAUGAUUGAUGAAUUAGUAUAUGAAUGUAUAGUUUGUGAAUACGAUAUUGUCCAUGAUUGAUGAAGUGUUAUAUGUAUAUAUGAUGUUUUAAGAUGUUGAUUAUUAUUUGAUGUUGUUAUAUUGUGAUAUAAUUGUAUAUGCAUUACUUGAAUUAUAUGUGAAUAAUUGAGACGUUGUUGACUUGCAUUUGAUAUUAUUAUGUCAUGCUGUUUUUGUAUACUGUUGUGUUGCUGUUGUUAUUUAACUAAGCUGCAUGAGUCGGUCUAAGUUGAUUAAGAUGAUGAAGUUCCAAAUUAUUGGAUUAUAUAAGAGGUUGUCGAUUUAAGAUAUUAAGAGGUCGAGUCCAUGCAUUAGCAUUUCAUUGUUGGGGGCUUGAUGCCCUGGAGCCUUUGCUCAAUUAAGUUGAGGGCUUGAUGCCCUGGGAGCCUUUUUACGCUCAAAUAAAGUUGAGGGCUUGAUGCCCUGGGAGCCUAUUUACGCUCAAAGAUUGGUACCACAUGCAUGAUUAGAAGAUUAAGUUGCAUAGUCAAGAGGUUAAGUUGUCAAGUUGUCAAGUUAUCAAGUUGUCGAGUUGUUAAGUUGUUAAAUCAUGAAAUUGUUUAAAGCUGUGAUUCUUUAUAUGAACUAUUAAAGAAGUGAAUUAUGAUAUAUUAUUAUCUAUGAUGAAUAUUAUGAUGAUUACAUGAUGUUGUCUAUGAGUUGUUAAAUAUGAUUGAUGAUGCUUAUGUUGUUAAAUGUAAUUGAUGAAUUAUAUGCUUAAUAUUAUUGUUUGUGAAAUCUCACCCCUUCUGUUUGCCCACCAUGGGUAACUAACAGGUAACCAAGAAUAGUUGAUGUCGUGUGAGCUUUCCUUCUCGUGUGUCUUAGGUGCUCUGAUACGUAACGGGAUGAGAACUUUGUUAUUGCUUUUCUAUUCCUUACGUAUUGUUUUUGAAGAUUUAUGACUAUGUUUUUAGAUUGGAUUUUUAUGAGACAUUUAUGAAGAGGCCUUCGUGCCAAAGACUGUUUAGUUAUUGAAUAAAUUUCGCUGCGAAGUAUUAAAGAUUUUGUUAUUGAAUUUUAAAGGAUAAAUAGUUAUUUAUUCAGUUUAUGAUUUUAAGAAAAGAAUGUGACAUUCCGUUUAUGUGAAUACUCUGAUUAUUUUUAUGAAAUUUUUAUGUUGGGAAAACGGGAUGUUACAUUAACUGCCGAGGGGGCAAAAACGUAUUUUACUCGUGUUUCUUAGACUUAUGCAAUGUGUCAACAACAAUUCUCCGUUAUGUUUGAGUAGUGAUAUUUAUUUUUUUUUGUUACUUUUUUUUUUUGCUUUCGCACCGGUUUUCGACCCACCAUUGAUGGGCGACUAAUCUGACUCGUGCGUAGAGGCAUGCGCACUAGCCAAGCGUUGCUCCUCCUAGGAAUCGAACCCGGUAUUCCCCGGAUAAGUCCUUGGAAGGAGCUCAAGCAACUUGGUUUUUUUUUUUUGGUUACUUUGAGUAAGUGAUAUUUGAACAAUCAUUAAAAAUAACUUUUAUGACAAUUUUUAUUUCUCUUUUCAUUGAUUAUUUUUAUUUCUCUUUUCAUUGAUAAAAAACAAUAGAGAAAAAAAGAAAAAGAUAGAAUAAAAUCAUGAUGUAAGUAUGAGAGAUAAUUGUCUACAAAUUUUUCUUUUUGUUUUUUGUUUUAGUCCACACACAAAUCAUGAAUUAAAUAUGAAUUUUAAACACCUAAAACCUAAAUAUUCAUAUUUGAUAUGUUUUGGAAAGAUUGUCAUAAUAUUCUACCGUGAUGAAAAACUUUUGGAGGAGGAAAAACUUAAUAAAAUUUUUAGAGGGACUAAAACGAAAAUUUAAUAUUUUGAUAAGGACAAAAAAACAUAUUUCAUCCAAUAUAAAAAUACAUGGAAUAAAUCAUAUAAUAUCAUUACUACGGAAAACUACUAGAAACGUGUUUGGAAACAAAACUAAAUAUGUAUCACAAGAAGAUGGGAACAAUCCGAGAUCCAUAUUGAUUUGAAAUUGAAAUACAAGAUGAUGGAGGAUGUAUAACCCCUUUUGGCCAUUUAUACUAACUCCACAACUACUAAUAUGAAGGUCUUUACUGAUCAUCAUACUAUCCCAUAAAUACCACAAAGCAACUUGGGGAUAGUAUGAAUGACCAACAAUGAAAAAUGUCAUGAUAACAAAAAAAAAAUGAAAGGUCAGUUAUAAUGGAAAUGAGAGAAGAUUGAAAGCCGAUUUAUACACAUAAUGCAAACCUCGACGGUGGUGAUAGUCAAAAGAAGCAUGAAACACACUAUCCAUCAACCAAAGAUGAUGAACACGCCACUCACCGACCAAACCCUCGUUGGUAACGACAACAGACACAAUCUGAACAUGUUUAAAUUAUGAGUCAAAAACAAUAUUUUAUUGGUUCAAACUAUAUAAUCUGAAACAUGUCCAAAAUGUUGUUGAUGUUACACCGUGUGACUUGAAAGAUCAAUUAGAUCAAAUUAAUGAUUGUCUCGGGCACAUAAACACAGGAAGGAUGAUCAGUGUUGAGUAUUGUCAUCCGUCUAUCAAUUCAAACGAGCGUGUUUAGUUAAUAUAGAUGAAACUCCAUAAUGACGACGAUGUACCAACUCAAUUGCAAACCCUCCAAUUAUACUUUUUAAAUAUGUAUUGAUUAAUUGGCUAUUAGAAACAACAAUCAAUGUGGAGAUGAAUCUUUAUAAAUAUUAUUACCUCACUAAGGAGCUACUCCCCUAUCGCAGUUUAAUUUUUUGCAAUAUUUACGUAAUGAAUUCUCUCCAUUUUUCUCAAUUAUUAUAUCUCAAUUCACACAAUCCACAACUACUCUAUUGCUCAUAAAUCAUACAUGGUGAAAUUAAUCUAACCCCAUACCUCUUAUCUUCCAAAGCUAGCUUCCUACAAGCUUGAAUCUCCCUCUUCUAUUUGGUUCUUGAGCUUUCCUCCUUCCUUUUUCUAGACCCCCUUUUGAUUCUCUCUUGCCUCUUGCAUGCCUCUUUCUGAAAACUUAACAAAUAUUUUUCUAAUCCUAAAUCAUAAAGACUACCACUUAUUUAUAUCCAUUUGUAUUGAAUUUGGUUGACUUAACUCUUAUUGAGCUUAGUCUCUAUUCUUUUUCGUAGAGAAAACACUACACCAUUACUUCACUUCACUUAAUACUCCUUUUUAAUUCUACACUUAUAUUCUCUUAAUUCCUCAAAGUUUCUACUAACUUCACAAAAAUACCACCACACCUAAAUUACCAAAAUACCCUUUAUCCAUCAAUCUCUAAUAAAAAUCCACUAACCCAUCAAUUCAAACACAUCAAAUAAACAAUUAAAUAUAAAUAAUUAAAAAUCGAGAUGUUACAACUCCAAAUACCAUUCCUUCAUCCAAAUCUCCAACUCCCAAGUUAUGCUCUCUCUGGGAGGUCCUCCCUAAAUCACUUUCACCGAAGCAAACUUCUUUCUUCUAUGCCGUUUAACUUCGGAUUGGGAUUUGCUGCUGUAGCAAAAUACCCAAGUUUCACAAAGUUAUGCCAAACGACGGCGUUUCAACUUUUUAAAAUAAUCUUUUUAAAAAAGUAUUAUAAAGUUUCUCCUCCAGCUAAGACAACAUGUUGUCUUCUAGUACAGAACAAAGGAAAGGUUUGAAUCAUAAGAAGCUAUAAUGAAUGAAAAAAACUCAAGUGUUAAUUGAACUAGCUUGUGAAUCCAAAGCUCAUUCACAAUAUCUCCAGAAGGUUUGAAUCCCAAGCUCAUUCAAAAAAUUUGAGCAGGAACAUAUUGCGUCUGUUUAAUUUGAUUGUAAACAAUUCUUCUUCUUCAUCACAAAUUUCUUGUUUAAUUUGAUUUCUCCAAACAAUAUAAAAACGAUUUGAUUCACUUUAGUCGUAAAGGGAUUCAGAUGAUGGGAGGAGUGAAGAACCAUGCUUGACGACGACCGCCAUCUCUCCGACCAUGCUUGACGACGACCGCCAUACAAUCUUCUCGUCGUCGUUAUAUUUUCCGACCCCCAUGAAGUGUUGUGCAAUCUGAUUUAGAGUGACGUGGUUUAGACAAUAAAGACUAUAAACCAUAGGAGAAGCAAUCUGGUGCGUUGGAUCAUUUGGAUGGCUUUAAUGGUCUAGAUUUGCUCAACUGUGUGUAACUCUGGGAUUCUUUUACAGCAGCUAAUCUAAAUCCCUUAACUUCUCGCUCUUCAAUCCUAAAUGACACAGUCUCAACAAACAAGUUAUCCUCACUUGCAAAUUAUCCUCUUGAAUCACAUGCUACGGGUCGUAGACAUACUUUCAAAGUUGUGAAACAUGAAUAUUCGACAACGACGGUGGUAACACAAUCUGAUAAACCACUUCUCCUACCCUCUCUAUAUAAUCUGAUAAGACCAAUAAAACAUGGUGUCAAUUUCUUGGACUUCAAAGCACAACCAACAUUGGUCACUGGUUAACUCUCAAAAACACAUGAUCUUCGACUUGAAAUUCAAUAUCCUUUCUCCCUCUUACUGAGUUUUUCCCCUUUGUUUGUUCAAGAAGAUAACCACAUGCAAAGCCAUUGAUAUUCUCUAAACUGUUUACUGAAACAUCACAAUAACCAAAACCUUUUGUCUGUCCAACUAGUAACCGAAGACUUUAAAUUGUCAAUGGAGUAUUUCUUAGUGGUUUAUAUUUUCCUUUCCAAAGCCAUUAUGUCCACCACUAGUUAUAGAAGAAAUAAAGUGUCCAUGUCAUAGAGCAAGUAGUGCAACUAAAUCACAAAGGUAACAUAUAUUACUUUAAUUUUGCAAUUGCUGCAUUAUGGCAUCUAGCAGUGCAACUAAAUCAGUUGACAAAGUUACAUUGAGGGUUAUGGUGGACAAAGAAAGGAACAAAGUUUUGUAUGCUGAGGCAGGGAAGGAUUUUAUUGAAGUUCUAUUCAGCUUCUUAACAUUGCCUUUAGGUACUGCUGUCAAAUUUGGCAGCAUUAGCUCACUAUAUCAAAGUGUGGCAAAUCUUGAUGAACAAUAUCUAUGGACUCGUACUUGCAAGGAAAUGCUACUUAGGCCAAGAAAUUCCAUGGAAAGUUAUUGUCAGAAGAUGAAACUGAAUAUCGACGACACAGAACCCAUGAAACACUUCAUCUGUGGGAACUGGGAUUGUGUUAGAAAGGAGAGAGGGAACCUUUUGAGCAUAUUUAGGAAUCAAAUGUGCAGUUGUGGUCGAGUAAUGGACAAAGUAUUUUCUCCACCGCCUCAACUGGAAAGUCUGAGAUUAGGAAGCGGGCUUGUUAAGGAAACUGCUGCAUUUAUUAUUUCCGACGAUCUUUGUGUGAUGCCUAAUGAUUUUGGAACAGUUAUACAACUACUUCAAAAGCUAGAAAUAUCUGAUAUUGACGCUAUUACAGAACAAACUGUUGAUAUCAGCAAGAAAGAGGCAUGCUUUCUUAUGCAACUCUCUUUUAAACUAUAUAUAUAAUCUAUGCUGUUGAUUAUUAAUUUUCUCAUUAAAUAUGUUUACUUUUUGCAGGUCAUAGAUAUUCUUAAGUUGUCCUUGGUCUCAAAGACCUCUUUGACAGACCUCAUCUUUAAAAAGAAAUAUUCUGAAGUUGUCAAUGGUCUCAAAGAUCCAAUAUGUAAGAUUGGAAAAGCGACAUCCGAAGGAGGUAGGCAGAUAUCUGUGAAAGUAGUGAGAAGAAAAUCAACUGGAGAUAUUUUGUUUGCUGAAGCAGGCGAUGAUUUUAUUAACUUUAUUUUCAGUUUUCUAACUCUCCCCUUAGGAGGAGUGUUGCAUAUGCUUGAAGGUUUCUCUUCUCUAAACAGCAUCGAUAAUUUAUACAAAAGCUUGACUGAGUUGAGUUCCGAAUGUUAUUUAAUCUUGAAACAUCUUAAAGAGAAGCUAAUUAGCCCUCCCAUUGCUGCACAAUUUGGGUUUGACAACCAAAUAAUUCCAAUUGGAGUAGCUUCCUCACCUGUCUAUUAUUGUCAUUCGUACAUUCAUAUUGGUCAGUAUACUCGCGCACUAACUGCUUCAAACACGCAUAUUGUCCGUUAUCCUGCUGAAAAGUUUGUACUUUUAAAUUUGGUUGAUCCUAAGCUAUCUGCUUCAAACGCAUCAAGUCGUGGAGAAUUUGCAAAAGGGCCAUCAGUAUACAUGGUGACAGUUGACUUGGCUAUUACUCCAAUGUCAUCCUUCACUGCUAUAUCACAUUUAAAUAGUUCAAAUGUUUCUCUAAAUGAUGUGGAAGAAAGGGUUGUUAGAAUUGGUCAGAAGGAGGUAAGCCAUUGUGUAAGAUCGUUGGCGUUUUCAUUCUUUGCAAUAUAUUUACAUUAAUUUGCAUGAAUUAUUACAAUGAUUUGUUUGUUAACAUAUUGCAGGGUCUCUGCAUUCUAAAAGCUUGGAUGAAUUCAACGUCUGGAAUGACAAAUGGGCUAAACCAAUUCAUAACAAACAUUAAGGAGGAGAAAUGACCAAUAUUUCUUUCCCAAUAUGCCAGUCGCGGGUGUUACAAAUGUUAUUAGAUCCGCAGCGUAGUUGAUAUAUGGACAAUAUUUCAUCAGUUGGUUAAGUUUUAUGUAAGCUAUUUUGAAUUUGAAUUUCGCAACGGUAUUUUAUUUGUCUCUAAGUGAUUUAGCAGCUAAUCUUUGGUUAUGAGGAUCGUUUGGAUAUUGAUGUAGGUUUUCUUUGUUUUCCUCAAAUUUUACAAUCUAUUGUGUGUUUAAUGGUUCUUAAAUUUAUAGUUUUCUACAACUGUUGUAUUUUGUUGCCUCAUUCCUCCAUCCAAGUUCAUGAAGACUUUGGGCCUGUUUGGAUAAAAAAUUUAUUUGUAGAACUUGUGUUGCUCUAUUUUGCAUUUUCUGUAAGUUGUUUUUAUAAGCUUUAUUGCAGAACUUAAGAAAAUAAGUUAAAAAAAGCAUAUGAAAAUUGUCAUAGCUGUUUGCAUAAAUUCUUCUAAACAGUCUCACAAAACUUAUGCUAGUAUAUAAGCUCAAAUAAAGUUAAUUGAAAUAGGCCUUUGUCUAGGUGGCAUUUUGUGCAUUGCGGGUUUAGUGUAAACUUUAUCUAUUUUGUUAAUAUUUGGGGUAAAACUAAAAGUAAGGUUUUUGAAAUUUAGAACAAAAAGGUUAUGAGAAGUUCAUGGACCAUUUUGUAAAUCAACAAAAGUUUGGUGUCAAAUUUUUAGUAAAGUAUUUCAACAUGUGAGGAGCCAUAAUAAGACAUAUUUUCCUCAGUUACGUGAAUUUAUCUUUUAAAACCUUUCUUGCUUCUUAAGCAAUAUAUUUUUAAAUCUUUCAUAAAGUUGAAAAAUUAACUGUUUUCUUAAAAUAAGUUAAUCAAAAUAUAUUAAAAUAGAGAUGUAACCAAUCACCUAACUGAUUAAGAUAUCUCUGAUUUGACAUUUUCCAUGUUAUUACGUGGUUACUUAAUUAAGGAAAACAGAUUCCAGAUUUGGUCUACAUUUCAUCCAAACUAUUCUUUUUAUGGAAAUAUAAAACAUGACAUUAAUAUCUAUCUAUCUUUCUUCUUAUUUUGGCAACAAGAACAUGUUGAGAGUGAUAUCUGACCAAUAAUGAUCCAAUCUUUGUUCAUAUUUUUCAAGACACAAUCUUACAUACAUACACUAGAGUACUGUAGAUUAACAAACUAUGAAUUUUGACUUGCAUAAGAAAACAAAAUUGAAUGUCUUUGACACCACUCUAAAGUUGUUCUAACCAUUAUUCACCUUCAAAGAUAGCAAUGUUGAGUUCAGCUUCUCUUUCAUUCAAUCAAAUAAUACUUAUUUAUUUAUCACUAUACUAUCCAAACCUAAAUAGUUGUGGCUAAGUAUCACUAUACUGUAUACAAAUAACAUUAAUAUGGAAAAUAGUUCGUAUUUUAAAAACUUAUAAUUGAAGUUCAUACAAAUUCUCAUCUUAUAUAACUCACAACUCAUAGGCAGACAUUCUUGCAAACAUUCAAAAAUUCUUUAAUACAAUAUCUCACAUUCCUCAAAUCCCUUCAACAUUAAUUCAUCAUCAUGAACCCACUAGAUACUACAGAAUUCAAGAAACAAGGUCACAUGAUGAUUGAUUUCCUUGCUGAUUAUUAUGAAAACAUUUCAAACUAUCCUGUCCUAAGUCAAGUAGAACCAAACUACCUCAAAAAACUGUUACCUACUUUUGCCCCUUCAAAUCCUGAACCUAUUGAAACCAUCCUUGAAGAUUAUCAAAAAUACAUAAUCCCAGGUAUAACACAUUGGCAAAGUCCUAAUUACUUUGCUUAUUUUCCAUCAAGUGGUAGCACAGCAGGGUUCUUAGGAGAAAUGUUAAGCACUGGAUUGAAUGUUGUUGGAUUUAACUGGAUUUCAUCACCAGCUGCUACAGAACUAGAAAAUGUUGUUAUAGAUUGGCUUGGUGAAAUUUUGAAUCUUCCUAAGAGUUUUCUUUUUAAAGGUGGUGGUGGUGGUGUUUUAUUAGGCACAACCUGUGAAGGUAUUUUGGGAACUCUUGUUGUUGCUAGAGAUAAAAUUCUUAGCAAAAUUGGUAGUGAAAAUGCAGGUAAACUUGUUGUUUAUGGCUCUGAUCAAACACAUUGUGCAGUUCAAAAAGCAGCUCAUAUAAUAGGAAUUAACCCGAAAAAUUUCCGAGCUAUUAAGACUAAGAAGUUAAAUUCAUUCACUUUGUUGCCUGAAUCAUUGUUAUCAACAAUUGAAAAUGAUUUGAAAAAUGGUUUGGUUCCUUGCUUUCUUUGUGUAACUGUUGGCACAACUUCAACAACCGCAAUUGAUCCGGUAAGAAAAUUGUGUAAUGUUGCGAAAGAUUAUGGAAUUUGGGUUCAUAUUGAUGCUGCUUAUGCUGGCAGUGCUUGUAUUUGUCCAGAGUUUAGAUAUUUGAUUGAUGGUGUUGAAGAUGCUGAUUCUUUUAGUCUUAAUGCUCAUAAAUGGUUUUUGACUAAUUUAGAUUGCUGUUGUCUUUGGUUAAAGGAUCCAAAUUCUUUGAUAAAGUGUUUGUCAACGACGAAUUCAGAGUAUUUGGAGAAUAGUGCUUCUAAUUCAAAACAAGUGGUUGAUUACAAAGAUUGGCAGGUAACUUUAAGCCGAAGAUUUCGCGCUUUGAAGGUAUGGUUUGUUCUUAGAAGCUAUGGUGUUGAAAAUCUUAGGAAUUUUUUAAGGAACCAUGUUGAAAUGGCUAAAACUUUUGAAGGGUUGGUGAAAAUGGACAAAAGGUUUGAAAUUAUUGUACCUAGAAAACUUGCUGUUGUUUGUUUUAGGAUUUUACCAUAUGGUAAAAAAGUUGCUGAUGGAAAGGUAACAAAUGGAGAAGCUAAAUUAAUUAGUAGUGAAGAUGUUGUUGCUAAUGAGAUUAAUCGUAAGUUGUUGGAUUCUAUCAAUGCUUCAGGUGAUGUGUACAUGACGCAUGCUGUGGUUGAAGGAGUUUUUGUGAUUAGGUGUGCUAUUGGAGCAACUUUAACAGAGGAACUGCAUGUGGUGAAGGCUUGGAAGGUUGUACAAGAACAUGCAGAUGUGAUUCUAAAAGAUAACAUGAGUCGUAUAUUUGUCCAGAAACGGACUAUUGGCUACAUUGGUUACAACUUUGCAAUUGAAAAAUAAUAAAGUGUGUUUGGUUUUCGGGUGGCGAUGCUAGCAAGUUGGUCUCUCCUAGUGCUAAAAGGGUGAUUAAUAAACCAAUGUGGCUCAAAAACUUUAUACUUAAGUAAAAGUGUUGUUGUUUGUAAUUUCUUAUUUUCCCUUAAGAGGCCAUCAGCCCAAUUGUCUAAGCCUAUCAGGGCAGCAACCCUAGCUAUAUAAGGCUAUUGUUCCUAUCUUAAGAAUUAUGAAUAAAGUAAAAUUUUAUUUUCCGGUUUCUUUAUAAUUUUCUGCUGUUUUAUUUUUCCUGCAUAUCUUCUUUGAUUUGGUAACCAAGAACCUAGUAUCAUUGGUGCUUUCAUCUUGUUGAACCCAUGACUCUCAAACCUUCCGUUCCCACGAACAAAGACUUGGAUGAUGCCAUCCAAGCCGCCACCCAACAAUUCGAUGUAACCAUCGCCACCACUAACAACUGCAUCACCGAGCAGUUGGAAAUCAUCCACACAAAACUCGAUUCUCAACAACAAUCUCUCAUUGUAACACAAUUUUGUAUGCUGAGGCAGGAAAGGAUUUUGUUGAUGCUCUCUUCGGCUUCUUAACAUUGCCUUUAGGAACUAUUGCAAGACUAGUGUCCGAGGAGUCGAAUAUUGAAGCUAUGAAAUUUGGCAGCAUUAGCUCACUGUAUCAGAGUGUGGCAAAUCUUGCUUGAUGAACAAUAUCUAUGGAGUCGUUCUUGCAAGGAAAUGCUACUCGAGCCAAGGAAUUCCAUGGAAGCUUAUUGUCAGAAGAUGAAACUGAAUAUCGACGACACAGAACCUAUGCAGCACUACAUCUGUGGGGAUUGGGAUUGUGGUAGAAAGGAAAGCGGGAACCUUUUGAGCUUAUUUAGGAAUCAAAUGUGCAGUUGUGGAAGAGUAAUGAACAAAGUAUUAUCUCCACCGCAGCAACCAGAAAGUUUGAGCUUAGGAAGCGGUUUUGUUAAGGAAACUGCUGCAUUUAUUAUUUCAGACGAUCUUUAUGUGAUGCCUAAUGUUUUUGGGACAGUUAUACAACUACUUCACAAGCUGGAAAUCUCUGAUAUUGGCACAUCACGGAACAAACUGUUGAUAUCAGCAAGAAAGAGGCAUGCUUUCUUAUGCAACUCUCUUCGGAACUAUAUUAUCUAUGCCGUUGAUUAUUUGUUUUCUCAUUAAAUAUUUUUACUUUUGCAGGUCAUAGAUAUUCUGAAGUUGUCAUUUGUCUCAAAGACCCCUUUGACAGACUUCAUCUUUAAAAAGAAAUAUUUGAAGUGGCCAAUGGUCUCAAAUACCCCAUGCCUAAGAUUGGAAACGGGUCAUCGAAAGGGGGUAGGCAGAUAUCUGUGAAAGUAGUGAGAAGAAAAUCAACUGGAGAGAUUUUGUUUGCUGAAGCAAGAGAUGAUUUUAUUAACUUUAUUUUCAGUUUUCUAACUUUCCCUUUGGGAGGAGUGUUGCAUAUGCUUCAAGGUUUCUCUUCUUUAAACUGCAUUGAUAAUUUAUACAAAAGCGUGACCGAGUUGAGCCCCGAAACGUAUUUAAUCUCAAACCAUCUCAAAGAGAAACUAAUUAACCCUCCCAUUGCUGCACAAUUUGGGCUUGACAACCAAAUAAUUCCAAUUGGAGUAGCUUCCCCACCUUUUUAUGAUUGUCAUUCUUACAUUUUAAAAGGUCAAUAUACUCGCGCACUAACUGCUAUGCACAUGCGUAAUCUUAGUUAUCCUGAUGAAAGGUAUGUACUUUUAAAUUUGGUUGAUCCUAAGCUAUCUGCUUCAAACACCAUCAAGUCGUGGAGAAUUCGCAAAAGGACCAUCAGUAUACAUGGUGACAGCUGACUUGACUAUCGCUCCAUUGUCGUCCUUCACUGCUAUAUCACAUUUAAAUAGUUCAAAUGUUUCUCUAAAUGAUGUGGAAGAAAGGGUUGUUAGAAUUGGACGAAAGGAGGUAAGCCCGCCACUGCGUAAGACCAUUGGCGUUUUCAUUCUUUGCAAUGUAUUUUCAUUAAUUUGCAUGCAUUACUACAAUGAUUUGUUUGUUAACAUAUUGCAGGGUCUCUCCAUUCUGAAAGCUUGGAUGAACUCAACGUCUGUCAUGACAAACGGACUCAACCAACUCAUAACAAUCAUUAAGGACGAGAAAUGACCAAUGUUUAUUUCCUUGUAUGCAUAAUCGCAGGCUUUACAAAUAUUAUUAGACCCCAUAUAGCAUAUAGUUGAUAUAUGGACUAUAUUUCAUUUUCAUCAAAUAUUUGGUUAUGUUUUAUGCAAGUUAUUUUGAAUUUGAAUUUCUCAAAUGUAUUUCAUUUCUCCUUGAUUACUGUAAUUUUCUGAUAUAAAAUAACUUUCUGUAACGUGUUUCCUUUUUUAAUAAUGCCAUGCCACAUUGAUAGUUUCAGCACCUAAUACUUGAGUAUGAGGAUGUUUUGCUCAUUGAUGUGGGUUUUCUUUGGGCCUGUUUGGAUUUAAAUUAUUAUUUUGCAGUGUAUGGUACAAGUGCUUAUCAUGAUAAGCGUAUAUGUUUAAGCUCACUUAAGCAUAUAUGUAUAAGCUCACGCAAGCUAUAUCUAUAGUUAAAGAUAAAAUAACGUUAAAUUAUUUUCGUAUAUGCUAUAACUUGUUUUUAUUGAAGAACUUAUAAACGUAAUUGAAAAAAGUUGAUGUAAAUUGUCAUAAGUUGUAAGAAUUUUGUGGCUUUAGUGUAAGAAUUUUUCUAAUUACACCCAUGUAUUCAUGGUUACAUCCCAAAAUAAUAAAAUUAUUCUUAAAGAAAAUUGGGUUAAUUAAGUUUUUGGUCUCUAUAAAAAUAAAUUACACUUUUUAGUCUAUACAAAAUUUUCUGUUAGUGUUUUUAGUUUCUGUUAAAUUAAAAUUUAUUUAAUUAUGCUUAAACUUCUAAAUUUUUGAAAGAUUUUUUACAUACAUGUUCAUAACAUCGUAAGACACUCUUGUAUAAAAAAAAUUUAGUUUUUUAACAUGUAAUGAAUUAAAUAUGAUUUUUUCUAAAAGCCAAAUUUUCAAGAUUAUAUUAAUGAAAAUUUGGACCUAAUAAUAAAAUUUUAAGUUACUUUUUUGCAGAUGAACUUUGUAUAAUAUUCUAAGUAAGUAUGUGAAAAAUAUGUUACAAAUUUAAAAGUUUAAGCACAAUUAAGCAAAUUUUAAUUUUACAAGGACUAAAAGUAUGUGUUGGUCCCUAUUAAAUUGAAAUUUGUUUAAUUAUACUUAAACUUUUAUAUUUUUAAAUGAUUUUUAACAGACAUGUUAAGAACAUUAUAAUAAUCUCUUUUAUAAAAAAUUAGAAUUUUUUAACAUGUAAUGAAUUAAAUAUAAUUUUUUUAAACGCCAAAAAUUCAAGAUAAAACUAACGAAAAUUUGGACCUAAAAAUAAAAUUUUGAGCUAAUUUAUUGUGGCGGAACCUUUUAUAAUGUUUUAAACAAGUAUGUAAAAAAUCAUAAAAAAAUUUAAAAUUUUAAGCAUAAUUAAACAAAUUUUAAUUUAACAGGGACUAAAAACACUAACGGAAAAUUUUGUAGGGACUAAAAAGUGUGAUUAUUUUUAUAUGGACUAAAAACAAAACUGCAAAUAUUUAUAGGGACCAAAAACUUAAUUAACCCAAGAAAAUUUAAUAUCUGAAACUCAGUUUAAGUAGGUUAUGUAAACUGAGUUUAAGUGUACAUACUUAAACUCGGUUUAAGUAGGUCACUUAAAACUUAGUUUAAGUAGGUAAUGUAAACUGGCCACAUCCCUUAAGUGAGAUGCCACGUGUCGACCAUUGUGGGUGCCACGUCAGCGAAGACUAAGUCAAAAGUGGCCUUGGGGGCCAAAACUGCCAAAGAUCCAAUACAUAGGAGGUUGUUUUGUAUUUUAAUUAGUUAGGGGUCAAAAUCGCAACUUUUGGAAAGAUAGGGGGCCAAAAGUGCAAUUAAACCUUUAUAUAAAUUUUCUUAAAACCUUAAUUUCAUUCAUUUAAAUUCUAAAAUUUCACACUAUUUCACCCACAAACAAUCAUGGACGUUCAAUCAAUCUCUAUAGAAUAUUAAAUAAUAAAUCAAAACAUCUUUCAUCUAUACUCUAUUGCAUAUAAGUAAUUGAAUUUCUUAUUCUUUUUCAAUGAUGCAAGAGUUUCUAUUUUAUUCUUGUUGUUCAACGUUGAUAUGUUAUGCACUUUACAAUAGGAUAGAGAUGUAUAUUAAAGUUGAAAUUUUUUUAACUAUUUUCUUAAAAUCAGUUAAUCCAAAUAUAUAUUAAAAUAGAGAUGUAACCACUCACCUAACUGACUAAGCUAUCUCUGACUUUACAUUUUCGUAAAAUCAGUUAAUCCUAAUUUCAUGCAAGCUAUUAGACAGCUUCCAUUUCAGGCAAGCUUCUUACCCUCAUUCUGUCUAUUUAAGGGAAACAGAUUCCAAAUAUGGUCUAUAUUUUAUGGAAGCUAUUCUUUAAGAGGAAAUAUAAAACAUGACAUUAAUAUCUAUCUAGCUUCUGAAGUGAAAUAUUAGAUAUAACUUUCUUCUUACUUUGGUAACAAGAACUUGUUGAGAGUGAUAUUCGACCAAUAAUGAUCCAAUCUUUGUUCAUAUUUUUCAUGACACAAUCUCACAUACACUAGAGUACUGUAACAAACUAUGUAAAUGGGAUUUUCAACUAUAACAAACUAUGAAUUUUUACUUGCAUAAGAAAAAAAAAUUGAAUGUCUUUGACACCACUCUAAAGUUGUUAUUCACCUUCAAAGUUAGAAUUGUUGAGUUCAGCUUCUCUUUGAUGGAAUUAAAUAACUUUCUUUAUUACCUAAUCAAACAACCACAUAGUUUCCCUCAUGUAUAUAUAGACCAGGAUUUUUGACCAUUUUAUCAACACAGUUUCAAACUCAAAUAACAAUUUUAUCCUUCAUUCAAAAAGAAACAUGGGAGUUUCCCUUUUUUCAUCACUGAAAUUCCCAUUGAUCUUUUUAUCAUUGAUCAAUUUUUGUACAUUUGAGCUUGCAUUGGCAGGCAUAACCAGACACUACCAUUUUGAUGUACUACUACUACUUCCUUAAAACAAUUACUAUAGGCAUUACUCUUUAGUUUUUUUUUUUUCCCUCCUUUGUUCUGCAUGUAACCAAAUUGAGGCCACUAAUGCAGAUAAGGUACCAAAAUGUGACAAGGCUGUGCCAUAGCAAGAGCAUGGUGACAGUGAAUGGUCAAUUUCCAGGACCUCGCAUUGUAGCUCGGGAAGGAGACCGUCUUAUAAUCAAAGUGGUUAACCAUGUGCAAAACAACAUUUCCAUUCAUUGGUAAAGAAAAUUCUAUUUACAAAACAAAAUUGCUAAAAACUAGUGACAUUUUUAAGAUUUGAGCAUAAAAUUAAUUUGUAAAAAACUUUGCUAUCUUUUAACAACUUUUGUGACAACUUUCUCUCUCAUACUCACAUCAUGUUUUGGUUUUUGUGUCAAUACCUCAAUUUCUUUGUAAAUCUAUGUUGUCCAAUAAGUUGUCAUACAAAUGGUUGUUCGAAUAGGCAUGGCAUUAGACAACUUCAAUCAGGAUGGGCUGAUGGGCCAGCAUAUGUGACUCAAUGCCCCAUCCAAACAGAUCAAAGCUAUGUUUACAAUUACACAAUUAAAGGCCAAAGAGGAACACUCUUUUGGCAUGCUCAUAUAUCUUGGUUAAGAUCAACACUCUAUGGUCCACUCAUCAUACUUCCAAAGAAAAAUGAUCAAUAUCCUUUUGCUAAACCCCACAAGGAAGUUCUUAUCUUAUUUGGUAAUAAAACUAUUAAAGGGAUGAUAACCUUAAACUACCUAUCUUAAUUUUCAUAAGCUAAUUAAAAUAUAAAAUUGCUUUUAGGUGAAUGGUUCAAUGCAGAUCCUGAGGCAAUCAUAGCACAAGCUCUCCAAACUGGUGGAGGACCAAAUGUCUCUGAUGCAUACACAAUUAAUGGACUUCCAGGGCCAUUGUAUAAUUGUUCUGCUAAUGGUAUCAAGUGAUAAUCAACAUAUUUAUUGUAUAUUUUAGCAACCAAUUUGUGCAAUUCGAUACAUACAAUUUCUACUGCAACUUUACACAAUUAUUUACUUCAUAUAAAGUAAAUGAACAAUAUGAUUUAAAUGUAAAAUGUAAUUCUCUACAGAUACAUUCAAACUAAAGGUGAAGCCUGGAAAAACCUACCUUCUACGUUUGAUCAACGCUGCGCUGAAUGAUGAGUUGUUCUUCAGCAUUGCAAAUCAUACCCUCAAAGUUGUUGAAGCAGAUGCUAUUUAUGUUAAACCUUUUGAGACAAACACCAUCUAUAUUGCCCCUGGCCAAACCACUAAUGUUCUUCUCAAUACCAAGUCACACUAUCCCAAUGCGGCAUUCUUAAUGACUGCUAGACCCUAUGCCGCUGGCCCUGGACCUUUUGACAACACAACGGUCGCUGCUAUCCUUGAAUAUGAAAUCCCACCAAAUACUCAUCAUUCAGCUUCUUCACUAAAAAAGCAUCCUCUAUUCAAACCUAUUCUUCCUGCAUUUAAUGAUACAUCCUUUGCAACAAAGUUCUCCAACAAACUCCGUAGCCUAGCAAGUGCACAGUUUCCAGCUAAUGUUCCCAAGAAAAUCGAUAAACACUUUUUCUUCACAGUAGGCAUUGGUACUAACCCUUGUCAAAGCAACCAAACUUGUCAGGGACUCAAUGGAACAAUGUUUGUGGCAUCAAUGAACAAUGUAUCUUUCACAAUGCCAACUACAGCACUUCUUCAAUCCCAUUUCUUUGGACAAAACAAUGGAAUUUACACCACUGAUUUCCCAAGUAAACCUUUGAAUCCAUUCAACUAUACCGGCACGCCACCGAAUAACACUAUGGUGAGUAAUGGAACAAAGGUUGUUGUUCUUCCUUUUAACACAAGUGUGGAACUUGUGAUGCAAGACACUAGUAUUCUUGGUGCCGAAAGUCACCCUCUCCAUUUGCAUGGCUUUAACUUCUUUGUUGUUGGACAAGGAUUUGGUAACUACGAUUCAAAUAAGGAUCCACAAAAAUUUAACCUUGUUGAUCCCGUUGAAAGGAAUACAGUUGGUGUUCCAUCUGGUGGAUGGGUUGCUAUCAGAUUCCUAGCAGAUAAUCCAGGUUGGUUCCUAGAUUAUUCGUCAAACUAUCAAAAGUCAUUUUGGUUUCGAAGAAUGUUUUAGUUCACUUUCAUAAAUUAACAAAAAGAAAGCAUGCAACUAUAAAUUAACAAAAAUGUCUAAUUGUGUUUGCAGGGGUAUGGUUCAUGCAUUGUCAUUUGGAAGUACAUACAAGUUGGGGUCUUAGUAUGGCAUGGAUUGUCUUGGAUGGAAAACUCCCAAAUCAGAAGCUGCUUCCACCACCAGCUGAUCUUCCCAAGUGUUAACUUCAACAAAAAAUGACUUCAUUUGUUACUUUUAUCUUCUUUGUAUGUUAAAAAUUAACUGAACCAUUCUAACAUUAGAAACAUCACUUUGUAAUCCUGGCAAUAAAUCAAGGCAUAAUCUUCAACCUGAUAAGGGUGGCUUGAGUACCAUUAUCUUCAAAUGAGUCUAAUUUGUUGAUUAACUAAAUCACACUUUUUAAGGAUAAACAACUUGGUGAGAUAAAUUCAUAGAUUUUAAAUUUAAUUGUCAAAUUCUAAUACAAUAUACAAAUGCAAAAUAAAAAGAUAGAAAUAUAUCUCCAUUAUAUCUCUAUAUAUUGUACAAUAAUUUUUUUUUAUUAUGUUCUCGUCAUCAAAGGAAUACAAAAUUUUAAUGACAAAACAAAAUGAGUUUCGUCUUAGAGUUUCACAUAGAAAAGUUGGUGCUUGCUUGCAUAUGUUAUUGCUUUCAAGUUACAAUAUUAUUAAACGUGGAAAUGGAGACGAUCCAUUUCCAAAAUAAGUUUGUUGUGUCCUCGUCUGACUCAGAACCUGUCCUAGUAGAAAGGAAAAUUCAACAAUAUCUUAGAGUUUCGUUAGGUAUGGUGUAGACAAAAUCAAUUCAAAUUUAAAUUUAAAGAAUAAAAAAUAUAAAAAUAAUAUGACUUUGGAUUAUGGAUAGUUGUUCAAAAAACAAAACUUUAGGGUAUAGGAAUGGUUCAAAACUAAUGAAUGCCAAAUCAGAUAGCAAAAGCAACCUCAACUCACACAUGGUCACUCUGAUAUACCAUUUGUAGCAUUGUAAUAAUUUCAUAAUAUUGGUAUCAAUACAAGGAGAAUUUGCACUAUUAACAAUUUAUUGUUAUUGAACAUGACAGAAAACACGAGUAAAGAAUCACAGAUGCGCAAUGUUAAACUAGAAUUUCCUAAUUUCAACGGCCAAAAUGUGUUAGAAUGGAUUUUCAAGGCGGAACAAUUUUUCGAUUACUAUAAGGUUCCAGAAGCAGAGAAACUUACUGUGGCAGAAAUGCAUUUAGAUCAGGUGAUUAAUCCUUGGUUUGAAAUGAGCCAACCAUUCCUUACUUGGAGCGACAUGAGUGAUGCUCUUGAAUGUGAUUUCGGUCCAAUCUGUGCUUGUGCUUCUCUGAUUAAAUUGUAGAAUCACAUAGCCAUGCAUUGUUUUUUUUAAUAAUGUUGCUAUCAUGUUUUGGGAUUUACGAAGCAAUGACACAAACAUGUAAGGUGGGCACAAUGAUAAUGUAAAAAUUGAACUGAUUGAAUGAAUGGGAUUAGGACCUUGGAAGGGAAUUGGAAAAGAAAACUUUAUCGAAAAGUGUUACAUCUCUAGCAAACAAUCCAAGUAGGACUGGACUUUGCCCACAAUUUUUCCUCCCAUUCUUUUGAGCUAUUUGAUCAUUAUGGACAUGAAGUUCAACAUUAAUAAGAAACUACUAAUAUUCUUAACAAAAUGGGAUUCCAUACCGAAAUUCAAGUGAUUAGUAAUUGCAGUGGUUGAUAGUAAGUUUAGGGAUGAAAACUCAAAUGACAUAUAUUUGCAGGGACUAUUUGCAUAAAAAAAAAGAUACGCAACUUUUCUUUUAAGGAUUAGCAACUUGUUAGGUUAAUUCAUAUAUUUUAGAGCAUUGCUAAAUCACACGACAAAUCCAUGCACACGUCCAGCACGAUAUUGUUUAGUGGAAAUACACGGUCGUGCAUAUCCCACGACAAAGCAAGUCGUGUAUUCAAGCAUUUCUCUAUAUUUUAAAUCCAUAUGUACACUAUCUCUUGCAGUCUCUUUUUGCAGUUUUAAGAGCAAAACUCUCGUUACUUUCUGUCUAAAUUAGACUUUCCAGUUUUUAUUGUUAAGCGAUAAUAACACACGGAAGACCUUGUUAUAGUGCUAAAAGUAAUUACUACAUUACAUCCAAGUUUUUAAUUGAUCCAAAGAGGAGCAAUAAAUGGAAAUUUUGUGUAACAGAAAACUUGCCACAUGAGAAAAAUAGUAGUAGUCAGUCGUUAGAAAUUAAAUGUUGUAUAAUAAGAAAAAUACUGCAUACAACCAUAUUUUAGACAUACAACCUUUUAAUGAUGUAAUCUAGACAUAUGCAUGCAUACAUGGUACAAAGAAAAGCAAUUUUCCCUCGAUGUAAUACUCCAAUCUAAUGGUAGACGGUGCUUGGAGAGCAAAAGUUCAUUCGGAACAUAAUUUAUUAACAAAAAAGGAAACAUAAACAUACAGUAGCAGUAGUUUCAAAAAACAACCAUCACAUAUGGUUUAAUGCCUUCCUGCAAGGGCCAGAAUUUUGAGACAACGCUUGAUAAGAACUCAAUAUCUUAAUUUAGCAUAUGGUAAGUUCAGAACUCAAUUUGUUUCUGGAUGUGGUGGAACUUCUUGUGAUCCACCUUCUUUAGUCAGAGCUAGUAUCUUGACUCGAGUGCAACACAUCAUGUAAUAUCUUGAAAUAGGCAUGGCAUUAGACAACUUCAAUCAGGAUGGGCUGAUGGACCAGCAUAUCAUGUGACUCAGUGCCCUAUCCAAACAGGUCAAAGCUAUGUUUACAAUUACACCAUUAAAGGCCAAAGAGGAACACUCUUUUGGCAUGCUCAUAUACCUUGGUUAAGGUCAACACUCUAUGGACCUCUCAUCAUUCUUCCCAAGAAAAAUGUUCCAUAUCCUUUUGCAAAACCCCACAAGGAAGUUCCCAUGAUAACCUUGAACUACCUAUCUUAAUUUGCAUAAACUAAUUAAAACUAAAUUUUGGUUCAAUGCAGAUCCUGAGGCAAUCAUUGCACAAGCCCUCCAAACUGGUGGAGGACCAAAUGUCUCUGAUGCAUACACAAUUAAUUGACUUCCAGGGACAUUGUAUAAUUGUUCUGCUAAAGGUUUCAAGUGCUAAUCAAAACAUUUAGUGUAUAUUUUAGCCAAAAAUUUGUGCAAGUUUUCAAUUUGAAUCACUGAUAUAUGUCCCGUGGCAUCAUCAUCUUGGCCGAGCACACAAACUUUACCGGAAGCUUAACUUAUAAUAUCUUCACUCGUGAAUCUUGAAAUGUCAUUUAUUAUUUUUUAACUCAAUAUCAUUGUGUGUAAGUGUCUUGCUCCCAACAAAAGUGCAUCAAGAGUCUAUUAAUGGUUUAGAAGAUUUUUGCAGGAAAUGUUAUCCGGAACACACCUACGAUCUUCAGCAAUGCAUAAGAUUUAAGUUUUAAUUUUAAUAAUCUUUUUUUGUUCUAGAAAAUUCAUAUGAUCUAGAAAACUCAUAAAUUCUAUUUUGAGUUCUACGAAUUUUCUUUACACCGAAAAUUUCACUCAGCUUACUUUGUAUUUUCCAAAAAGAGAAGUGGACUAAAAAAUUUAGAAAAUGGAGAAAUGAAAAUACUUAAAGAUCACGGUAACUGGUUUUUCUUCCUAUUACUAUUGGUAUAGUUGAUCCAUGACAUGAUAUCAAAAUUAGCAUGUAGUUUUAACCACAAAUAUAGAUCAUAGGUUUUUGUGUGCAACUUUUUUGUACGAAAAUGAUAAGCAAUUUGUAAUAUAUCUCUUGCAGUUUCUUUGUGCAGUUUUAAGAGCAAAACUCUAGUUAAUUUUUUUCUAAAUUAGGCUUUCCAUUUUCCAUUGUUAAGCCAUACUAAUGUUGAAUUAGGAUUCUAUUUCUUCCACCCGUUGAUUUCAGCUGCAAGUUUAAAAUCAUCUCAAGCACUAUUUUUCUUCUUUACAAUUGUUUCUGCACAAUUUAAGCAAAACCAAAGCACUGAAGACCUUGUUUGAAUUAAAGUCCUAAAAGUAACUACUAUUACUUACAGUUCAAAGUAGUAGCCAAAGGUAACAUGUAAUGUAAACAAAUGUUAAAAAAACACAACUUUAUGAUAGAAAUUGGUAUCAUUUAAGUAAAGUAACGUUAAGUGUUGCCAAAAGGUUUGAAUAUACUAGUGAGCCAAUUGAAACCAGACUUCGACAUAAUCCUCGGUACAGAACCAACGUAUCUUAUGGUUAAUUUUGGAUUUCAGUACUGUAUUAUUUCUGAAGUUAUAUAGAACUGCUUGGUUUUGCAGGUUGUUUACGAAUACUAUUGUAUCAAUAUUUUCAGAAAGAUGCACCGGCUUUAAUUUCAAACGCAAGGUAUCAACUCGCUUGUGAUCAACUCUUAAAUUAUGACCCAUUUGAAUAUUGUGAUAGCUAAAUUUAAGGAAUAGAGUCCAAGACUUGUCAUCUCCAAACUUUGUCAUCUUCCAUAUAACAAAAUCAGUUCCGUUGAAAUCAUGAUAAAGGCAUAAGAAGUUCCUAAACACAAACAUUUGCCCAAAAUGCCAACUUCCCAACGCCACCUAGAGGGAGCAUCAACCGUGUGUAUGUCACAUUACUUAGAUCAAGCGAAAUAAUCCUAUUGGGUGCUAACCAGUUAACAGUGCAGCUGAACUGCACACCGACGAGGUGCGUAAGGGAAACAUUGAAUAGUUUUCCAAAUAUUAUCACCUAAACUAAAAAUGCUCACCUCGAUAUUUGGUUUUAUCUUCAAACCGCCUGUAUAUUGUAAGGCCAACCUUAUAAGUGUCGGUUAAAUUAUCAUAACAAAACACAAACUUCCAAAAACGAGAUGUAUACCACACAUCAUGCAAAUACCCUAAUUUAUCAGAUAUAUUUCUGGUGGCGGGGUUCCAGAAAUGGAGCCACAAACCCGAAUUAUUAUUAGAAGCACCGACGAAGCAGAUCAAUCCAUUGCAAGAACCAACAACCACACGCCAGUCCUUGAUAUUCAAUCGGUAGGAAGUAUCUUUAGAAAUGGCCAUACGACGGUUUUCGAGUAAAUGACUAAUCAGGAAGUGUACGAAACAAAAUUUAUUUUGAAUGAACAGUGCGAACUGUGGGUUUCGUGCAGAUGAUCGGUUAAGGUGAAUUUUGAUGAAUGUAGGAUCGGAGAUUAGGUUUUUCCAAGAGGUUGUAAUCAAAUAUUACAUUUUUAGUGAACUCUCCUUGCAAGUGCAAGGGGGACAAGACUACUUCCGGUUUGUGGAAGGAACUUGUAUAAUUGCUUUGUGUCUUUCUUCUCUCUCUCUCUCUCUCUCUCUCUCUCUCUCUCUCUCUCUCUCUCUAUUUUUAUCCGCUACAUUUAGUAUAUGAACAUCAUUUCAGAAGCUGAACUCUAUCUACUUCUGAUCAGCGACUUCAGUAGGAGAAAACGAAUAAAAAGCUAACACAAUUCAACCCCUCCCCUUCUUGUGUUUUUCUCACCUUCAAUUGGUAUCUAGAGCCUUGAUCUGUUUUCUUAACACUUAACAGUGUAACAGAAAAAGAUUUGAGAAAAACAUGUCUGGUGAUGAACCUAGUUCCAGUUAGAACAACAACAACAAUGUUGUUCCAUAUGAUUAUGGUAACAACAAGAAAUCUGACUCUGGUAAAGUUCCAAAGUUUAAUGGAGAUCCUGAAGAAUUUUCUUGAAGGAAAACCAACUUCUAGUCAUGUCAUGGACUUAAAUGAAGAAGUAUGGGACAUACUUGAAGAUGGUGUUGGUGAAUUGGUCGUUGAUGAAGAAGGAGCUGCUAUUGAUAGAAGAAAACAUACUCCUGCUUAGAAUAAACUCUACAAGAAGCAUCACACGAUGAGAGGAGCAUUUGUCAAAGCUAUACCAAAAGCAGAGUAUAUGAAGAUGAGUGACAAAUCUACUGUUAAGGCAUUGUUUGCUUCUCUCUGUGCAAACUAUGAAGGUAGUAAGAAAGUUAGAGAAGCAAAAACUCUUAUGCAUGUUCAUCAGUGUGAGUUGUUCAAAAUGAAAGAUGAUGAAAGUAUUGAGCAAAUGUACUCAAGAUUUCAGACUCUAGUUUCUGGACUUCAAAUAUUGAAGAAAAGCUAUGUAGCUUCUGAUCAAGUGAGUAAGAUACUAAGAAGUUUACCUGCUAGAUGGAGACCUAAGGUUACUGCUAUUGAUGAAGCUAAAGAUUUAAACACUUUAAGUGUUGAAGAUCUUGUCAGCUCUCUCAAAGUUCAUUAGAUCACGUGACUUUUGUGGUGGCUGGGUAUUCAUCAAAGCGGCUAUGAUACGUACGAAUGAACCUAAUGUUGCAACUGAGUCUCAUGAACAAACAAAUAAACCUUAUUUAUUCAGGUUUGCUUUUUAUCAAACUAGGGCAUCUAAAGGAAAUCAUACUUUUACACAUGCGGUAUAAAAUAUGUUUUGUUUUUCUCUUUGCGGUGAAUAAAAUUAUGUGUUUUCUUUUUCAAUAGAAAAAUAUGUUUUUUCAAAAUCCCCUAAAAAAUGUUUUUUUAAUGUGUAUAUUUGAAGUUUUCCACUCUAAAAAAAAUUCAGUUGGAGCCGCUUCAUCGACUAAACAAAUGAUCAAUUAUCAUUUGAUCCCUUAGUGCAUAAAUUAAGGAUCUAAAAAAAAUUAAAACGUAAAUAUUGUAUUGAAAAAAUAAGUUUUUAACUUUUCAAAACAUUGAAUGUAUAAUUUUCAAAAAUAAGUUUUUACAUUUGACAUUUAAACUUGUGCCUUAAGGGCAUAAGUUAACAUUUUUCAAUUAUAAAUGUGGCAACAAAUCAUUGUAUAUUUUGAUGUGGCAACAAAUCAUUGUAUUCACUGAUGGACUCUGGUAUCAUCUUAUAAUUCAUGGUUGUGGUUAACACAAUUCUACAAAAUCGGUUUGUGAGGUGAAGAUUACCUCCAAAUGAUGGGUGGCUUAAUAGCGGAAACUUAAUUGCAGGCCGAUCAAUGGAUCAUAAUAGAGACUCUGAUACCAUCUUAGAAAUUGUGAAUAGCCUAACACAACUCCACAAAACCAACUUGUGAGGUGAUGAUUACUCCCACUUAUAAACACAUGUUCAUGCAAUCUUUUAUCUGAUGCGGGAUUCUUUAACAUGUAUAAAAAAAUUAUACACCGAUAGAGUGCAGUACUAAUUAAACUCAGAUUUCAUAAGACUAAGGAUUUACACAUGCAUUAAAUCAAAUCACGUGAAAAAAAAAUUUAGAUUAUUUGGGACCUUAAUUCAUAAAAGUGGCAUUCACUUAAAAUAAAAACUUAUAAAAGUGGAAUAAUGUUGAGGGGAUGUGUGGCGCCUCACGUUUGACCAACAAUUUUCCCUCUUGCAGCAUGAUUAGUUGACAAUGUCCAAUGUUCAGAGCCUCCCUAAAAACAUGGUAUAUAUAUAUAUACUAUAACCAGGAAGCGUGAGUUUAGUGUCUCAUUGUCCAAUUCUAUUGAGCUUUUACAUAGCCUGAUUCUUCAAGACAUACGUAUUAUAAAAACGGGACAAGACAUGCCAUUUGGGAUGGCAAAGCGGGCCGGCCCCCCAAUUUGAGCCCGUCCCAUCUAAACCCACUUAAAACGGGACGAAACGAGCCGAGUCAAAUUAGAUGGCCGAGUAAAAAAUCUCACCCCGCCCUAUUUAGUGGCGGACAAACGAGUUGGCAGGUCGGUCUGCCAAACACAAAACUUUGUUUUUUAGAGGUAAAAUACAACUUUUUUUUUUACAACAUAACUAUUACAAAAAAAAAAAAAAAAAAAAACUAUGUUGCUUUUAUCAUUUUUUUAAGUACAUGUUACUUUUAUCAUAAAAAAAAUAAAAGAAUAUGCAAUGAAUAAAUAUAUGAUAAAAACAAGAUAAUUAAUAAAUUGUCUUACUCAGUAUCAUACUUAAUAGUAUAAAUAAUGAAAAUUUGUCAACAUAAAACAAAUCCAACAACCAAAAUAAAUUCAAAAGAAUUAAACAAGUCCAAAAGAAAAAAGAAAAACGAGUUAAGUAGGCCGGCCCGCCCCGCCAAGUGCCUGCUCUGUUUUUUCAAUAAGUUAAACGGGGCGAGCCAAUUAUAGGAAGCGAGUUCAAAACUUCGACUCAGUCCAUCAAAAAUAGUGGGCUAAACGGGAUUGCCUGAGUUAGACCCGUUUUGCCACACCUCUGCUAGACUCAAGAAAUAAUCAGGUUACCUCUGUUCGGCUGUAAUAAUUAUUGACUAACCUUCUAUUGUCAGAGGUAAAAAUCGCCUAACCUCAAAAAAUAAAAGAGAUAGAUGGAAAUGCAACGAUGUUGGUUGCAGUUGAAAUGUAUACCUUUCUUUUUAUCAUGAAUAGUGAGCCUUUUUUUUUAAGAAAUGAAUAGUGAGCCAUAUUUACUAGAAAUCUAGAAUACAAUAUAUUUUUAAUGAUAAAUUUUAGUAUGUUAAUUGUUAUGUCGGUAUUUUUUACGAUUUGAAUUGUUUUAAUAUUUUAGCUGAAACUUAUUGAGUUAGCACAAUAUUUUAUUAUAUUACUGUUAUAUCCUUGAAAGAGUCUUUUCUUGGAAUUUCACAAAGUUAGAAGUAUAAAAUGAAAAAAAGAAAAAACGUUAUUGCUUACAUCAUAUUUUAACUCUAGAAGAGAAUUGACUAUUAUGAUGAGUCCUCUUCUCUGACCACGUCCCACUGGAUGUUUCAAAGAAAUGAGCAUGUCAAAAAAUCAAUUAGACACACGCUUUUCUGUCCUUUAAUUUAAAUUUCAUUCUACAGCACUUCAACUCUUCACAACAAUAAAGUCCAAUUAAACUCAAAAACCAAUUCUCUUUCUUCAUAGCAUAAUCUCAAGUGUUUUGUUUUUCCAACAUGGUGCAACAAUCACUUAUAUACAGCUUUGUGGCGCGUGGCAUGGUGAUUCUGGCCGAGCACACCAACUUCACUGGAAACUUCGUUGAAAUAGCUUUGCAAUGUUUGCAAAGACUCCCAGCAACCAACACAAAAUUCACUUACAACACCGAUGGUCAUACCUUCAACUACCUCGCCCAUGAUGGAUUUAGUACUUACCUAUUAUCUUUUUUCUUUUACAUAAUCACUACAAUGCGAUAUAUGAGGCACAGACACUAGAUAGAUCAAAUGCAUUUACAUGUACUGGUUUCAUGUCAAACAUUGAACACCUCGUAGGAAAUUUAUGAUUUGCUUUCUUUUUCUAUCUAAAAUUCUACUAUAUUAUUAGACUUACAUGAUCUAUUAUCUUUAGCUUACUGCGUUGUUGGUGUGGAGUCUUUUGAUCGCCAUAUUGCUAUGGCAUUUCUUGAUCGCAUCAAGGAGGAUUUUACCAAAAGAUAUGGUGGAGGAAAAGCUGCAACAGCAACAUCUAAAAGCUUGAAUAAAGAAUUUGGGUACUCAAGUUUAUAACAAUUUUGUGUAUAGAAAAUGUGUCUCAAAAGUUGAAUUGCAUUAAUUAACAAGAAAUUUUUGUUGUAUAUAUGCAUGGUUUAGACCGAAAUUGAAGGAGCAUAUGCAAUAUUGUGUGGAACAUCCAGAAGAGGUUAGCAAACUUGCGAAAGUAAAAGCUCAGGUUUCUCAAGUUCAAGAUGUUAUGUUGGAAAAUAUUGAUCAGGUAUGUAUAUGUCUAAAUUGGAUCCUCUGGAGCCGACUUUGAAUCGCAGAUCGUUAGAUUAAGAGAGAAAAUUUUAUUUGUUUUGUAUGCAGGUCCUUAAUCGUCAAGUGAAGAUUGAUGUUUUGAUGGACAAAACUGACAACCUUCGUGAUCAGGUCCUUUUAUUUUUUCAUACACAGUUCAUGAAUUACUUACUAUAUAUGUAUACUUUUACACACACAUGAAUAGUAUAAUCUAGUAACCAUAAAUAACUAUAAAUUACAUUGUCAUUUAUAGCUAUGUGAUUGAUAUGGCAGUUUGAAUAUGGCUUUGCAGGCACAAGUUUUCAGGAGGGAGGGAGGGCAAUUAAGGAGAAAGAUGUGGUUUCAGAACAUGAAGAUAAAACUAAUAGUUCUUGCUAUCAUAAUUGUCAUUAUUCUCAUAAUUGUUCUUCUUGUUACAUAAUUCAAAUAUAUACCAUUGACAAGCAUUUUCAUGCAAAGGCAACUCCUUAAGCACCUUUUCCUCUCUGUCGUACAAGCCCUAAUUCUGCCUUAAUCAACAAUGUUUUACAGAUCACAAAAAUUAGUUCUUGUUUUUGCUCAUCUUGGUGUUUGAGUAACAUCAUCAACUACUGAAUAUCAUUAUCAAAAAGUAAUUCAAAUAGUAUCCUCUUAAGCAAAAAUCAAGAAUUGAAGAUUUUAAGUAAAUAGUGUAUUCAAAAUUACACCGCAAAUAGUGUAUUCAAAAUUACUCAUAAAGAGUUGAAGAUUUUUACUUGCCCCGUUACACAAGAUAAGAAUUGUAAAACUACAAGUAUUAAGUAAUCAGCUGCUACAAAUGUUUCCAAAGAAGCCUUAAAUAGAAAUCAAGAAGGCCAUUAGUGGCUUAAAUAAAACAAGCAUCCGAAGAGAAUGUAGCUCCAAAAAGAGUCUCUUUCAUCCUAUCAGCAUGACAUGCGCCAUCAAUAACGUCGAAUUUACUCGGAGUUGAGGUUAUGGAUCUAUAAUUUAAAAAAGACUCAUGUUAGAAAAGAGAGCGAAACAACAAAACACAAAAAUAAUAUUUCACAAUCAUGGUAAUAUGAUCAGCCAAUUGAUUCAGCAUAUCUAGGACAGUUUUGAAGUAAAGGAAAUAGUCACACAAUCAAAACAAAGUCGAAAUCAAAUACAUGAAUUAAUAUUAAUAUUAAGAUACACUCACCUACCAGAUAAUCACAUGAAUUAAUGUAAAUUGCAACAAGUAUAAAUUUGGAGAAGAACUUAUUUAAAUUCAAAAGUUCAUUUGAAUCAGAAUUAUCAGCAAGAUAAAGAUACACUAGGAUGUUGUUAUCUGCAAAAAAAUAACAACAUAGCCAUAAUUAUGGUUUAAACCUUACCUGCUAGAACCACAAUUAUGUGAAGAACUCUAGUAAAGUUGACACUUCCUAAGGACCAAAACUUUGAGACAACACUCAGGGUGUAUUAGAAGAGAAAGUAGAGUAUUUGCUUCAAACUAGAUCAUGAUCAAGCAUUUGCUAUUAUAUUACAACAGUGGACCAAAAAAUUUGAUCAGAGUUGUGGCAGGUGCAACAGUUAUGGUGCUCAAUCUUUAUGGUGAUUUAGACCACAAUUUGUAAUGUAGUACCUAGUUAGUGAGUCAAUUUGUUAGGAACAAUUUGGUUUAUCUUGAAUUUCAUAAUAAUCUUUGUUUUAUCACGGGCUUCUUCUGAAGAAAAAAAAUAAAUGCAGGACAGGAGCACCCUAAUUUGCACGCCUUCUUGAAUAGGCGCUUAGAAGAAGAGAAAUACAUACAGGAGCCACGAAUUUGAAAGUUAAAUAGAGUUCUAUGUGGCCUAAAACAAGGCCAAAGAGCCUAGUAUGAAAGAUUACAUAACCUAUUAAUCUUAGCCUCAUAAAACUAAACCUUAACCAGAAUGUUCUAACAGCAUAAAAUGAAUUAUUCCAAAUUCAAGCCAUUAUGCCGAAUUUUACUCUCUUAAGCUUUCAAUUUGAGUAUUAUCGUAUGCAGACCGAUAACUUUAGCCACUGAAGAUGAAAUGAUGCAUAAGUGAAUGUGGUAUAUGAGGUUUAAGGCAUUAUCAGUCAGCAUUGUAAACCUUAUUUCACUAGUAUCACCUUCACUAAGACAGUAAGAUUGACUACCUUAGAACACCAAGUUGUCCAAAUCAAUUAGUGUUAUAUAUUUUUAAGUUACUAUCAAACACUUUUUUUCUUUCUUUCUGAAAACUCGGUAUCCGAUCCAAGAAUCAACUAAUCCGAGGGGAUCAAUCCCACCGCCCACUUGUGGGGGGCCCGUUUAAAGCUAGAGCAAGCUCUGUAUGGACUUAGCCCACCGAAAUUGGCAUCAGAGGGAAUCGAACCUGAGACCUCUGGAGGAGCAAACUCCAAGAUCCCAAGCCAACCACUAGGCCAACCCCAAAUGGGUUCUACUAUCAAACACAUUUAGAUUUGGUUUUCACAAGAUAAAUGAUUCAAGUCCUUAUUCCCACAUUAGCUCAUUCAAACACACCAAGUUAGUUGUCAAAAUCUACAUUAGAACCAACAUCUGUAAGAUAGAUGACACAAGGGAUGCCUUAUUGAAAGUUAAUUCAAGUAUAUCAUUAUAAGGUAUAGAAAUAAAUAACUCUCACUUCCAACAUCAUCAUGGGUGUAAGCAGACCAAGAAAAGUAUUCACUGCAUAUUGAUUAGCAAAACCACCAUGGUUAAAAUAUGCAUAGAUAACUGAGUUCUUAAUAUGGUAAAAGGAUAAGUCAGUUUAUUAAGCAUAUCUAUGACAAAGUUUUGAAGCAAAGGAAAUAAUCACACAAUUGAAACCAUGUACAAGAAUGAAAAUAAAUUUAAGAAAGUAUAACACAGAAGAAGAACUUACUUUCAAGAAGUUGAAACCAAGCUUUCGACAUAAUCAUAGACUGAGGACCAACUUAUCUUUUUGUUAAUUCUAGCUUUCUUUACUUUGUUAGUUCUUCGGUUAUAGAUAAUCGCUCGGUCUGGUACACUGUUUACAAAUACCACUGUAUCACCAUUCUCAGAAAGAUACAAUGGUGUUAAUCUGAAAUCCGGGUAACGACCAAAGUCAUAAUUCAUUGGAAUAUCGUUGUAGCUAAAUUUGAGGAAUUGAGUCCAAGACUUAUCAUCUCCAAAUUCCGUCAUUUGCCAUAUAACCAAAUCAGUUCCAUUGAAAUCGUGAUAAAAACAAAAGGAGUUCAUCAACACACAAACACCUGAUGCUGCAAGUACCACAUCCUCACAACCUGGAGGGGGGAGCAUCUGUGUGUAUGUCUCUGUACCUAGAUCAAGCGAAUUAAUAACAAACUUCGUAGGAUCGAGAUUAUUCAGAUGGUCUCUACCAUAGGCCCUCCAAUUAAUAGUGCAACUGAAAUAUAAACAAUCACAAACCAGCGAUCAUUUGAAAAGGAGCUACAGACAAACUUCGAAUAGUUCUCCCAACAUUAUCACUCAAACUAAAGAUUCUCACGUUGGUUGUCGACUGAGUAUAAUUGGGAGUUAAACUCAACACCUUAUAAAUGCCGGUUGAAUUAUCGUAACCAAACACAAAUUUAUAAUAUAUACAAGAAAAAAAAGUGUCAUCUGACCCUAAUUUAUCAGAUAUUGUUCGGGUAGCCGGGUUCCAUAAACGAAACCACACUUUUGUAUACCCUCUAGUUUCAUUGUAAGAAUAACCGCGCAAACAGACCAAUCCAUUGCAGGAACCAACAACUUCACAACAAUCCUUAUCAUUCAAUCGGUAGUUUAGGAAUGGCGAUAUAACUGUUUUCAAGUAAAUGACUAACAGCGAAGUGUACGAAAGGUGAAUCCAUUUUCUAAAAUUCUUGCUAAACUAGGCAUCCUUCAUAGAUUAGUAUAUCCCUAUACUCAUCAUCAAAAUGAGUUUGAAGAGA